CCAAUCGUCACAGGCAAUCCACCAUGGCCUCCCGAAACCUCUCCUCCCUCCUCCUCGUCGUCCUCCUCGUCUUCGCCUUCUCUGCCGGCUCCCACGCCGGCAGCAUCGCCGUGUACUGGGGCCAGAACGGCAACGAGGGCGGCCUUGCCGACACCUGCAACACCGGCAUCUACUCGUACGUGAUGCUGGCUUUCCUCACCACCUUCGGCAACGGGCAAACCCCCGUCCUCAACCUGGCGGGCCACUGCGACCCCCCCUCCGGCACCUGCACGAGCCUCAGCUCCGACAUCCGCGCCUGCCAGUCCCAGGGCAUCAAGGUGCUCCUCUCCCUCGGUGGCGGCUCCGGCAGCUACUCCCUGUCCUCCUCCGACGACGCCGCGAGCGUGGCAACGUACCUAUGGGACAACUACCUGGGCGGCUCGUCCAGCUCGCGCCCGCUGGGCGACGCCGUCCUCGACGGCAUCGACUUCGACAUCGAGCAGGGCGGCCCCGACCACUACGACGAGCUGGCGAAGCAGCUCUACGACUUUGGUAAUCAGGCGGGGACCAAGGUGUACCUCUCGGCGGCGCCGCAGUGCCCCUACCCGGACCAGUACGUGGGUAACGCGCUGCAGACGGGGCACUUCGACUACGUGUGGGUGCAGUUCUACAACAACCCCAGCUGCGACUACUCGUCGGGGGUCAGCGGCCUGAGCAGCGCAUGGGGGACGUGGACAUCGAGCUUGUCGUCAUCGGCCGUCUUCCUGGGGCUGCCGGCCUCGACGGACGCGGCCGGGAGCGGGUACAUCCCGCCCGACGACCUCACCAACCAGGUGCUGCCGGCUAUCAACACUGCGUCCAACUACGGCGGCAUCAUGCUGUGGAGCAGAUACUACGAUCUCAACAGCGGGUACGGCGCCGCCGUGAGGAACAGUGUUUGAGAUGGCGAUGUACUAACUACCAGAUGUGUGCUUCCGAUUACGAUGUCAUGAAUAAGGCGGGACACUGAUAGAAACGUCUUCCUGAUUGAUGUGACGUUGCGUCCCAAUAAAAUAAAGAUUGCGUGUUUUUAUGGAGACAUUGAUGUAGUCAAUGUAAUAAUACAUAAGUGAUAUAUCUUAAAUUGAAAUUUAGCUGUGAGCAUCAGAUUUGGUGGGUUCAUGAGUAUCAUGUCCGUUAUUUAUAGUCCUAUUUUUUUUUUAUAAAAAUAUAUAUAUAAAAAAUUAAAAUAAAGUAUGCUUGAGAAGUGAAAUAAUUAAAAUAAACCCAUAGACGGACCAUGAAAGGUGGUGUAUUGAUGACAAUUGAUGCAAUUCAUGAAUUGAUGGCUAUGUUAAGUAAGAGACAUGUUUGUAUAUUAUAAACAGCAGGUUUUUCUCGCAUCUAAUAAAAACAUUCUAUAUGCUGAUCACAUUGAAAUAAACUUUAUAUAUAAACAAUGGAAAAUUAAUAGUCAGGGGAUUAUAUUUUUAAUUAUUUGUUCUGUAAGCUCUUCUUCAUAUUCGUUUCUUUGAUCAUGCAAGUCAUAGUUUGGUCAGAGAAGACGUGCUUUGUCCACAAAAAAGAAAAUUGAGGAUGUGUAGGCCUUCACCUUUAAAAUACUUGUUCUCAACAUAAUAAAAAUACUUGUCCUGUAUGCACAACUAUUUUUAUUGGAGCAUUUUAUAUUCCUCCACUUAUAUUCAAUCGUCGUUGGAUUUGUCACUAUAAUCCCUAAUCUUUGUUGUCUCUUCGGUCAUCACCUCCUAUUGCUAUACCUUUGCCUCCGUCACCAUCGCUCCGACCCUCGACCACCAUCAGCCUAAUGGGUCAUAUGCCCCUCAUUUUUGAAUUGAUGUUCAUGUUGCCGUGAAUGUAUCAUGUGACAAAUCAAUUGCAGUAGGUUUGCAUGAACCUCACCAUAUAUGUUGCUUGCUAUGAGCCCAGUGCGACGCCCAUUCAUCCUAAAUUAUAGGAGUGAGAAUUAUAUUAUUUUCCAUGAGAUUGUUGUUUGCCGAGUGUUGCGUAAGGUCAUUUGAGGAUCCCUCGUGGUUGUCUGAUGAGAUAGUUAGUGUGGCAUCGAGGAAUAUGAGGUGGUUUCGGAGGAUCCAAGAUAGACUUCGAUCUUCCCAAGUUCCUACACAAAGGUUAGUGUUGGGAGAAUUUUCCAACCUGACUCAUCCGAUGUUUAAGUUAGUUUUGUGGAGUUGUGUGAGGUAUAAAGAAUUUUUUUAAAGAGAGGUCCGACCCUUAAGCAAGUGUCGGGGGCUGACUUUUAUACCUGGGCGAUCAAGGGGAUCGUUUGUAACUAUCGCAAUGCCCUUCGCAUAGCAUUUUAUCUAUGUGAGCAAAAGGCUCGAAUAACCUUCUACGGGUUGUCAUCUACAAAUGCCAAUUAAGUGGAGACAUAUCCAAAGGAUCACCCGGGGACCAUUAUCCUUGAUGAUCGAUAAAAUUAGUCGAAACAGUCUCCUGUGAACUAUUAUCCAUGAGGAUUCGAUAGGUGCCACACAAUACUAUUGAGUCGGGAGGUGAUUUACCCUUACCUUCGAUGUCGACAUCUAGAUGGCGAUCAACUAUAAAGCUAGUUUUGUCAUCAGAAUAUUUCCUUGCAAGAACCUGACGUAAGAUAGGAAGCUUUUAACUCUAUCAAUAUUUUAUUAUCAUGAACUUACCUUAAUUUAUCUAAACCAUAUAUAUCACAUUCAUGCUAAGGGUUAAUCUUUCAAUCUGAAAAAAUAGAUAGUGACAUGUGAAUGCACUAUAAUAGUUACUUGGCUUAAAGCAUAAACUAAGACUGCACUAGCAUCAUCAAAUAAAAUAAUUUAGUGGCAUGCUGUCACGCAUGCUCGAUAGCUUCAUGUUCUUUUUACUAGAACAAAAAAUACAUUGCUUUAAAACUAUGGAACAAACUGAGUUGCUAAUGGACCCGUAGCAACAAACAAAUUAAAAGUAGAUAUCAGUGAUCUGCCAAAUACUAAUACUAAUACUAGAGCAAUUGACAGCCUCCAAGAGAGUUGGUGUUGAGCUCAAUAGAAGGGAGCUGUAGGAAUUGAACUGCUUUCAUUGCUUCAUGUUGGAUCUUCUAAUAUGUAUAGACUUGGAGAAAGAAAAACGAGGAUGAUGCGAGCCAAAGAUUAAUGAACUUUAGAUGAAUAGACUAAGACAUGGAAGAAUAAAUGAGAUAGAGAUCGGCGAAGCACCACAAAAGUGAUGGGAUAAAAAGAGAAUUUUGUAUAUGAACAAAUAAAAAUAGAUCGUAAUAUGUAGUGGAAUUAAAUGAAAAUCAUAAUUAAAUUGAACAUCAAGAUUUAUAUGAAAAAUCCUUCAAACGUGAAGGGUAAAAACCAUAUGGUAAAAUAGAGAAGUGUGCUUCCGAUUACGAGGUCAUGAAUAAGGCGAGACAGUGAUAGAAACCAAGUAGAAAAUCUUGAUUUAUAAAAAAAAAAUUUAAGUUAUAAUUCCAAGAAACCAAGAGAAACCAUGAUUCAUUUUAACAAAUCUCCUCUUAAAUAAAUAAUGAAAAGAAUUCUUAGAAAAUCAUGAUAUAAAUAAAAUUCAUUCAAUCUUAUAGGAGAAUAAGAUAUGCAUAUAAAAUCUCUCAAUUCAUUAUGAAUCAUAAAAAUUAUAAUUCUAAAAAAUUAUAAUUCAUUUAGGAAAUUUUCUUCUUUAGUAAACGGUAAAAAGAAAUAUGGGAGUUCAAAAAACAAGAUCUUGAUUNNNNNNNNNNNNNNNNNNNNNNNNNNNNNNNNNNNNNNNNNNNNNNNNNNNNNNNNNNNNNNNNNNNNNNNNNNNNNNNNNNNNNNNNNNNNNNNNNNNNNNNNNNNNNNNNNNNNNNNNNNNNNNNNNNNNNNNNNNNNNNNNNNNNNNNNNNNNNNNNNNNNNNNNNNNNNNNNNNNNNNNNNNNNNNNNNNNNNNNNNNNNNNNNNNNNNNNNNNNNNNNNNNNNNNNNNNNNNNNNNNNNNNNNNNNNNNNNNNNNNNNNNNNNNNNNNNNNNNNNNNNNNNNNNNNNNNNNNNNNNNNNNNNNNNNNNNNNNNNNNNNNNNNNNNNNNNNNNNNNNNNNNNNNNNNNNNNNNNNNNNNNNNNNNNNNNNNNNNNNNNNNNNNNNNNNNNNNNNNNNNNNNNNNNNNNNNNNNNNNNNNNNNNNNNNNNNNNNNNNNNNNNNNNNNNNNNNNNNNNNNNNNNNNNNNNNNNNNNNNNNNNNNNNNNNNNNNNNNNNNNNNNNNNNNNNNNNNNNNNNNNNNNNNNNNNNNNNNNNNNNNNNNNNNNNNNNNNNNNNNNNNNNNNNNNNNNNNNNNNNNNNNNNNNNNNNNNNNNNNNNNNNNNNNNNNNNNNNNNNNNNNNNNNNNNNNNNNNNNNNNNNNNNNNNNNNNNNNNNNNNNNNNNNNNNNNNNNNNNNNNNNNNNNNNNNNNNNNNNNNNNNNNNNNNNNNNNNNNNNNNNNNNNNNNNNNNNNNNNNNNNNNNNNNNNNNNNNNNNNNNNNNNNNNNNNNNNNNNNNNNNNNNNNNNNNNNNNNNNNNNNNNNNNNNNNNNNNNNNNNNNNNNNNNNNNNNNNNNNNNNNNNNNNNNNNNNNNNNNNNNNNNNNNNNNNNNNNNNNNNNNNNNNNNNNNNNNNNNNNNNNNNNNNNNNNNNNNNNNNNNNNNNNNNNNNNNNNNNNNNNNNNNNNNNNNNNNNNNNNNNNNNNNNNNNNNNNNNNNNNNNNNNNNNNNNNNNNNNNNNNNNNNNNNNAUAUAUAUAUAUAUAUAUUGGCACCUUCGUUGGUUGGCAACUUCAAUAGUAUGAUUGGCUGUCUACUAUGUUUAUGUACCAUUUUAGGUUCAUGCAUUCUCAUGUCAUUUUAUUUUCUGAAUCGAUUUAAAUAAAUUUUGGAUAUACAUAUUUAUUCAAUAUUCAUGCAUAUUAUUUUGGAUAAUGUCUACUUUAUUCAUGAAUAAAGUGGAUAAUAAGUCUAGUUCAUGCAUAUCAAUUUAUAUCCAAAAUAAUGUGCAUGAACCGAUAAAUACUCCUCACAUUAUUUAUUUUAUUCAUAAAUAUUAUUUUAAAUAUAAAUUUAAAGUUUUGGCUCAUGGUCUUGUUGGGAAAUCUAGGGUACGAGAUUACAUGUGCAACGGAAGAACAAAAAAUAAAAUCUCUAAUAUUUUUUAAUAAUAUAUUCGUUGUUAUGCGAAGAUUUGUGUGCAAAAUACACGAAAAAGAAAAUCACGUGUGAGAUAGUUGUGUUACCUAGGGAGAUCGUAUAUCCCCCCUACAGAUUUGUAGAAGUGGAUGAAUGAGGUCAAGCGUUCUCCGCUCUAGAGGUGAUUACAUAGUAGGACUGCGACGCUUCUCAAAUCUCUAAGCCUACUAUUUGAGGAGGAGAAAAAGAGAGGAGAAUAGGAGGUGACUACCUAAGAGGAGAAUAGCAGAGUGGUAGUGGAGAAGAUAGUUGUCGUUCACCGAGGAGGAAAGAUUUAUGCCACAGCAAAAGGGAACGGACAUUGGUGCAGUGGAGAAGAUAGUUGCCAUUCACCGAGGAGGAAAAAUUUAUCGCACCGAUAACCUGACGAUGGAAAAGCAGUAGUAGAAAGCUUUUUCUUUUACCGUCGGAGGUGGAGAAGCAACAGAUGAGUCAACAACGAGAAGAGAGCUUGCUCUAGGCAAGUGGCUCUGAUACCAUGAUAGAAAUAACAGAAGAUAAGAACAAUAAUUGAAGAAGUAGCUUUAGCUUGAAUACAUUAACAUGUCCCUCUCAUUAUGAGAGAGGAUUUUCCAGAUACGCAGUAACCUUCUUACGAGUGCCGGAUUUAUCACAGAAUAAUAUGAAAUUAAAAUUGGUAAUAUACUAAUAUCCCUGAAAUCCUACUUCUACGAGUAUUCCGUGCGUGCCUCUCAUACGCGGUGAGGUGGCAGCCGAUGCCACAUUUGCAUUUACUCCAGAAACUCCGAUAGAUACAAUCAAAGCGCGUAAAGGUUUAUAGUACCAAAACAAGUUCUGCGUCCGCCAUAGGUUCCUUUCCGCAUCUUUGAACCGUUGAUUGGGCAUCAGAGGGCGAGGCGCGGCGGCAGACGCCGGGCCCAGCGUGACCCACACACGUGCGACAGACAAAAGGCCAAUCGCUGGGUAGGGCGGAGUGGAGGUAGAACACGACUAAUGGUGACUUGGACGAGGCUCAGGACCACGUGGUUCAACGAAUCUAAAUAUCUAAAUGGGCCGUGGGUCGCGUGAUGGAACGAGCUCCAUCACUGCCGUUGAUGGUAUCUACAAUCAAGGAACCCGUGAUCAGAUCCGUAAACGGGGACCGUCCAAUAAUACUUCUACAUAGAUCUUGAUCAGGUCUCUGCAAAUUUCUCCCAAUCAAUCACCCAAAUACGUCGAUCUGUCUCAAAGCCGAUGUAAACAAUAGUAUUUAUGAAUGAGAAAAUCAUGAAUUUUACCUAUGACCUAAACCAAAUUGGAUUCGCAUAAUUACGACUCGAGGCACAACUCCAAUCAGUAGCGAUAGUGUCUGCAUAUUUAUUUGAUUAGAAAAAGACCACAACGUGCAUUUUUAUUUGAUUUUAAUAAGAAGCUACUCGAAGCAUCAAGAUCAAGAAGGUGUGAUUUAAAGUCACGAUAGGAAGCACGGUGAGCCCCGGCUUGGUUGACCCCAGUGGACCCUACUUGGAAACUCGAGUCUGUCUGUCUCACGCGCAAUUAGCCACAGCGAUAAGAAACGAUAUUUGCAUGUUAUCUAUCGAUGAACAGUGCUUCUCGUACAAUAAUUGUGACCGUCGGGGGACGUCGUCACAUGGCAUGCACGUGAGUCAUGAAGACGUUUUUAUUUGAAUAGUUUUCCUCUGUUGUGAUCCCUCCAUUUCAUUCGAUGAAGUCCAAUGCAUCAACCAUCAUGCCUCCAUCGCACCCUUUGUUGGUGUUGGUGUCGCAAUCCACCAGUUGUUGCUCUGACAAGGAGAUAAGCUCGUUGGUUCUGAUCUGGUUUAUUCCCUCCACCGAAACUACUGUCGAGAAGGCCCAGCAACUUCCUGCAACAAUUCAUACUAAAUUUUCAUUUAUUUCGAUCGAGCACAUCAACAAAAAAAUAUAAUAUUUCGAGCUCACCGCAUUUGCCUUGGUCUUUGAUAGCAGUGACGGCACCCUUCUGCCUCCAGUCGACGGUGGGAGUUACAUUGGUGACGUUCUUGUAUAAGAAGUACCCUUCGAGGUUCGCGCUUCCUCUGAGAGUGCUGCGGCGACGAAUCCUCGUCCCUGCGUACGUCCUCUUGAACUCCUCCCUCGCCGUAUCGCCGAACUUGUUGAGGCUAAGCUUGUAAGGCUUGGCUUUCUUGUUGGACGCGAACACGUAGUUAGCGUUCUCUUUAAAAACAUCAAAGCGGAUGCGCUUCUCGUCGACGCUGCGUGACACGCCAUGGUGGCUCUGCCACCUCUCGUACAAGUCCAAGAGCUUAUCCUCCGACGCGAUGUCGAUGUCAUCCCCAACGAUGGGCAAGCCGGAGAAUGCUACCGCAACGAGAAAGGCAGCGAACAAGAAUCCUCUCCCCAUGGUGGUGAACGAGGAGAAACCAAAAACAGGAUGGAAGUAGGUUUAUGGUUCGAAGGAGGUAUCUAUAGAGAUGUUGGGAGUGAAGCAUGACGACUGGGCGGUUAGGAGAUUAGGGCAUGGGCAUGGGAGAGGCUCAUUUUACGUAACUGUUAUUGGCAUCUUCUUAAGCGAUGCAUGCAUGCAUGCAUACGUCGAAAAGGUAUCCUCUUCGGGUAGUUUGAUGUGCAUGGGUUCGGGCAGAAGCUUCCAAGCCAAUAUGGGAGAAGAGUGUGUAGUCCUAUAGAAAUGGGAACUGUGAGGUUGGAUAUCCAAAUCGCAAUUAGCGUUUGAUUAGGGAAAGAGAUGGAUAUUAUGAAGCCUCAUAUAGCUCGAUGAAUUAUAUUGAUCAAAAUGUAGCAUAAAUAAGACUAAAGAUUUUUACAGGACUGCUUCACGGAUGCUUUCUGGGGCAGGUUAUAGCCACUAUGAGAUCAGUAGCUACUGCAAGGAUCGGUAUGAGUGCAAGCACAAUCUCACCUACUGGCUGAACAGAUCUUUCUAUGGAUUUGGCCUUGGAUCUGCAAGCUACAUCAAUGACAUGAGGUUUUCAAGGCCAAGAAGAUUGAAGGAGUACGAGGAAUGGGUGCACAAGUUGGAAGAUGGAUUGGUAGUGCUUCAUGAGGACAUCAGUGUCGACACAAAGGACAUGUCAAUGGAUGUUGUGAUGCUGUCCUUGAGAACGGCAAAAGGUCUUGACCUGAGGGGCUUUGCAAAAUGCUUUGGGAAGAGCCUGGCACGCUCUUUGUGCCAAGCCUUGAGGCAGUAUGUAGAGAGUGGGCAUGUGGUUGUCAUGGAUGAUGAUAGAAAUACGUUGUCUUACCCUGAGUUUGAGUUGAAGAUGAGUGAGGAUAAUGAUGAAAUGGGUAAUGGAGUUGCAUCCAUUCGGCUCAGUGAUCCAGAUGGUUUCCUCCUGUCUAAUGAGUUGAUAUCCAUUGCAUUUGGAAUUAUAUCUCCAUAAUAUCCUGUGAGACUUUCGAAACUCAUCUGUUGUUUACAGCAAUGUUUUAAUCAUGUCCAAAUCUAUCAAUUGAAAUAUAGUUUUUCCCGCAUUGUUUAACCAGAAUUCACAUUUGCAUUAUAGAGAGGAAAAGCAAAAGUGUGUAUAUAAAAUUUUCCAAAUGCAUUAUCGAAAUAUAAUCUUUUUCCUCAUUGUUUAAUCAGAAUUCACAUAUGCAUUUUGCCUGAUGUUCCUGAUUUUUCUCUUUCAAAGAACUUAAUGGCAGUUUAUUUGCAGAAUUUAUUAUGCUUUUCAUUGUUAGGUUUGCAUUCUUGAACUCAACAUCGAAGUAUUAUGUGGAAAUUUCUAGACUUUUGACUUACACCAAUUCCUGAUCAAUGUCUAAAAAAUAUUUUUCGAUGUAUGAUUUUUCUUGAGAGGUCUUUAAUAUUGGAAACCAUUUUUUUUUUUCUGUAAAUAACUGUUAUGAAGUGAGCAUGUGAAUGAUGCAGUAGCUUUUUGCAAGUUUAAUCAAGCAUUGACAGGAUGUUUGAGCAUCCUGCCGCGUUUCUUUCUUAGUUUUUUUAAAAAAUGUAGUUUUCUUCGAAAAUGAAUUCUUUUAGUAAGGUUUCUAAUGAUUCUGUUAUCCUUUUUCGGAAAUUUUAAGAUCUCCUAGAGUAUGCUUGGUUCAGUGUUGGAAUAAUUUGGUAUAAGUUAUCCUAAGCCAGUUACAAUUUUAGUCCUCUGAAAGAGCAUCAUUCUUGUUGAGCUACAUAAGGAUAGUUUUCCUCUGUUGUGAUCCCUCCAUUUCUUUCGAUGAGGUCGAAUGCAUCAUCCAUCAUAUCCCGCUCAUUUCUAAUCCAGCCCGAAUCCAGCGCACCUACCUACGAUCCAACCACUGCUGCAACAAGUGCCGCCCGAUCGGGCUCACACGAUACCCCCAGAGCUCCCCGCGUCGCUUCAGGUUCGACCGGCCCCGCUGGAAGAUCGAGCGAUGGGAAACUCGAGCACCCGCCUGGAGCCCGAGGUGUUAUCUUCAGAUUCAAUGGCCUGCUUGCCUGAGUCGUGCUCCUCGACUGCAUGUUGCCCGAGACCACCUUUGCGCGGCCUGCCAGCCUGAGUCGUGCUCCUUGACUGCAUGUUACCCGAAACCACAUCUGCGCGACCUGCCCGAUUGAGUUGUGCUCCUCGGUUGCAUGUUGCCCGAGACCACCUCUGCGCGGCCUGCCCNNNNNNNNNNNNNNNNNNNNCAUGUUGCCCGAGACCACCUCUACUCGGCCUGCCCGUUUGAGUCGUGCUCCUCGGCUACAUGUUGCCCGAGACCACCUUUGCUUGGCCCGCCCGACUGAGUCGUGCUUCUCGGUUGCACAUUGCCCGAGACCAUCGCUGCGCCCCCAGCUCUCCUCGAUUGCUAAACUCCACGAUUCCCACACCCUUGGUAACGGACCGGCUACCGCCCGACAGGGACAAUUUCUUAAAGCUGAAGCCAUGCCUCGGACCCCCCCCCUUACAACAACCAACGCAUAGCUUCCUUCGGGGGGGGGGGGGGGGAUAUGAUAAGGGCAAUAAUGGCGAUGGGAUGAGGGUUAACGUUAGCUGUGCCCGGAUGACGCCUCGGUUGACCUAACAGCACUUGACCAAAACAUACUGGAACGUCGACCGAGGCAUAUUAACAUCCUGCGCGAGCCCGGUCCUUCACGCCAUGCCAACACUGGUGUCAGACGUUACCAGGAGUAUGAUCAUGCUCCCUGCAAGCGGGCACAUCAGGCAACGGUAACCUUCCCUAUAAAAACCCUUGCGCUCAGAAAGAGUGGAGGAGAAUCAUGUGAGAAAAACUCCCUGUGACCGUUCACUCACUUGAUCGUCGGAGGGGUCGGGUCGAGCCUCCCGACCUAACCUGUGCGCAAGGACGAAGACGGAGCGCCUCCCACCGCGUGCCCAGGCGAAGAGUUCCCUUCCAGAGGAAACGGUUGUCCCGUCGCGAUCGGACCACCGUAGUCGGCCACCUCAACAGUCUCAAGGGUCGCCCAGGAAGAUCCCUAAUCAUUCGGACCCGAACCAAGUCACGUUGGCCCCGAGGCCACGACUUAAGGUUGUUAACACCAACAAGAUAUACAAAUCAUGAAGACAAAUUGUGAAUAUUAAGAGACAUAUUGUGUUUCUGUUUCGAUAACUCAAAUUGAGAAAAGAAAGAAUCAUAGUAGACAAUCUUGAUUUAUAAAAAAAAUUUUAAGUUAUAAUUAUAAGAAAUCAAGAGAAACCAUGAUUCAUUUUAACAAAUCUCCUCUUAAAUAAAUAAUAAAAAUAAUUCUUAGAAAAUCAUGAUAUAGAUAAAAUUCAUUCAAUCUUAUAGGAGAAUAAGAUAUGCAUAUAAAAUUUCUCAAUUUAUUAUGAAUCAUAAAAAUUAUAAUUCUGAAAAAUCAUGAUUCAUUUAGAAAAUUUUAAACGAUCAAAAGAAAUAUGGGAGUUCAAAAAAUAAGAUAUUGAUUCAUAAACAAUUUCAAGUCAAGUCAUAAAUCACGAGAAAUCAAGAUAAAGCUCAUUCAAAUUAUUAUGAUCCUUUUUCGAUAACUCAACUCAAAUCAGAUUGAUGUGACGAUGUGUCCCAAUAAAAUAAAGAUUGCGUGUUUUUAUGGAGGCAUUGAGGUGGUCAGUGUAAUAAAUAAUACAUAAGUGAUAUAUCUUAAAUUUAAAUUUAGAUGUGAGCAUCAUAUUUGGGUACAUGAGUAUCAUGUCCUUUAUUUAUAGUACUAAUUUUUUUUAUAUAUAAAUAAAAAAAAUAUAUAUAAAGUAUGGUUGACUCGUGAAAUAAUUAUUCAGCAAAUAUUCAUGAAUUGAUGGCUACGUUCAUUAAGAGACAAGUUUGUAUAUUAUAAACAGCAGGUUUUUCUCGUUUCUAAUAAAAACAUUCUAUAGGCUGAUCGCAUUGAAAUAAACUUUAUAUAUAAACAAUGGAAUUAUAUUUUUAAUUAUUUGUUCUGUAAGCUCUUCUUCAUAUAUUCGUUUCUUUGAUCAUGCAAGACAUAGUUUGGUCAGAGAAGACGUACUUUGUCCGCAAAGAAGAAACUCGAGGAUGUGUAGGCCUUCCUUCACCUUUAAAAUAAAUGUUCUCGACAUAAUAAAAAUACUUGUCCAGUAUGCACAUCUAUUUUUAAUAAAGCAUUUUAUACGAGAAAGCUUUCACUAUUAGACUUUUAUUAAAUAGAAAAUGUUCAUGUUAGGUUAGGGUCCGAAUAAAUUGAGGUUCACCCAACAAAAUAAUGACUCGUCUAAGUCUGGACCGUUGCCGUGAAUGUAUAAUGGGACGAAUCAAUUGCAAUGGGUUUGCUUGAAGCUCACCAUAUAUGUUGCUUGCUGUCAGCCCAGUGCGACGCUCAUUAAUCAUAAAUUAUAGGAGUGAGAAUUAUAUUAUUCCCCAUGAGAUUGUCAUUACCAACGAUAUUGUUGUUUGCUGGGUGUUACGGUUUGAUCUUGUCUCGAAGACGUAAGGUCAUUUGAGGAUCCCUCGUGGUUGUUUAGCAAGGGAGCUGGUGUGGCAUCGAUGAAUCUGAGGUGGUUUUUGAGGAUUCGGGAUGGACUUCGAUCUUUUCAGGUUCCUACACAAAGUUUAGUGUCAGGCGGAGUUUCCCGACCGUGAUGUUCAAGUUAGUUUUAUGGAGUUGUGUGAGGUAUAAAGGGUUUUUGUGAAUAAUAUAAUUAAAAGUAGAUAUCUGUGAUCUGCCAAAAUUCAACUGCUUGGUUCCACUUGCAUCAAGUGUGUCAAAAAGGGCAAAACUAAUACUAGAGCAAUUGACAGCCUCCAAGAGAGUUGGUGUUGAGCUCAAUAGAAGGGAGCUGUAGGAAUUGAACUGCUUUAGUAGCUUCAUGUUGGAUCUUCUACUAUGUAUAGACUUGGAGAAAGAAAAACGAGGAUGAUGCAAGCCAAAAUUAACGAACUUUAGAUGAAUAGACUAAGACAUGAGAGAAUAAAUGAGAUAGAGAAUUUUGUGUACCAACAAAUACAAGCAUAUCAUAAUACAUAGUAGAAUUAAAUGAAAAUUAUAAUCAAAUAAAACAUCAAAAUUUACGUGAAAAACUCCUUCAACAUGAAGGGUAAAAACCACAGGGUAAACAAGAGGAAAUGUACUAUAAAAAUAAUGAAUAUAUAAAUCUCAGAGUCUUUUGCCCAAAACCCAAGCAACAAUCACAAGAGAAUAAUUAUGAUAUAAGGAUUACGUCAUUGUGCAUAAUAUCCAAAAUCUCCUCAAGUGAUCACAACAGGAAUCUACAAUAAAUCUGAUCUAAUAUGAGAUCAGAACACUUAUUGGAUGAUUGAGAAUAGUCUCUACGUUGACCUUGUCUUCUUCCUUUUCCUUCUUCUCUUGUUUUUCUUUCCUCAACUGUCACUGUUGCAUCUCUCUUUUUUACAACCACCGUUGCCCUCUUUUUUUGCCUUAGCAACCAUACUUCUUGGUUAAAAGAGUUAGUAUUUUGGUUAAAAAAAAAGAGAGUUAAGACUAAAGUGGGUUGUGGGUAAUUAAAGCCUACUAUGAGUUGAAUAAUGAGUCAUCUGCCCAACAACCUCCCCCUUCGGCCCAUAAGGGAGGUUGUCUCAUAACUCCUCAAUGUAAAUUCAUACAAACUUUUGGUAUAUCUUUUGUCUUUCUUUUGGUAAGGUCUUUAUCAAUAUAUCUACUCCAUUAUCAUCUCUAUGAAUUUUCUAAAGUUGCAACUGCUUUUCUUCAAGUAAAUUUUGAAUCCAAUGAUACCUGACAUAUAUAUGCUUUGACUUGAAAUGAAAAGUUGGGUUCUUACACAAAUAGAUGACGCUCUUACUUUCACAAUACACUAUAUAGUUUUUCUUUUUCAGUCAUAAUUUUUGUAAGAAUUCUUUUAUCCAUGAUAUUUACUUACAAACCUCUAUAGUAGUAAUAUAUUCUGCCUUUAUGGUGAAGAGAGCAAUAUACCUUUGCAAUCUGGAUUGCCAUGACACAACUCUCAUUGCAAAAGUAAAUACAAAACCUAAUGUAGACUUCCUCGUAUCAAUAUCUAUUGUCAUAUCUGCAUCUGUGUAACCUGUCAACACUGAUUGUCCACCUCCAUAGCUUAAACAAAAUAAUGACUCAUCUAAGUCUGGAUUAUUGCCAUGAAUGUAUCAUGCAACAAAUCAAUUGCAUUGGGUUUGCUUGAAGCCCAUCAUAUAUAUAGCUUGCUGUUAGCCUAAUGCAACACUCAUUCAUCUUAAAUUAUAGGAGUGAGAAUUAUAUUAUUCCUCACGAGAUUGUCAUUAUCAAUUAUAUUGUUGUUGAUUGAGUGUUGUCAAUUGAUAGUCGGUAUGAUUUGGUCUUAUUCUAAAGUUGCAAGGUCGUCCGAGGAUCCCUCAUGGUUGUCUGGCGAGGUGGUUGGUGUGGUGCCGACGAAUCUAAGGUGGUUUCUGAGGAUCUAGGACGGACUUUGGUCUUCUUGGUGGGUUCAUGCACAAAGGUUAAUGUCGGGAGGAGUUUCCCGACUCGACUCGACCCCUUCGAUGCUCAAAUUAGCUUUGUAAAGUUGCAUGGGGUAUAAAGGAUUAUCUUCAAGAGAAGUCAAACCCUUGGAUAGGCAUAAGGGGUUGACUUUUAUACCAAGCGAUCGAGGGGUUCGUUUGUAACUGUUGUAAUGCCCUCCACAUAGCAUUUUGUCCACGUGAGCGAUAGGCUUGAAUGACCUUUUGCGGGUUGUCGUCCACAAAGGCCGAUUGAUUGGGGACAUAUAUGAAGGAUCACUCGGGGAUCACUAUCUUUAGUGACCAACAUGAUUUAUACAUGUCGGGGAUCACUAUCUGAAGGAUCACUCGGGGAUCACUAUCUUUAUUUAUACAUGUUAAAAGAGAGUAUUUCCUUGAUCAGCAAGAUUUUCUUGUAUAGUUGGGGAAAUAGAAUCUUCUAAUAUGUAUAGACUUUAGAUGAUGACAAUGAUCCUCUAAUAGAAAGAAAAAUGAGGAUGAUGUGAACUUUAGAUGAAUAGAAUAGGACUUGUGAGAAUAAAUGGGAUGGAGCUUGACGAAAUCUUCGCUUGGAUUACGAUCUUAUUCUAGAGACUUGAGCUCGAGGAGAAGGGUCCCAAACCUAACGACACAAUGUCGAUGCCUAUACGUAUUCUCCUCCGUAGAUCAUGACCCACGACCAACUCUUGACCGUGUUGUUGUUGAUGAGGGCUUGUCGUCAACGAAGCUCCGAGGUCAUCCUAAUAUUUUAAGAAGGUUCAGAUGACCUGGGAGACUUCCAUCUCUCUCUGUUUGUGUUGGAAUUCUAAUGUAAACCCUUAUGUCAGGAUUAAUACUUAUAAUAAACCUUACACGAAGUUGGCUCUUUCCUAAUCGCUUAAGGUUUUGAGACUAACUGUAUCGUGAUAUUAAAAUAUAUUCGAGUGUGAAAUUUACAGUCAUGGAGCAAAGAUGAUGAUCCUCGUGAGUUUCUUUGGUCUUAGCUUAGUGGCGAGGAGUCACAAUCGAUUAGGAAAUCUGCUAAGCUGGCGCCGGCCAUUGAUUGACACAUCGAUGGUGCGUCGAGUGGAGGAAGACUAAUAAGUUCGUGGUCGUUCCCAUGGCGCAGCGGAAACCGUGUGCAAGCAGGGUUGAAGAAGGUGAACACGUCUUUCUUCCCCCGUUAAUUUCGCUCACCGCAUGUUGCAAGCCAAAGAUCAAAGGACUUUACAUGAACAGAGCAAGGCAAUGAAGAAUUAAACGUGUGGCGAUUAAUAUACUCCAAGAACCUUUUUGUGCUAAGUUAGGUUCUGAUGGUGUGACAUGUGGACUCGAGAAAUCUGACUUAACAGCCACCCAACAUCUCGGACUGAGACGAAACCAAAAGUAUACAUCGAUUGGCUCCGAACCUUACUCACAUGUCACACCAUCAGAACCUAUGUUAGCACAAUAAAGUUACUGGAGUAUAUUAAUCGCCACACCUUUAAUUCUUCAAUGCCAUACUCUCUUCAUGUAAAGUCCUUUGAUCUUUGAACACCAACGCCAGCAUUUUCGCCUCCGUCGUUGUCCUUGUCCCACCGCCACCUCUAGGCUGCGUUGUUCCUGGCGAAGACUCAGUCGUAGGACCUUCUCGUGGUUCUCACCGGGUAGACUGACUUCACUUCCAUCCCUCUCUACGUGUUGGAAUUAUACAUCGGAUGCUCAUGCGUCAUUGCGAGGAUGAAUACUGACAAACCGAACACAUCGGCUGCGGUUGUUUAGGAUGAUGACCGACCCAUUUAUUCCCAGCAGCCUCACCUGCACGAGACUUCCUCGGAGUUUCCCUUCUGCAUUACGUCAAUGAAUUCAUCUCAAACUCAGUUCAAGAGUACCGGCAUACGCAUUAGAUUCGGAUGCCCGAAAAGAAUCGAUCUACCGCCAUCCUUAUCUCUGUCCUUGACGAUGUUUGCACAGAGACGACUCGAUCCCUCACAAGUCAAUUGACUCAGUUGGUCGCUGGUGCAUCGACCAUAGAGGAAGACCAAAUAAAUGAAGGCGUGAAUGAGGCGGUGGCAACCGUGCGCGAAGCAGACUCGAAGAAGUGUGCUCGCGGCGCAGCGUGUCACAGAAAUAUAUAGGUUGUAAGAUUUUAUAUACUUCGAGGAUACGUUUCUUCUCAUGCUUAACCUCAAAGAAAGAAGGAAAUCACAUGAGUUACAGAUGAACACAACAGCAAUACAAAUAAAUUAUACGAAGCAAAGAUGAUGAGUGGAUGAGCACUUCCUCUAAGAGUCAUCCAGGAGUUAGUCAAAGUCUUCUUGUCUUCAUCCCAAAGCGCAGCCUCCCCUUGUCAUCUUCUCUUCCCUGGUGCAGGUCCCAUCCCACCCUCCUUCCCUAUAUAACAUGAACGAGGCCUUCGCCAAUCGUCACAGGCAAUCCACCAUGGCCUCCCGUAACCUCUCCUCCCUCCUCCUCGUCGUCCUCCUCGUCUUCGCCGGCUAUGCCGGUUCCCACGCCGGCAGCAUCGCCGUGUACUGGGGCCAGAACGGCAACGAGGGCGGCCUUGCCGACACCUGCAACACCGGCAUCUACUCGUACGUGAUGCUGGCUUUCCUCACCACCUUCGGCAACGGGCAAACCCCCGUCCUCAACCUGGCGGGCCACUGCGACCCCCCCUCCGGCACCUGCACCGGCCUCAGCUCCGACAUCCGCGCCUGCCAGUCCCAGGGCAUCAAGGUGCUCCUCUCCCUCGGUGGCGACUCCAGCAGCUACUCCCUGUCCUCCUCCGACGACGCCGCGAGCGUGGCGACGUAUCUGUGGGCCAACUACCUCGGCGGCUCGUCCAGUUCGCGCCCGCUGGGUGACGCCGUCCUCGACGGCAUCGACUUCGACAUCCAGCAUGGCGGCCCCGACCACUACAACGAGCUGGCGAAGCAGCUCUCCGACUUGGGCGGCCAGGCUGGGACCAAGGUGUACCUCUCGGCGGCGCCGCAGUGCCCCUACCCGGACCAGUCCUUGGGGAACGCGCUGCAGACGGGGCUCUUCGACUACGUGUGGGUGCAGUUCUACAACAACCCCAGCUGCGACUACUCGUCGGGGGUCAGCGGCCUGAGCAGCGCAUGGGGGACGUGGACGUCGAGCUUGUCGUCAUCGACCGUCUUCCUGGGGCUGCCGGCCUCGCAGGACGCGGCCGGGAGCGGGUACAUCCCGCCCGACGUCCUCACCUCCCAGGUGCUGCCGGCGAUCAAGACUGCGUCCAACUACGGCGGCAUCAUGCUGUGGAGCAGAUACUACGAUCUCAACAGCGGGUACAGCGCUGCCGUGAGGAACAGUGUUUGAGAUGGCGAUGUACUCACUACCAUAUGUGUGCUUCCGAUUACGAGGUCAUGAAUAAGGCGGGACAGUGAUAGAAAGGUGUUCCAGAUUGAUGUGACGAUGCGUCCCAAUAAAAUAAAGAUUGCGUGUUUUUAUGGAGGCAUUGAGGUGGUCAGAGUAAUAAAUAAUACAUAAGUGAUAUAUCUUAAAUUUAAAUUUAGAUGUGAGCAUCAUAUUUGAGUACACGAGUAUCAUGUCCGUUAUUUAUAGUACUAUUUUUUUUUAUUUUAUAAAAAUAAAAAAAUAUAUAAAGUAUGCUUGACACGUGAAAUAAUUAAAAUAAACCCAUAGACGGACCAAGAAAGGUGGUGUAUCGAUGACAAUUGAUGCAAAUAACAAAUUCAGCAAAUAUUCAUGAAUUGAUGAUGGCUUCGUUAAUUAAGAGACAAGUUUGCAUAUUAUAAACAAGCUGGUUUUUCUCGUUUCUAAUAAAAACAUUCUAUAGGCUGAUCGCAUUGAAAUAAACUUUAUCUUAUAAACAAUGGAAUUAUAUUUUUAAUUAUUUGUUCUGUAAGCUCUUCUUCAUAUAUUCGUUUCUUUGAUCAUGCAAGACGUAGUUUGGUCGGAGAUGACGUACUUUGUCCGCAAAGAAGAAACUCGAGGAUGUGUAGGCCUUCCUUCACCUUUAAAAAAAUGUUCUCGACAUAAUAAAAAUACUUCUAUUUUUAAUAAAGCAUUUUAUACGAGAAAGCUUUCACUAUUAGACUUUUAUUAAAUAGAAAUGAUGCUUCUCUAAUUGGUUUUUACACGAGACAUCCUUUGCCUCUAUCUCUUUGCCUUCGGUCAUUGAAUAUGACCUUUCUAACCAACAUGGAAUGUUGUCUAAUCAUAAUUCCUCAUGCGUUUCUUCCGAAUGGGCCAUAUGCCCCUAAUUUUUGAAUCGAUGUUCAUGUUGGGUUAGGGUCCGAAUAAAUUGAGGUUUACCCAACAAAAUAAUGACUCGUCUAAGUUUGGUCUGUUGCCGUGAAUGUUUCAUGCGACGAAUCAAUUGCAGUGGAUUUGCUUGAAGCUCACCAUAUAUGUUCUUGCUGUCAACCCAGUGCGACGCUCAUUAAUCCUAUAUUAUAGGAGUGAGAAUUAUAUUAUUCCCGGGGAGAUUAUCAUUACCAACGAUAUUGUUGUUUGCUGAGUGUUACAGUUUGAUCUUGUUUUUGAAGACGUAAGGUCAUUUGAGGAUCCCUCGUGGCUGUCUGUCUGGCGAGGGAGCUAGUGUGGCACCGAAGAAUCUGAGAUAGUUUCUAAGGAUUCGAGAUGGACUUCGAUCUUCCCAGGUUCCUGCACAAAGGUUAGUGUCGGGCGGAGUUUCCCGACCUGACUUCUCCGAUGUUCAAAUUAGUUUUGUGGAGUUGUGUGAGGUAUAAAGGGUUUUUGUGAAAAGAGGUCCGACCCUUGGGCAAGCGUCGGGGGUUGGCUUUUAUACCUGGGCGAUCAAGGAGAUCGUUUGUUAAUAUUAUAAUGCCCUCCGCAUAGCAUUUUGUCCAUGUGAAUGAGAGGCCCGAGCGAUCCUCUACAGGUUAUCGUCUACAAAGGCCAACUGAGUGGGGAUAUAUCAGAAGGAUCACCCGGAGACCACUAUUCUUGGUGAUCGACAAAAUUAAUCGGAACGAUCUCCCGUGAACUAUUAUCUAUGAGGGCCGCCAAGUGCCCCACGAUGCUAUCGAGUUGGGAGGUGAUUUACCCUUACCUUCCAUGUCGACAUCUCGGUGGCGAUCAACUAUAAAGCUAGUUUUGUCAAAAUAUUUCCUAUUAGAUAUAUGAACCUGAUGUAAGAUGGGAACCUUUAACUCUAUCGAUAUUUCAUUAUCAUGAACUUACCUUAAUUUAUCUAAACCGUAUAUCACAUUCAUGCAAAGAGUUAAUCUUUCAAUGUGAAAAAAUAGAUAGUGACAUGUGAAUGCACUAUAAUAGUGACUUGGCUUAAAGCAUAAACUAAGAUUGCACUAGCAUCAUCGAAUAAAAUAAUUUAGUGGCAUGCUUUCACUUAUGCUCGAUAGCUUCUUGUUUUCUUUACUAGAACAAAAAUACAUUGCUUUAAAAGUAGCUUCAAGUAGGAAUUGAACUGCUUUAGUAGCUUCAUGUUCGAUCUUAUACAAUGUAUAGACUUGGAGAAAGAAAAACGAGGAUGAUGCAAGCCAAAAUUAACGAACUUUAAAUGAAUAGUCUAAGACAUGAGAGAAUAAAUGAGUUAGAGACCGGCGAAGCACCAUUAAGUGAUGAGAUAAAAAGAGAAUUUUGUAUACGAACAAAUAAAUCAUAACACGUAGCAGAAUUAAAUGAAAAUCAUAGUCAAAUAUAAUAUCAAAAUUUACGUAAAAAAUCUCUCCAACACGAAGGGUAAAAACCAUAGGGUAAGCAAGAGAAAAUCUACUAUAAAAAUAAUGAAUAUACAAAUCUCAGAGUCUUUUGCCCAAAACCCAAGCAACAAUCACAAGAGAAUAACUAUGAUAUAAGGAUUACGUCAUUGUGCAUAAUAUCUAAAAUCUCCUCAAGUGAUCACAACAAGAAUCUACAAUAAAUCUGAUCUAAUAUGAUAUUAUAAUACUUCUUGGAUGAUUGAGAAUAGUCUCUAUAUUGUCCUUGUCUUCUUUCCUUUCCUUCUUCUCUUGUUUUUCUUUCCUCAACUAUCACUGCUGCUUCUCUCUUUUUUACAACCAUCGCUGCCCUCUUUUUUUGCCCUAGAAACCAUACUUCUUGGUUAAAAGAGAAAAGAGUUAAGAUUAAAGUGGGCUGUGAAUAAUUAAAGCCUACUAUGAGUUGAAUAAUGAGUCAUUUGCCCAACAAUCUUCCUCUUCAGCCCAUAAGGGAGGUUGUCUCAUGACUCCUCAAUGUGAAAUCAUACCGACAAACUAUUGGUAAUCUUUUGCCUUUAUUUUGGUAAGGUCUUUAUCAACAUAUUUGCUCUAUUACCAUCUGUAUGAAUUUUCUAAAGUUGUAACUGCUUCUCUUCAAGUAUAUUUCGAAUCCAAUGGUAUCUGACAUCUAUAUGCUUUGACUUGGAUUGAAAAGUUGUGUUCUUACACAAAUAGAUGACGCUAUGACUUUCACAAUACACUACAUAGUUUUUUUUUUUUCGGUCAUAAUUUUUGUAAGAAUUUUUUUAUCCAUAAUAUUUCUUUGCAAACCUCUAUAGUAGUAAUAUAUUCUGCCUCUAUGGCGGAGAGAGCAAUAUACCUUUGCAAUCUGGAUUGCCACGACACAACUCCCCUUGUAAAAGUAAGUACAAAACCUAAUGUAUACUUCAUUGUAUCAAUAUCUAUUGUCGUAUCUGCAUCUGUGUAACCUGUCAAUAUAGAUGGUCCACCUCCAAAGCUUAAAAAAAAUAAUGACUCAUCUAAGUCUGGAUUGUUGCCAUGAAUGUAUCAUGCAACAAAUCAAUUGCAUUAGGUUUGCUCGAAGCCCACCAUAUAUGUUGCUUGAUGUUAGCCCAGUGCAACACUCAUUCAUCCUAAAUUAUAGGUGUGAGAAUUAUAUUAUUCCUCAUGAGAUUGUCAUUAUCAAUUAUAUUGUUGUUGCCUGAGUGUUGUCAAUUGAUAGUCGGUAUGAUUUGGUCUCAUUCUAAAGUUGCAAGGUCAUCCGAGGAUCCCUCGUGGUUGUCUAGCGAGGUGGUUGGUGUGGUGUCGAUGAAUCUAAGGUAGUUUCUGAGGAUCUAGGAUAGACUUUGGUUUUCUUAGUGGGUUUAUGCACAAAGGUUAAUAUCGGGGGGAGUUUCCCGACCCGACUCGAUCUCUCUGAUGUUCAAAUUAGCUUUGUGAAGUUGCGUGGGGUAUAAAGGAUUUUCUUAAAGAGAAGUCCGACCCUUGGACAGCCAUCAGGGGUUGACUUUUAAACCUAGGCGAUCGAGGGGAUCGUUUGUAACUGUUGUAAUGCCCUCCACAUAGCAUUUUGUCCAUGUGAGCGAUAGGCUCGAAUGACCUUUUGCGGGUUGUCGUCCACAAAGGCCGAUUGAGUGGGACAUACCUGAAGGAUCACCCGGGGAUCACCAUCUUUAGUGACCGACAUGAUUUUCCCAAACGACCUCCCGUAUACUAUUGUCCAUAGGAGUUGAUAGGUGCCCCACGAUGGGGUGACAAACCUGACGAUGGAGGCUUGAAUAGCUUGGAGGAUGAGAUGAUCUUGGGGUAAUCAUAGUUUAUGGGCUGGAUUUAGUACUAGACUAGGGUCUUCUAGGAUAUUGAUAAUUGUGAUGGACAAUGAAGAGAGCUAUUGACACAGUCUCGUAGAUCGUAUCCAAAUAGGAGAUUAGAAAAUUAUGCACGUCAAGAUGUGUAGUUGUCAUCUUUAGAUAAUUUAAAAGGGAUGAGUGUUACUUGAUGGUGAUAAGACAUAUGUUGAGAAGUGAUAUAUUCCCUGAGGGGAUAAUAACUAGAGCGUUAGAGGUAGAUGAUAAAGAUAUUUUGAGGAUAGGUAUAUGAGAGAGUAAGGGAGUUGUCAGCUGUAGAAGGAGAGUGGAAGAUGGCUCCAAUGAGGAUCGUAGUGAUUGCUGCAGCAGGUUGAGGUAUCUUCUUCUUCGCCCCUCUAGGAGGUCUCAGAUCCUUAGACAGAGAUAUUUAUCGAAGGAGGCAUUUGGGCGAGCAGAUCUUAAUGGGCUGAAGGUGCGGCCUGGAGGAGCAGUUCUAAUGGCGAAAGGAGAAGUUGAAGGAAGUUUGUUUCUGGAGCGAUUGGGUCUCGAUCGAGGAAAUCUCGCUGAUCAGUUGAGGGAAUUCCUUUCUUCUAACAUGUAUAAAUAGACAUUGUAUUCAACUAAUUGAAGAGUGCUUUGUCAUUACAUUUCAUUUUCUCAUGCUAUCAGAGUUGUAGUGAGCGAACGCUAGCGCAGAGCGACAGAGGGAGAAGAUAGACAGUCGUUGUUCGUUUAGGAGGAAAUCAGUGAUCUGAUCAACAAUCACUAAAGGUGGCAGCACCUGCGCUUCCUUUGGGAGCAUCGUCCGUGGUGAAGAGAGAAGAAAUAGGGAUGCUACACUAAAGGGAAGGGAUCGCCUUGCGCACGAACGCAGAUCAUCAGUCGUCGGUCGCCUUGCACUUGCUUGGGAGGUGGAGACCUUUGACAGGAGAUGUGGCACUUGCGUUUGGAGUAGCAGAGGCAACAACAAGAGCAGAUUCUCGAGUAAGUGACGCAAGCUUCCAUGAUCUUGAUGUCGGUGUAGCAAGAGGAGGCACUCCUCGUGCGCAGCUUGCAAUCUACAAGGUGUGCUGGGGUGCGCGGCUAGCAAUCUACAAGGUGUGCUGGGAUGUCAGGUUUGAGGAUGCUUGGAGUGGCAAAAUUUUGUCCUCUCGAUGAGAAGUAUGCAACAGAAGGCACCGGUGAGCAGCUGAACCGGUGCCGGGUGGUGGGCUCGAAAGGUGCGGGCGUUGGCUUUGCGCUUGCCACCGUUCUCCUCAAAGGCUACACGGAGGCGACCAAUGAGGGCGUCAGGGAGAGCUUUUCUGCCGGAUGAAGAGCCUUGAGGGAGGAAGAAGUGGCAGUAUAAGUUGCCUCAUCUAGACGACCAAGACACACAAUGGAAGCCACCUCGUCUAGGCGACCGGGACCGAUGAUUCGUUGAUGGAGAGGAAGGUAUAGUAGCAGACAAGGUGGAUACGGAGGAUCUCGUUGAUCUACUCCUCAUUGGCCUCGCAAGCAUGAUGUUGUCAUGCUAGUGGCGAUACUGAUAGAAGGUGAGUUAGCUAUCGCUGAACAUCGAGGAAGAGAAGAGAAAUCUUGCUAUAACGCAAGGGCUCUGAUACUGAUAAAAUGAAAUGUAAUGAUAAAGUACACUUCAAUUAGUUGAAUACAAUAUCUAUUUAUACAUGUAAGAAGAGAGGAUUUAUCUGAUCAGUAAAAUUUUCUCGUAUAGUUGAAGAAAUCUUAUCUGUUAUGAGGAUCUUCUAAUAUGUAUAGACUUUAGACGAUGAGAUGAUCUUCUAAUAGAAAGAAAAAUGAGGAUGAUGUGAACUUUAUAUGAAUAGAAUAAGACAUGGAAGAAUAAAUGGGAUGGAGAUUGACGAAAUCUUCACUUGGAUUACCAUCUUAUUCUAAAGACUUGAGCUGGAGGAAAAGGGUCCCAAACCUAACGACACAAUGUCGAUGCCUAUACGUAUUCUCCUCCGUAGAUCAUGACCCACUACCAACUCUUGACCGUGUUGUUCUUGACGAGGACUAGUCAUCAACGAAGCUCCGAGGUCACCCUAAUAUUUUAAGAAGGUUCAGAUGACCUGGGAGACUUCCAUCUCUCUCUGUUUGUGUUGGAAUUCUAAUGUAAACCCUUAUGCCAGGAUUAAUACUUAUAAUAAACCUUACACGAAGUUGGCUCUUUCCUAAUCGCUUAAGGUUUUGAGACUAACUGUAUCUCAAUCAAAAUUCGUAUCGUGAUAUUAAAAUAUAUUCGAGUGUGAAAUUUACAGUCAUAGAGCAAAGAUGAUGAUCCUCGUGAGUUUCUUUGGUCUUAGCUUAGUGGCGAGGAGUCACAAUCGAUUAGGAAAUCCGCUAAGCUGGCGCCGGCCAUUAAUUGACUCAUCGAUGGUGCGUCGACUAUGGAGAAAGACUAACAAGUUCGUGGUCGUUCCCAUGACGCAGCGGAAACCGUGUGCAAGCAGGGUUGAAGAAGGCGAACACGUCUUUCUUCCCCCAUUAAUUUCGCUCACCGCAUGUUGCAAGCCAAAGCUCAAAGGGCUUUACAUGAACAGAGUAUGGCAUUGAAGAAUUAAAGGUGUGGCGAUUAAUAUACUCCAUUAACCUUUUUGUGCUAACUUAGGUUCUGAUGGUGUGACAUGUGAGUAAGGUUCGGAGCCAAUCAAUGUUUACUUUUGACUCCGUCUCAGUCCGAGAUGUUGGGUAGCUGUUAAAGUCAGAUUUGUCGAGUCGAUUGCCUCGGCUAGUCGCUGGUGCAUCGUUUGACUAUGAACACCAACGUCAGCAUUUUCGCCUCCGUCGUUGUCCUUGUCCCACCGCCACCUCUAGGCUGAGUUGUUCCUUGCGAAGACUCGGUCGCAGGACCUUCUCGUAGUUCCCACCGGGGAGACUGACUUCACUUCCAUCCUUCUCUACGUGUUGGAAUUAUACAUCGGAUGCUCAUGCUUCAUUGCGAGGAUGAAUACUGACAAACCGAACACAUCGGCUGCGGUUGUUUAGGAUGAUGACGACCCAUUCAUUCCCAGCAGCCUCAUCUGCACGAGACUUCCUCGGAGUUUCCCUUCUGCAUUACGUCAAUGAAUUCAGUCUCAAAAUCAGUUCAAGAGUACCGGCAUACGCAUUAGAUAGAUCGAAUAGAGUCGGAUGCCCGAAAAGAAUCGAUCUACCGCCAUCCUUAUCUCUGUCCUUGACGAUGUUUGCACAGAGACGACUCGAUCCCUCACAAGUCGACUGUCUCAGUUGGUCGCUGGUGCAUCGACCAUAGAGGAAGACCAAAUAAAUGAAGGCGUGAAUGAGGCGGUGGCAACCGUACGCGAAGCAGACUCGAAGAAGUCUGCUCGCGGCGGAGCGCGCCACAGAAAUAUAAUAGAUUGUAAGAUUUUAUAUACUUCGAGGAUACGUUUCUUCUCAUGCUUAACCUCAAAGAAAGCUGGAAAUCACUUAAGCACAUGAGUUACAAAAAAACACUACAGCAAUACAAAUAAAUUAUACGAUGCAAAGAUGAUGAGUAGAUGAGCGCCUCUUCUAAGAGUCAUCCAACAGUUAGUCAAAGUCUUCAUGUCUUCAUCCCAAAGCGCAGCCUCCCCCUGUCAUCUCCUCUUCUCUGGUGCAGGUCCCAUCCCACCCUCCUUCCCUAUAUAACAUGAACGAGGCCUUCGCCAAUCGUCACAGGCAAUUCACCAUGGCCUCCCGUAACCUCUCCUCCCUCCUCCUCGUCGCCCUCCUCGUCUUCGCCUUCUCUGCCGGCUCCCACGCCGGCAGCAUCGCCGUGUACUGGGGCCAGAACGGCAACGAGGGCGGCCUUGCCGACACCUGCAACUCCGGCAUCUACUCGUACGUGAUGCUGGCUUUCCUCACCACCUUCGGCAACGGGCAAACCCCCGUCCUCAACCUGGCGGGCCACUGCGACCCCCCCUCCGGCACCUGCACCGGCCUCAGCUCCGACAUCCGCGCCUGCCAGUCUCAGGGCAUCAAGGUGCUCCUCUCCCUCGGUGGCGACUCCAGCAGCUACUCCCUGUCCUCCUCCGACGACGCCGCGAGCGUGGCGACGUAUCUGUGGGACAACUACCUCGGCGGCUCGUCCAGCUCGCGCCCGCUGGGCGACGCCGUCCUCGACGGGAUCGACUUCGACAUCGAGCAUGGCGGCCCCGACCACUACGACGAGCUGGCGAAGCAGCUGUCCGACUUGGGCAGCCAGGCGGGGACCAAGGUGUACCUCUCGGCGGCGCCGCAGUGCCCCUUCCCGGACCAGUCCUUGGGGAACGCGCUGCAGACGGGGCUCUUCGACUACGUGUGGGUGCAGUUCUACAACAACCCCAGCUGCGACUACUCGUCGGGGGUCAGCGGCCUGAGCAGCGCAUGGGGGACGUGGACGUCGAGCUUGUCGUCGUCGAUCGUCUUCCUGGGGCUGCCGGCCUCGCCGGACGCGGCCAAUAGCGGGUACAUCCCUCCCGACGACCUCACCUCCCAGGUGCUGCCGGCGAUCAACACUGCGUCCAACUACGGCGGCAUCAUGCUGUGGAGCAGAUACUACGAUCGCAACAGCGGGUACGGCGAGAAAGUGAAGAGCAGUGUUUGAGAUGGCGAUGUACUAACUACUAUAAGUGUGCUUCCGAUUACGAGGUCAUGAAUAAGGAGGGACGGUGAUAGAAACGUGUUCCAGAUUGAUGUGACGAUGCGUCCCAAUAAAAUAAAGAUUGCAUAAAGCCGUCCCGUGAAACGAUUGAAAUCAAAGGCGGCGCUCGCUGGAAUACGGUUGGAAUCGAUUGGACUCGAACUAAAACUUCAAAUCAGUUCGAUAAUUAGUGGAUUCUAAAUCGAAUUGGAGUUUUGAAAUUUAAAAUCGAUAAUUCUCAAAACGAUAGUUCAGAUUUUAAAAAAUAAUUAUAAAUAAAUUAUAAUUUUUUAUUUUAAAUUAUUUUUAAAUUAAAAAAAUCGAAAUCGUCCUGUUUCAAUUUCGAUUCUUUUUUUGAAAAUUUAGUAACCCGAAUUUGUCGAUUAUGAAACUUUGGUUAGGUGUAAUGAAAGGGUGUCUUAUGACAUUGGCGUAAAUAAUAAAUUCACCAAAUAUUCAUAUAAUAAAAACAUUCCAUGGACUGAUCACAUCGAAUUAUGUAUUCUAAAAGCUCUUCUUCGUAUUCCUUUCUGCGGUGAGCAGCAAAUCAUAAAUUGAAGGUUGAGUGAGACAAAAUACAAGAAAAACACAGACAGUCAUGUUAAUGGGCAGAUUUGUUGGGUCUCAGAACUCGGUAAGGAGAAAACCAACAUGAUGCUGUUAAAAGUUCUUCCGAACCAGAAUCAGUGGAAUGCAUCCAUGUCAGAAACCUUAUAGAACACUAAUGAAAGGUUGAGAAGACGAAGGUGCAGGCUUUUUGGAGGAUCAGACAAGGAAUGGUGACGUCAAAAGGUCGGGGAAAAGCUUGCAAGAAAAACCAACUCCUCACAGUGGUGUGUACGAAGCUGCGCUAAGUUGGAUCCUCUGCUCUGGUCAGAGAUGUUUAGGUCUCAACAAUAUAUAUCUAUAUAUAUAUAUAUAUAUAUACACACACACAUCACGCGCACCCCUUUCUCUCUCUCUCUCUCUCGCUCGCUGCGCUGAAACCAAACGGCACUGAAGAAAUCCGCUUCCCGUUUGGUGUUCUCUGCCUGUCUAUUUGGUUGUUUGCUUUCGAGCAGCCGAGAGGACUGUUUCAUUUUGCUCCUUUUUUAUCUCUUGGGGACUGUCAAUCUCGAUCCCGAAGCAAAGCUGCCUUCUUUUGGGUGUCGUUUUCUGUGGCCGGAUCAGAAGCUGUAAGAUAAGUACUGCGGAAGCCCGCACGGCCGCCCGCUUCCCACUCCCGCGCUCCCUUCCGCGGUGGGAUGCGAACAAAAGCGGUUCGUGCCAACAACCUCUCUCCGCCAUUAUCGCGCCCGACUCGGAGCUCUGGUUAUAUUUUGGUGGGACGAAUAAGGGAAAGUUGGGGGUUUGCGCCGAGCGGAACCGAAAAGAUCGGAUCUUGGCGUCUCUUUCUUCUUCUGCAGCGGUAUGGCUCGAAGCUUGUUUAUCCUGUCUUUCUCGUCCUUGUCUCUAGGUUUUCAAUUCUGCCUGCCGUCCGUGAACAGGGAAUAUUUGCUUUGGAAUGAAUAUCCCAAUUCCUGUCUUCAAUAUCUUCUGGCCCAACCAUGGAUGCUGAUCUUGAAUUGGAGGUGAUUUGCCCCCGUUGGCAAUAUGGCUUACACCCAACAUUUGCUGGCAAUUUGAUGUAUAAUUCAGUACCUUUGUUGUGAAAUGUCCUAUGACCUCUUCUUUUCCGAUGUUUAUUUUAUAGAUCUUUUUCAUUCGAAUUCUGAGGCAUUUUAGGUAUAGAUUCCUCUUUCCUGACAUUGUUCUUGUGUUUUCUGGUUCUAGUAAUCAAGUUUUUUGUACUAGUAGUUUGACUUUAUUCACUUCGAUGCAUCCAUAUUACAUACUGCUUGGUCUUAAUAACGUGUAUUUAGAUAUGAAAUGCUUCAUCCUUCAUGUUCUUAUUCCACUCUCUACAGAACAAUUUGUCCUCUCUCAUGGAGAGUGACCAAUCAUGGGAAUCUCUGUCUGCUAGCUACUCUGGAAGCAAGGAUAUCGAGCGCAAACAUGUCUCUGAGGGUAACAAUCGAGUGACAGUAUCUAUGGUUUCCUUGGACAGCAUUCUUCCUGAUGACGUUUUAGAGAAAAUAUUCUCUUUUCUGCCCAUUGCAAGCGUCAUCAGGGCUGCAUCUGUGUGUAAAGUUUGGUAUCAUAUCAUCCACUCGAUGAGGUUUAUAUGGGCAAACAAGUUACCACAGAAGCCAUGGUACUUCAUGUUUACCUUUAAUGAGGCUGCAGCAGGUUACGCAUAUGAUCCGGUUCUUCGGAAAUGGUAUAACAUUGAUCUCCCUUGUAUCGAGAAAAGUAAUUGGUUCGUUUCUUCUUCCAAUGGAUUAGUUUGCUUCAUGGACAAUGAUACUCGGAGCCGUAUUUUUGUUUGCAACCCAAUUAUAAGAGACUGGAAAAGGAUUUUGGAGCCUCCGGGUGUUGUUUUCCCUGAUUACAGUUCUCUUGCCAUCUCUGUAGAUAGAAGUUCUCACCGUUAUACGAUAGUUGUCAUCAAAUCUAAACAGGUGCCUGAUGAUUUUUCACAGUGGGACUUCUCCAUUCACACAUACAAUUCUGAGAGUGAGUCAUGGGAAUCUUCCAUAAAUACGGUUUUGUCUGGAUGGAGGGGAGGUGAUGAAAGUGUGAUCUGCAAUGGAGUACUAUAUUGUUUGAUUCAUUCUACCGGUGUUGUGGGAAAUGCUGACCUCCGACAUAGACUGAUGAUGUAUGAUAUCUCAGCCACAACACCACAUGUUUCGUCGAUGCAGGUGACCAUACCGGUACCCUGUUCCCUCACCUGCGGUCGGCUGAUCAACCUCAAAGAAAGACUAGUGAUGGUUGGUGGAAUUGCAAAGUAUGACAAGCCAGACAUCAUCAAAGGGAUUGGAAUUUGGGAACUUGAUGCAGGAGAGUGGGUAGAGGUUGCUCGUGUGCCUCACAGGUUCUUCCAGGGGUUUGGUGAGUUGGAUGAUGUCUUUGCGAGCAGCGGUACCGAGGACUUGAUCUUUAUACAGAGCUAUGGGGCUACAGCUUUGCUUGUUUUUGACAUGAGCCAGAAGCAGUGGAAAUGGUCUGCUAAGUGCCCUGUGACCAAACGAUUCCCUCUCCAGCUUUUUACCGGUUUCUGCUUUGAACCUCGGCUUGAAAUGGUCUCCUGAUCUCUGCUGUUCUCUAGUGUUGGGACCGAGUAACAGUUUGCUAAAGUGUCUUUAAAUUUUUGUAGGGUUUCAGGUGCUGGUUUCUUGGUACAGAAAAAUCAUGUGUCGUGUUAUUUGAUGUUUUCUCUUCUUUUUUUCCUUUAUCUUGAUCAUGUGAUGGCACAAAGUGACAUAUGGAAUGGCAAGUGUUUAAAACGACAGGUUCUCCUAUAAAAGAAAAAGGUUCAAACAUUAUCAUCUUGAGCUUUCUUCUGGAUCUCAUGUUUGCUGGGUUUGCUAGUAAUCAGUAGCAAAUUUGCUCUUAAUUCCCUUUCUGGAGUUCUUUUUACUUGUUUGUGCCCAUCUGCUUUGUCUUUGGUCUUCUUGUUGUUUCAGUGAUAGGUGCAUUACCUUCAGGGCUUUUGUUUUAGGUCCCCAUUAAGUGAAAGCAUUCCUGUGUGGCUCUCAUUGCAUUAGCUAAAAUUGAACAUUGUCCCAGAAGAAUCAGGGUUGCAGACAUUUAAUCCAGUCUACAUGCAUCAAAUUGUAGCUUUGUUCUUGUCUACAUUUCUAACCUCCUUUACUGCUUUAUAUUUACUAGGCUGUACAAGGAACAUAGCUUUCUGCUUUAAUGUCUCAAAAUGUGCAGCUUAAAGUAAUGUUUCUGUUACACCUUGGAGGCUGCUUCAAGUUUGUGCCAUUAGCAUAUCUCUUCUAUAGAUUAGCAACUUUUCUGUCCUCACUGAACUUUAUUCGUCGUCUUCCAAUCGAUCGAUAUUUUUAUCAAACAUUGAUCAUAUACCGGAUGAAUGUCGAUACAUUUCAUGGUGAGUUAUGAAUGACUUGCACAGUCCAUUUGCAUAUGUUUCCAGUUGCAUGAUAAUUAGAUUGAUGGCAGCAGCUCUGCAUGCAACAUGGAAAAUCAAUGGCUCACAUGAUGACAAUGUUUGCAACAUGUCAUGUGGGGCUUGUGUAACCCUGUAAAGAUUCAAGGCCAUAGCAGGCUGACUCCUCUCCUGUUUAUUUUCUUGGAAGAUAUGACAGCCAAGAUUCAAAUGGAUGAUGCCUUGGCUGACAUUGAUUUAUCCACCCUUGUGCAAUAGUUCUAAUUGCAAGAGAGCAGCUCAAGUUCCCUCUGACAUGAUUUGCAAUUUUCUGUAGGAAGGAACAGAGUACCCAUAAGUUAUCUGGCAGGUGUUCUUUCUUUUCCAAAUCCAUAUGAUGCAUGGUGGUGAGUUGCCCCAUGAAAGAUCAAAUGUUGAGAGCAGGCAAAUUAAAAGGACACUGUAGAUGUUUGAGGUGGAAAUAGGUUUUUUCUUCUCUGCUCUUCAUAUCUUCGGCCAACAAGAUCUGUCAUAGAUUUGGUAGGGAGGACAGUGAAAUAUGAAGAGCAACUACCAACUACUGAUCAAGGACACUGCAGGCAAAGAUCUGGUAGGGAAGACAGUGAAAUCUGAUGCCACAUCUGGCUUCUUGUGUGUCAACUAUGAGUGGAGCCCAAGGCAACUACCAAUUACUGAUCAAUGGAUGUCAGCUGGUGGCUGAGACUGUAAGUCUCUUUCCAUUCAGCAUUCCACACGCUGUCCUUUUCCAUGUUUAAAGUAAAUUUCUUUCCUUUUCUUCCUUGCAUGGUGUACUGAGAUGAUGAAUGCACCAUUCAUCUGUGCAUGAAUCCAAACCAAGUUCAGAAAGAUGACUUCUUCUUGUGCAUAUGAACAAGAGCCAGACACAGAGCUGGGGACCAAUUGCAGCCCAUUCAACAUUUGUCCUAGAUCUUUGGGUCAGGUUUGACAAACUUGAUCAACUACUGAAUGCACUUGAAAGGAGUUCCUUUUCGAAGGGGUAAGCAAGAAGAUGGAACAGAAGUGUUCCAGCCUCUUGGUCCAUAUACAGUAGCAGUGAUGAAGAAGCAGAGCUGCACCAACGCGGAAAGAGAGGAAAGAUCGAAGCUUGAAGAUAACGAGCAGAAGAAUCGAUCCGACGCCUCUAAUCUGCCCCCACGAAUUUGCCUCAUCUGCGGGGAAAGAUGCCAUCUUGCAAUCAAAAUCAGAUCAGGCAAAGGGAGGAGAAGCGCAGGGAUAUGCACGUCGUUAGGAGGGCGACCGUCCACCGGAAUCCGGUGAACUCGAGGGAGCUGUAGCGCGAGGGAAAGAGGCCAAUGGGUUACGGGUUUUGUCACGAGGCCAGAAUUAUAACCACUAGCUGUUGAACUGGGCAGCCCGAACCGACCAACCAAGGCGACGAACCCGGUUCGAUCCGAACAGUUUAAGGAAUUCGAUAAAACCCUCGAAUCACUAAAACAAAACCUCACCGUCAGAUUCCAAGACAGCCCUCCGCAUCCACCCAAAACACCCCAUUGCCUGAGGUCCUCUUCUUCGUUCCAAUUAAGAUGCGUCUUGAGAUCUUAGCUCCACUUCAGGUAACAUCGAGUAAAUCUGGUAGCAAUUAGAAUUCUUCCCGAAAGAUGCGCGACAAAUCGAUUUGUUUGAUGGUGUAAUUAUGUCUACGAAAUGUGUUUCUUGUUUAACGUUCUUCGUCCAAUUUUUUUUUCUGACAAAAAAAAAUCAAUUUUUGAUUGAGGUAUUCAAGUUGGAGCAUUUCGAUCUAAGAGCCAAAGUGCAAAAAAUCUUGAUUCUUAAGUGAAGUACAACUCAGUUGCAGAGGUUGGGGGAUUUUAAGCUGUCUCAUAUCUUCAACUAUCAACCCUACUUCACGUAAUCUCCCAAACCACUAACUUCUCUAAGAUUUUCAAUUUUUUUAUGUUGAUUAGGAACAGAAAAUGGUAAUUAUCACAAUCUGCUUCCAACCUAAAUUUAUGAGUUGGGAUUUUGUAUGGUUCUUGUGUUGAGCAUGUGUUGAUUAGGAAAGAAAUCACUCAUCUCAGAGACACCUCUCACUUCUGCUUCGGCCAAAUAAGAAAUAAACUGACAUGUUUAUUUUGAUUUAUCGAAAAAAGUUAUGGUUGUUGACUAUUUUUAUGAUUGUUGUGGUGGACACAAGUUGAUGGCUGCACUACAAUCUGUAGGCUCCUUCACUUCUAAUUUACACUUUGGGAAUAAUAAGUACAUUUGUAGGGUAAUAAUCUCAGUUUCCUGUGUAUGAGCAUAACCAGCAUAACAUACCAACUGUUAUUGGGGUUGUGCUCCUGAGCUUUGCUGGGAAGUUUUAGGAUGAAACAUUCCCAAUCAGGGGUUAAUAUGAUAAAAAAAUGACUUGAACCAGUUUCCGAUUUCGGCAAUAUGAAGAUGGUAUUAGGAGAAAAAAAGAUAGUGAAGAGAAAGGAUGGAGUAGAAAAGAUUAGAGAAGGAUUAAUGGGGAAGGCAGAAGCUAGCUGCUCUUUUUCCAAUGACAAAUUAAAAACCAGUUGCAGGGCUUAUUUUUUGUAUCGAAUGAGUCUCUUAUUGAUAAAGGUUCAAUCUGCAAUCCACUUCUUAAUUUUGUUAGAACUCCUAAAUAAAGCGAAAAAUGAAAAGCUACCUUUGAUUACCAAACAUAAUUGAAGCUUAACACUUGACCAGGAUGCCCAAGAUGACCCUACAGAGUACUGGUAUCACACUGGUACCGGCACCAUAUCAAGAAUUGAGACCUUGACCAUGCAUUCAAGAUUUAUGCUGUUCUUAAUCAUAUAAAAUGUCUUCACUCUACAGAAGUUGAAUAAAGCAUCUUAUCUUACCUUAUGCUCUUUUUAGUCCGCGGCCAGUAUCGGAAACACGUGAGUAGCAAGUGCAACUACGGAAGGAGUUGAUUCUUCACUACGGCAAACGUCAAAAGAUAUUUGUCCCCUCUUUUCUAGUCCAGACAUUGGGAAUCAGUAAUACGUUAUAAAUUGUUACAUAAUGAAAUCUGCAUAGCAGGAAAUGACAAUCGAAAAUUGAACAUGUUCAUUUUAACUUCAAGAUGCAUAACUUUUGACUCUUUUUCAUACUGCAUUUGUUAGAUUUAGCAUCACCGGUCUGUUGCCCAAAAUUCUCCACAGAAUAUAUGGUCUCUCUCGACUGCCAUGUUGAUUGCAUGCCUUUCUUUUAGGAUCUUUCCUGUGGUUUGCAGGAUCUUUAUGCCAUGAGGUGAGACAAGGUAAUCUUGCGUCUCUUGUUAAUGAAGGUUGGUUGUCAUCCACUUAUCGAAAUCCUCAUUCUCUGUGAACCAGUGUAAAACCAGAAUUAUAAAUUGUAGAAUUGCAGUAUUUGACAGCAACAAGAAAUUAAUGUACUUGUAAUUUGCAGGACCUGCAGAAUGGAUGGACAAAAGUCACAAGAAACGCUUCAUUCUUUGGCCAAGAAUUCAAGAUUGGGCUGAUCAUAACUUGAAUUUUGUGCAUAAAGUCUUGAAGGUGGACACAACUGUGCCACUCUUGUUGCUGCCUUCUCUGUAAAUAAGUGAAUAUGUUAAAACUUUGUUCGUUCGUUUACGAACUUGGAUGAUCUAAGAUUAGUGUUUGAAAGAUUUUUAUUAGCUGAACUGAAUUUGUAACCUUGGAAUGUAAGGUAGAAGGUUGACAAAUCAUUUUGUCAAGAUAUGUGAAGCCCAUUUACUUUAUAUUUUCUUUGUAUAGGAAGAAUUUUCGUACUUUUAAUUUUGUUUCUUAUAUUUUAACACGUCCAAAUUUAGAAAAGAGGGGACGUGAUGCGUCCGUAAGUUGAGGCGCGUUUGAGAAGUUGCCUUUGCCCGCGUCUCGCCCGAGCCACAAGUUCGACUUUGUGGUACAGCAGCGUGGCGACGUCGCCCUCCCGGCGCGUUCAAACACGUUUGAGAUGUUGCUUCUGGCCGAGCCACAGGUUGCGACGGGCGACUCUGUGGUACCGCAGCGUGCCCACCCCUAUUCCUGGCGCGUCUUGAACACGGUCAAACACAACGUUUCCGUAGGGCACGACUUGACUCGCGCCGUUUGAUGGGGGCCACGCCGUCGGUUGUUGUGUGCAAAGUCGUGUCAUCAAGCACUACUGGUAUUUAAGAUCGACCCUUGCGUGCGAACGCCGCUCACUUCUCCCUUUCCCUUUUCCUCGUCCGACCGCGACGCAGAGGGAGGGAGGGAAUCGUUCUCGUUCGAUCGAUCUCCUUUCCCUUCUUGAUCUUGAAUUAGGUAUAUCCCGUCUCUCUUCCUCCGCAAUCGCUCCUGUUGGAUCUCCCUCUCCCUUGUUGAUUUCGCGUUCUUUCUGAAUCAUUUGGAUCGAUUUGUGGUGGCUUUUUUUUUUGGGCAAUGAUUAGGUCAUCGCCCAAUCCAUGGCUUCGAGGCGUAUCAUCAAGGAGCUGAAGGAUCUCCAGCGGGACCCCCCGACGUCUUGCAGCGCAGGUGCCUCCAAUCUCCCGUCUCCUCGUAUAUCUAUCUGCUCCUUGAUAUUUCUCCUCACUUUUAUAUCUGAAUCCAAUUGUGCAAUAGUCAUAGCUUGUUGGAAUCUUAUUAGGCUGAGAACACGCAGUUGUUUGUGCCGUCGAGACUACCUCACAUUAACUUAUAUUUGAGCUGCUUGCUUUGCUCAGUCUUGUAGGUUUGGCAUGCCUAUCAAAGGAAGUAUACGUUCUAUUUUAUCAUCCAAUUCUGUACACUAUAUUCAUUGCUUGCAUCUCGAGUCAUACGGUCUGAAAGGAUGGUGAAGUUCUCAGGAAAUGUUUAUGGUGCCUCCUGAUAUAGUUCUUGCUAAUCAUAUUAGUGACCUUAAGAUAUGCAAUUAUAUGCCAUGGAUAUCUCUUUUUUUGCUGUUUUACUUUUCUUUUUGUUUCUUGUAAAGUUGCUCAUGAUCGUUAAUUCCAUUUAUUUAUUUUAGAUCAUUUUUGUUGGAUACUAAGGUAGAUUAUAUUCAUGGGAAAGAUGCACGUUGUAUGGGAAGUGUUUGUCAUUAAGUAGAGACCUAGAUGGAACAUUAGUAUUAAGGUGUGCAAUAAAAAGAAAAUUACUUGUACUGAUAAGGCUGAAAGCAUAUGUUGUCAUUAGUAAAAUUAUUGAGUGUCCUGUAGAUUUGACUUGCUAGCAUGUUCGGCAAUCUUGGUUGGUUGUGGGUAAACUUUCCAAUCUCAUGUGUUUGUUUUAAACCUGAAUUAAUUUUUGUAUAAGGUAUCAAAUGACAAGCCUAACUUAAAUUACUACCCUGAUGGCUCGUUUUCUCACAGGACCGGUCGCUGAAGACAUGUUCCAUUGGCAAGCAACAAUAAUGGGUCCACCAGACAGUCCAUAUGCAGGGGGAGUUUUUCUUGUCACUAUCCACUUUCCUCCAGACUAUCCAUUUAAGCCACCUAAGGUAAUGUUGGCAUAAAAUAAAUUGCCUUUGAUGGGAGCUCACUCUUUGUAGUUCAACAGUAUAAAUUGCUGAUCCAUUCUUCAGCAAGCUAGGCCAUGUUAUGUAUCGGUUCAGAUUCCAUAUGGUGGCACAAACUUGUGUGGAUCAUAAUCUGGACCAAGUUUGGAGCUUGUGCUCAACUGAAUUAUUUAAGCCAUACUUUAGCUGCUGGCUAAUUUUUCUUAAUCCAUAUGGAAUAUAAUAUAUAAUCAUAACACCAGGUUUUUAGUUAAUCAUAGUAACAUGAUCUUGUGUGGGUCAUGAUAUUCUUUUAUGCUUAUUUUCCUUUUAAGUUCUGUUGGAUAAAUCAUGAAUAAUCUUUUCACAUUCAAAACCUGGGCCAUGUAUGGUAUGUGGCUCCACUUAUUCCUGAAGAUAAAACACAUGGAACAUCUUUUCACAAUAGGCUCUUUUUUUUUUUUCUGGAUGAAAUCCAUUGACAUCAGUUUAUGGGUUUGCACAUUCUGAAUCCUCAUGUAAACAUCAUAACACUGUUAUUCUGGUUGACAUGUUCAUGUAUGGAUGAGCGUCCAAUAGUAGAUUCUAUGAUUUGUCCAACUUAUUGAGUCUUCUGCAGGUUGCUUUCAAGACAAAGGUUUUCCAUCCAAAUAUUAACAGCAAUGGGAGCAUUUGCUUGGACAUCUUAAAAGAACAAUGGAGUCCUGCAUUGACUAUUUCCAAGGUUACUAUUUCUUUUCGUUGCAUCAAUUAUCCUUUAACAGUUGGGUUCUCUUGCUUAUCCAAUUUACACUAUGCUAGUCAUAUUGGUGAUGCCAGUAAGAGCAGGUGACUUAGCAUCACUAUAGUACAAAUUAUUUUUGCUAUAUUCAUGUCUUGGCCAGUCCUUUCUGCUCAAUAGAUGCAUAAACAUUAUUGGCCAGUUGGUUCAAUUUGUCUGCACUGUGAGAAGGAAGGAUCCAAGUUGGUCAGAAUUUUUACUAAAGCCUAUUAGUUAGUAUAGGUGAUUGCUUCAUGAAACAUAGAGCACAGCCUCAUGAAUGUGCUUGUUGUUUCUUUUGCUGUCUUACCGAAAUUACAUCAUUGUUUCUACAAAAUGGGAUCAAUAGCAACAAUUCCUUUCUCUUACAGGUGCUGCUGUCAAUCUGCUCCCUCUUAACUGACCCAAACCCAGAUGACCCAUUGGUCCCAGAGAUCGCCCACAUGUACAAGACAGAUAGGACCAAGUAUGAGACCACUGCAAGGAGCUGGACCCAGAGGUAUGCAAUGGGCUAAUGUUGUCUUAGAGAGACGGUUGAUGGGGGGCUUCUCUGUUAUGUGUGGUGGUUGCUUCUUGUCUGUUUAUUUGGAGAUUGAAAUGAUCUGUGCCUGCUUCCCGUAAUUUAUUAGAAGGUUAGGAAGGAAAGCCUCCACAAACCCCUCAGGGAACAUGUGUUUGAUUGUUGGUAUGAAAAAUUUAUAUCUGAAUCUUGAACACAUUGUUUCUUGGCACAUGAUCUUGCUAGCACUGUCAUUUGAUUUAUUUCAUUGAAAAAGAUGUCAUGGUUGGUGAUUGGUAAGAUAAUGAUUGGUGCUGCUCGGUGUUUUUAGCAGUCAUUUGACUCGAUGCAUUUGGCCUGUAUACACCAUAUAGAUUGAUGCAAGAAUACAUAUCAAUAGUUGCAAGUUUUAUAGGUAGGUAGAAUGGUCAAUGUUGUCCAAAUAUAUUCGAGUCCAAAGUGGAAGCAGGAGAAGAGUUGCGCCAUCAUCACCAAGAUGGGCAUGUAAUCAAAGAAGAAAAUUGAUUUCCUCGUAACCAAACAUUUUAAGAUUAGAAAAGGAGUAGUUACCUCUAUGUUUUAAUUUCCAUCCUUCCGCCCAAACAUGCAUAACUGGGGCUUAUAACUUCUGACCUCGUGACGACACACUGCAUCUUAACUGGAGGAUAUAUCCACAGAUAGAAAUCAUUAUCAUUCCCUAUUCUUGUGACUGAUACUGGUACUAGUCAAUCUAGGCAUACUUACCUCAUGACUUGGAGAUAUUUCCUGGUAGAUGAAGUAUGUCUAUGGUAAAUUGAAGAAGCUUGCUCUGCUCCCUCUGUUCCCCACCAUGUGACUCGGAACAUGCAAUGACAACAUACUUUGUCCACUACCACUUGCUGCCUGCUGCAGCACGCUGACAUCUCUAAGACAUUUUACAUCUCAGUCACUGCUGCAGCAGUGUCAUGCCUGACCAAGAGCCCUAUUGUCAUGAGAGGAAUAAUGAACAUCACACGUACAUCCCCAUUAUAUUUCCAAGUCUUGCACACUGCUGCAAGAGUGAAAACCCUCAGCCAGAGACUACUACUAUCACAAAGAAACGAUCAUAUACCUCUGCCACUCAAUUGAACAUCUCAUUGUUUGCAUCAGACUCAUGCCAGAACUAUUUGUUGAUAUGAAACCAAAUCAGGAUUGUCCGGAAAGUAUGUGAGAAUCUCUUCAAGAGAAGAACACAAGCCUAAAUAAAUUGUAUUUGAAGGAUCAGAGGCAUAGCCCAUAAUCCUAAACUGUAGCUGUAGCAUCUCUUAAAUCUGAACAUAAUAAAUAGGUUGCAGCAAAUGACUACAAGAACUACGACCUUUUGAUGGCAUUGAGCAUAAUAAAAAGGCACCGGCAAAAAAAUUUGCAAUAACAAAGCUGCUACUCAAAGCAAUUCAACUACUACAAAAGAAAGAUCCAACCACAGGUCCAGAUCCCACUCCCUGACCAGUCCACAUGCAUACAAAGCAACAAAAGAAGAACCACAACAAGAAUACAGUAAUACCAUCGUCCCCUGGCCUCUCCCAACAUCAACCUUCUUCAUUGCUCGGUGCAGACGAUCUAGAAGAGCUUGUAGAGGGAGGAGGCAUCCAGGGGGUGGAUGAGGUAGGUGAGGACCAGAGCGACCAUCAUCAGUAGAUAGGCAAUGCCUUGGUCAAUUGAUGUCCCUGCAAAAAUAGCACAAGUAGUUCAUCAACUGGCCAAAGGGGCACCAGGUAAUAUGAUUCUACUAUGCAACACCAUAAACCACCAAAAGGGGAUUGUGCUUUGGAACAAACGGAUUCGUCAUAUGCUACCAACGUCUCAAUGUUCUAAUCUUAUUGUCUCAAGAGCCUCAGGAUCAAGUAGUUCUCAAAGUUGCUUCUUUUGUGUUCCAAGAUGAUCUCCAUCUAUAAGGACGUGUUGAGGGCUAAACCAACAGGAUUUGUAGGUGAGAUUAAACAAUGUAUUUGACCACCUCCAGACUGCUAAGCUAACAGAAACGUACAAAGGCAGGAAUUUGGCAAAGGAAACAUGAACAGACUUCCUUGGAGCAAGGUAACAACAAUAAAGAUCAGAACUUUACCGUCUAAAGAGCCAAAUCUGGGACGAAAACGAAACAAACAAGCAUGAGAUCCGUGUAAGAAAGCAAAAGAAAGGAAAAGAAAGAAGAACGGACCAUCACUGGCAGGGGCGGGAGCCGGGGCCUGGGCCUGAACAGCCGGCAAGGCGACCGCAACGAUGAAAGCCACAAUGGCCACCAAACCCAGGAAAACCUUCGAAGUCGCCGCCAUCGUUCUCCUCGCUCGCUCUCUCCGACAAUGCAACACAAAGGAAACGCCUUGCGGUCCCUCCCGCUCACGUCGACGAGGAGCAGAGCCGAAGCGAGGAGGCUAAUGGCGAACGAAACCCUAACAAACAGUGACCGAACCCUCUCCCUGUCUCUCCUUGCGCUCCUUUAUAUUUCUUUACUCCCAUUUCUGUUAUUCACCCGCCUAUUUGUGGUCGCAGGGAGAUAACUCACCGCGGGCCCCGCCAUCUGAUGGUGAGAGAAUUGUCGUCCGCCCAGGGGGUGUGCUUGUUGGUUGGUUCAGUAGGGAGUUGCUGAAUAAAUCACUUUGGAAUUACCUUUUUUCGAAGAGAAAUAAUUUUUUUAUAGAAUUUAAAAAAACUUAAAAGUUUGAUAUUUUUUCAUACAACCUCUUAAUCUAAAAUUUUCUUUUUUUUAUCGAGCGUCCUUAACCAAAUGAAAAAAAAAAAAUUACUUUUAUUUUCAUUGGAUCCACCAAUAUUUUACCGCUUUCUCCUUCUUACAUUGUCAUCGCUCUUAUGCCCUCAUCAGGCUUAGGGAUAUCGCGAACACGGGUAUGAGUGCUCAUGCUAGUUUUAGUCACCUUCGCCUCUUGACCUAGGGGCAUUAUGCACAUUGAGGAGGGCAACCGAUAUGGUUAGUUCGCACAGAGAUAGAAUGAUGGCCGAUAGAGGUAGAAUGAUUAUUUAAUAAAAAAAAGAGUCAUUAUUAGUGUGAUAUUCUACUCUCGUCUCACCCAUACCAUACAUGCAUGGCUAAAGUAGGAUAUUAUUUUUUGGUUCUUUUAUUAUUAUCAAAAGUAAAACAUACUAAUUUACCAAAUAAAAUGAUAGUGUUCCUUUAUAUACAAUGAUUUUGACAUUUGUAAAUAAUUAUAACUUUUAACAAAAAAAAAACACCCACGCAAUAUGUCCAAAGGUUAUAUACAUAUAAAUACUCAUAGGUUAUCAUCCGUACUAGCAUGUGCUCACACAUGCUCACUUUCCUAUCUAAUCACUUCGGUGCGGUAUUAAUAUUUUUACUUAUAAAAUAGAAUUUAUAGUGAGUAAUUACUUAAUAAGUAUAAGCAUUUAUAGUUUUAUUUAGGUGAGUAUAUAUCAUGUCAUAUAUAUAAUGCUUCACAAUUAUCAACAUAAGAUAUUUAACGGUAAACACCUCAUUCUUCUUUAGCAAACAUAACUCUACCACAUAACAUACGCAAAAUAAAGAGGUAAAAUCCUAUAUUGAAAUAACUCAAAAUGCUUAUAUUUACAUAUAUAAAAUAUAAUAAAUUCAUGGACUUAUAUGGACACUCUUAUAUCACACGUUAUCAUAAUAUAUGCAUCCACUUACACGUCACAAGUCAUAAUAUAUAUAUAUAUAUAUAUAUAUAUAUAUAUGUACUUUCACACUAUACAUCAUAAUAUAUACGUGCACUCUCACAUCGCACAUCACAAUAUAUAUGUGCAUUCCCAUACAACACGUCAUAGCAUAUACGUGCAUUUCACAUCACAAUAUAUUCAUGAACUCUCGCAUCACACGUCAUAAAAAUAUAUACACUCUCAUACCGUAUAUCAUCAUAUAUGCAUCUAUAUAAUAUAUUUUUAUCAUAAUUUAUAUAUUUUUAUGUUUGUAAAAUAUAUAAAUUUAUAUUUAGCUCAUGCCUAACUCGUGACAAUAAUAUCAUUUGAAAUAUGUUUUCUAAGAUACACUAUGAAUAUGAUAAUUUAUACUAUCAUUAUUUUACAGUAAAUUAAACUUAUAUUCAUUUGAUUUAACUCAAAAUUAAAGAUGUUGAGGACGACCAUGUUCCUUAAUAAUUGAGUGUGCUAGGGAGUAGCACAUCUAUCAAAUUAGGAGUAUACUAUAAUGCUUUAAUUAAGAACCAUGCGUCUUCAAUUACUGAUUUAUAAUAAUUCAUAGCAAAGUUCAUAGAAAAUUUUUGAUAAAAUCUCUAAUGAAAUAGACUAUACUCAAAUUAAAAAUUUAUUUAAAUUUCACCAUUGAUUUGUUAACAAUUCACUCUAUAAUCAAUGAACUAUUUGGUACCACUUAAACCAUCGCCUAAUUUCUAUAAAGAAAUUUUGCUUCACUAUUUUAGUUGAUCAAACGAUAUUGAAUUAUCAUGAAAUUUUAUAAAAAAACUUGAAGAUAGAGAAUUAAAUAUAAACUAAUUUUUAGCAUAAAAUAGAAUCAUUUGAAGGCUAAAGUAUCCUCCUAAUUCAACUACCAACAUUUAUUAUAUUAUGUUGAAAUUGGGUUAGAAUUAUCUGAACUUAUAAACCGUAUAUUUUGUGCACAUAGAUAAUAUUCACUUAAUUCCAAAUUUCAUAGAACCAAAACCUUUUAAAAUAUAUCAAAACGAUAGAGCAUAAUUAUAUCCCAAAAUGGGUUAAUUCAACUUGAAUAAAAAUCUUUCUCAUAAAAUAAAAGAUUCUAAGUAUCUUAGAUUGGGAUACUCAUAAUUCUGUGCAUCGAUCUCAAAUUAAAAUCAUACUAGAUGUUUUAGAACCAUAAGAGAGUUAUACAAAAUAUAUCCAAAAAUUAAAUAUUAAUUUCAAUUCUAAGAUACUGUAGUUAAAAAAAUAAUUUAUAAUUUAUAAAAUUAAAAUCCUAGAUAUAACAAGGGAAGGGAAGAAUUGGAUUUUUCUUAUCUUAAUAUUCUUAGAGUUAGGGUUUCUUAGCCUCCAUUAAAAAAAAAAAGAGAAUAGUAAAAAAAAAAGAAAAAAAAAGAGAGUCGUGAGUUAUAAGUUGGUAAAGAGGAUGAGACCAAAAUAAGAUAGACACCUAAGAGAUUACAUUGAAGUCUAGGGCUCAAUCCCAUUGGACCUUAUUUGAAAUUUUUUUUUCUUUUAUUAAUAUAAUUAUAAGGUUUCAACAACUUUAAUUGAGUCUAAUUUGGUUUGAUAAAGAUGAUAUUUUUUAGUCUUAACUUAUUCUUUAGUUUCACUUAUGUCUCUUAAUAUUUUUUUUAAUAUAACACUCAUAUUUGAUUUAUAUUUUUAUUUAUUUUUUUAUUCUAUUUAUGCGUAAGUAACUUAUUAUCCUUCAUAUAUAUGAUGUUUAAAAUUUAAACUUUCCUACUUUAAUUAUGGUAAAACUUAUUCAAAUUUUGAGAUUCACUUAACAAUGAUUAAAAUUCAACUGUUACUUCUAAUCAUUAUAUGCAUAUUUAUUACCAUAACUUAGUCUCAUAUUCAUGUCCACUAGAAUAUUUGAUCUGUUAUAUUGAAGGAUCAUGCCUUCUUGCUACAAAAUAUAUUUAAAGUAGAUAUUGAUGUUUAUGCAUGGUAAACCAAAAUUUUGUAUAACAUUAUGAAAAUUAUAUUUUAGGAAGCAUGUAUUUUAAUCUUAAAAGUAAAAAAAUAUGAGUAUGUUAUUUAUUAUAUUUAUAAAGCAUAGAAAUCUCAAAUCAUAUCACUAAGUAAAAAAAAUUAGUAUGUUAUUUUUUUAUUUUCUCAUAAGAUGCCUCAAACUUUUAAAUUUUUUUUAUUUAUUAUCUCUUUUUCUUCUAAAUCCCUAAAUGCCUUUCAUUGUUGCCUCCACCUUACCGCGAAGCCCAUCUAUUGAGGCCCCAACCUUGCCCCUAUGACUCAGUGCAACAACUAAAAAUUAAAUCAUUGGUAGGAUGCGGUGGUGGUUAAGUUGGAUGGUACUCAUGAAAUCUAAUCCUUAACCCACUACCCUCACCCCUACUCCUUUUAUGCGUCCACCCCCUCCACCUCCCUAGGAUCCAACCCCUCCAUUAGAGAAGCCAGGUUGCUAGAUCUUAGCACCAUUUGCUCCCCAUCGAGUUAAUAGUCGCACCUUCAUCACUGUAGAAGGAGUAGCCCUGCUAUCGUCGAUAGACCUCGUUGCGUGCUCUCUAACCUUACCCUCAUUGAUGACAACCGUCUGACCACUUCUUCCCUUAAUACUGAGAAAAACUCUUGCUUCUUUUCCAUCAAUCACUCUCUUCCCUCCUCCUCGUAACCCUUUGCCUUGUCACUAGAUGGGGGAUGAAGGCGGGGGUGUGGAGAUCAAAGAUGAUUGGGAGGAAGGGGAUAGGGUGGCUAUUGGCGAUAUGAAAAGGGAUGAGGCAAGGACCUCCAAAGGAGGUUUGGAAGAAGAGAUAAGACUAGGGAUGAGGCAAGGACCUCCAAAGGGGGUUUGAAAAAAGAGAUAAGACUAUAGGCAUCACAGAUGAUGUUGAGAAGAGAAGAGUCAUGAUCGAAUGAGGGGUGACGAGAGUGAUGGUGAUGGGAGUAGUCGGCAUAAGGACGAAGGUUUCACGAAGACGAAAACGAUGCAAUGAUCUCCAAAGGGGGGUUAGAAGAGGGGAUAGGCUAUGAGUAUUACGGAUGAUAUCGAGAAGAUGAGAGUCACGAUCAGAUAAGUGGUGACGAGAGUGACGACGAGGGGAGUAGUCAACAUCGAGAAUAAAAGCUUCACAAGGGCAAUGGCAUCGAGAAGUUGAGUCACGAUCAGAUAAAUGAUGACGAGAGUGACGACGAGGAGAGUAGUCAACAUCGAGAAUAAAAGCUUCACAGGGACAAGUAUAUCCCCAUUUUCUGGACAGAUUAUCAAAGCUAAUACGAGUUAAUCGGACCAAAUCAGGAUGAUCAUAAAAGUAUAAUUUUACAAAUAAUUUAUUCAUAAGAUUUUGGGAUCAAAUGAAGCCUUCAUUUUAAUUUAUGAACCGAUAAGAAAUUAUCACGUGAUCAAAUUGAGAAUAUAUAUAUAUAUAUAUAUAUAUAUAUAUAUAUAUAUAUAUAUAUGUUUAUAUUUAUAUUUAUAUUUAAAGGAAAAUAUAUAUACAUAAACACAUUUCCUAAACUUUGAAAGAAUAGAUAGGCAAAAAGCCCAAAACAAAUCGAUUGAAACUCAAUCCAAAGGAGGUUUGACAGAACAUGCUCACACUUGCACAGAAGACGUUUGGCAAGCAACUAAAAAGCAAUACAAAGCCUUAUACUCAAUAUGUAACAAAAGAAAAGGAAGGAAAGAGGAAGCCAAAAAGAGAAGAAAGUGUUCUAAGAAAGGCAACAACAGAUGAGCAUGGAAAAAACUGGCAUGCUAAUAAUUGCAUUCUUCUGACUUUGAGUCCCGAGCGAGCAUUCUUAUGGCAAUAUGAUCAAUCAAUCAUAAACACAGGCUGGAGGAGGGUCUACACCUUCUUUGUUGUUGAGGAAUCUCACUACUAUGCACGUUAUAUUGUCGGCACUUCCACGAGAGAAUGCAACCUCUGUCAACUUCCUCGCUGCGGCCUCGGGAUCCUCUUCCAAUCUCACGAGUGAAACGGCAUCCUGAUGGAUGUGAAUAGCAAUGGAAAAAUAUCAGAAUUUUAAUCAUGAAGCAUCCUCACAAAACCUAGAGGCAGUGAACAGAUUGUUGAAAUGACCACAAACACACAGCAUUAGAGUUCACAGGUUUAACUGAAAGAAGGUACUGGUGAAAGAGGUUUAAGUGCCGUGGAGAAUAUCUUGAGAGAAGGAUCAUACAAAGUAGACUUCAAUGAGUAUGCAAAUUUCAGCAACCUUAAUAAUAGAAGAUCAGCUCUACUAAGUUGUCUAAUAAAGCAGUAUCAUACGUAACAGCAUAUGCUUGAUGUAAAAGAGACGCUCACCUCAUUCUUAACAACAUCCCACAACCCAUCACUUGCCAAAAUCAGGAACUCCAAUUCGUGAUCAACCACUCGUUCCUGUGGAAAAUGAAUUUAUGAUUAAGUAUUCUACUGCAGUUUGUCAUGAUAAAACAAAGAAAUCAUUAAAAAUUAUUUUCUAGACAUCUCAUUACACUGAAAUCAAAAUAAAUUAUUGCCAGAGGUAUAAUCUGCCCCAUGCAAAUAAUGUUUAUAAAAACAGCUGCAGUAUGCAGGUGGACAAGCUCUCACAUAGUCCAUAGGCAGAAUGAAGCAGCAUGAGCGACUGCACGUCUGGUUCAAUUAGAAUAUUCAUGUGACCAAUAUACACAUGUGAAGACAGAUAUGACAACAUAAAGUGUGUUUUAGAAAGCAACAAAAAAAUACUAGAAAAUGUAGAACAUUGCAUGUGUCAUGAGGAUAAUUAAAAACAAAACGAUCCCACUUUAAACUAUCUGCAGAAUACCUGAAUGUCGGGCUCUGCCACAACAAAUCGCUUGAGAAGGCGAUUACCAAAUGCUCGUGACAUUGCCAAUACACCACCCACCCUCCAAGUACCUGCAGGACCAGGAUUCCCAUAAGCAAUAACAAAUGAUAUCCCAAUGCACGAGGCUCCUACCAAUACAGGAUCUAGGAAGGAUCCUGCAAGCAGAGAGACUUUUUUUAUGAUUCAAACCCUAGUCACCUAGAUCAGAAAGAAGCAACUUGCAGGACCAGGAUUCCCAUAAGCAAUUCAGAGUUGUAUUUUUCCAUCCAAAGUCUGAGGAUUCCUUUCCAAUAACAAUAUGUAAUUAGCUUAAAAAGAGAUACUAAAUGGAUCAAUGCUACUUAUAAUCAAAUCAAAUGUCCAUUAAGAUAAAGGCUAAUAGUUCAUCUGAAUACAAUAAUUAGUAUUCUACUCUACCUCAAAAUUCCAGGGAUUUUUUCUACUGAUCACCCCUAUCAUCUACAAACAAGGAGCAAUUUUUAAUCCAUCAUCAUGUAAUAUAAACACCAAAGCAUAAACGAUAAGUUCUAUAAGAAAUAAAGGGUACAAAGUGGCACAUUCUAUUCUAAUAUCUAGACUGUGAAUUGAGCAAUGAAACUUCAUGUAUGCAUUUUAAAGAAUGACAUGUUAGAAUUAAGCAAGACAAAACCAGUAGAAAUGUCUUGAACACGCAGCAACGUACAGAGUAGAAGACUUACCAGUCCACAUGACAAAUCCUCCAGCAUUCUCAAUUCUUUUUCUCUCAUCAAUUCGAUUUGGUUUGUGGUCAUCAGAAAGCGGAAUUGCUACAAAUACGAACCAAAUUCAGUUAAUCUUAAAAUGUAUGAAAUGAACAUGAGUUCAAGAAUCAGGUUCAUAUACUGAAAGGAAACAACAAUAAAUAAAACACAUUAUAUCAGAAAAAAAUAACAGCACAAAUUCAUUCUAAAACAUAAAAUUAUGGUGUGCUGCAAAAUAUAAAAUAAAGUUGUGAUGAAUGAUGCACACUGGCAUGUACAAUUUGGUAACACUACAUCAUGUCGCAAGUGUGCCUAUGAAUGCCUGGCACACAUCAGCUGCAAGCUCUAAAAUAAAGUUGUGGUAUAUUUUUGGUAAGACACCUAUGGAUGCCUGGCAUGUAUAAUUUUGGUAAGACACCAUCAGUUUACUAAUGUAGGUGCCUGUGGGUGCUUCGCACACACCGAGGCCAACAUGUCCUGACAUGGUCCGGCAUGCUAUAUUGCAAGAAUAUAUGCCAAGAUGGCUAUAACUGAUUAAGCUGCUCAGCAGUCCUUGGAAAAUUAAUGAUUACAUAUCGCCUCCCCAAAUUUUUUACAUCUUUCAUCGUUGUUAAAUAACUACCAUUGACAAAAAAAUGAAGAAUAAUAAGAACUCCAUAAAUGUCAAGCUUUCUUAAAUUGUUCUCAUACUGUUAAAAAAAAAUGGUAGUUAAUCAACCAUUUCUACAGUGUCAAGAUACAUAGAAGUUCCAUAUUUGGUGUUCCACAAGCCGUAAAUUAUGUGUUUUGGCCAAAUGCUGAUAUGACAAUAGAAGCACUUGUCAACCUACCUUUUGAAAAUGCCUCAAUUUCACAAGUGCUACUGACUAGAAUGCCCUGGAACACCAACAAUGGUCUCAUUCUAAUUGGAGUAAGCCAAUUAUGGGCCUUCUCUGUGCCUCUCCAUGAAAGUAUUACCUUGUUUAUGUUAUAGGAAGAAAAGAAAGGCCGGUUGUUAUCUGGAGCUGUUUUGCUUUAUUGUUGUAAGAUAAAAUAUUUGUAAUUUCUCACAGAAAAGAUCAGACAUUUUUAAACCUUGCAAAUGCAGUCAUGUGAAUCCUUUAAAUUUGCAUGAAGUUCCUGUCCAACACACAAGAAAAUUUGGCACAAUACAAUGACAAAGAACUGCUAACCAAAUCAUAACUAACUUUAUUGUUCAUAAAUGACCCCCCAAGAAUAUGUUCUAUAAAAAGAAACAUGUAGAAGAUUUUAGAUAUCAGUGGAAAGAACCUUUUCCUGCUUUCGAUAUAACAGCACGUGAAUCUCCAACAUUUGCUACAUACAAGUGUUUGCCAACCAAGAUUGCUGUCGAAGCUGUAGAACCAUCAUCUCUGGAAGUAUUGUUUUCAGCAUCUAAGAAAUCUGAAUCAGUUCUCUGAUAUGAUUCAUCUGCAGUUUGUCAUUUUCCAAAAAAAUGACAAUCAUUUAACAACUCUAUGCAAUGCAUUAAACAUAUGAUAAAGUAAAUUCAAAAGCUUGACAAUACUUAUUGCAAGUUUUAUGUCUGUCAAGAACUUUGGAUGCUUCAUAAGGUUGUCAAAUAAGUGCUCCUUCAGAUAUUCAGCAGCACGUGAGCCUCCAUGACCUGCAAUACCAAGUUAUGCAUAAAAAUUCAAAUAUUUCAUAUUAAGGACAAGCAAAAGUACAAAAGUAAGAAAUCUAGCAGACCAUCAAAUAUUCCAAAGAAAUUAAUUGUUUGGCCAUCAAUUUUAGCUGAUUUUACAUCAAAGAAAUCCUCCAUGUUUACUCUCUUUCCCCUGAAGCUUGAAUAUCCACAAUUUAAUUUCCCAUCAUCACUGCAAAUAAGCCAAAUGAUCAAUCAAACCAAUUUUUCAAAGAACUAAAAUCAGAAACUUAUUUAAAUAUACACAAACUUUUAUGCUGAUAUUUUGAUAGCCACAGAGCAGCACAAUUAUAUACAAAGAAACCUCGCAGAACAUUAUGAAAUUUAUAACCUUUGCAAAACUGCAAAAGUAUUUUCCUACAGAAGUUUCUGCAAAACGAUGACUAUAACAGUAAAAUAUGGCAAAGCUACAUAAUGUAAGUUAUGUCCUUGAAUACAAAAUGAUUAUUUAUAGGUAACCAUGACAACCUAUAAUGAGGCAUGCCUUUUUAAAAUAGUUAAGUCAUGACAUCUUUAUACAAAAAUAUCAAAUGCUUCUUCGCUUAUAUUUUAAAACAUCACUUAUCAAAUUACCAAUGCAGUGGGGUGAAAGCCAUCAUGACAGAUGAAAACACAGACUACUAAAAUCUUUCUCUCUUUCAAACUUGAUCAUUUAAGGAGAUUAGUUAGAAAAGAUUUCACUAGGCUUGUCUUCUCCAAACACAGCUUUCAAUGGUAUACAUCAUGAUUCGCGUUGCUGAUCCAUACCGAUGUACUAACCAGUUCUCGGUACGGUACAUACCAAACCAUACCAAGCUUACCGACAUACGAAACAUGGGAGCAUACUAAUAUACCUUCGCAUUAGUUCCCUAUCAGACCAGUAUAUACCACCCGUACAGAGUGAUAUGCCACGAUAAUAUUAGCUUAAGCCAUCAGGUAUAGCACAGUUGGCUUAAGCCAUGUUUUUCAACAAGGCAUGCUAAAAAAAAGAAGAGAAAAGAAAAUGAAUAUGUAGGCAAAAAAGAUCUCCUAAAAGCAAUAAUGCAAAAGGAUUAAUGCAACUAUCCAAACAACCCAUUAAAAAAUGAUACAAGAACAUGAACAUGUAUAGUGGGGUCUGGCUAUGGUAUUUAUGUAUUGCAAUAGUUUGUAUUUGAACAUGGUCAUAUCGGUUCUACAAUCUACAUAUAGGACAGAAUCAAAUAUCUCAUUUUUAAAACUAGGAAACACAAAAUCUAGUAUUUCUUUUGAUGAUAUAUAUUACAUGGUCAUAGCAACAUGCAACACUACCUGAACAUAUAAUCCAUGGGCAUUGCAUAUAAAGAAUACCUGAUCCUUAAUAGCUAAUAUUUGUACUCAAGCCAUGUCUAAUUAAGAGAAAAAAUUCAAGGCUAAGCACAUUUCAUCAAUGAUCCAGAUAUGGUGCCUUAACACAUCUGAUAUUUGCUAGAAGUCUAACAUAAACAUAUGUUGUUCUUAACCAAUAAAGAUUUUAUGUUUAGAACUAUGUAUCCAUUAUUUUUCAAAAGAAAUCUAAUUUUAUGCAAUGGACAUCUUAGGUCAAUAUCAAAUUGAUUAAAGCCCCUCACAUUAUAAAACAAAUAGCUGCCGAAAGCAGUAGGCUGAAGUCCUAUAAAAAAUUUGAGGCAGUCACUAUGUUGCAUUGGUUUUUAUGUAAAUGGCAAUUCUGAUAUGGCACCCGGUACAGAAUGUCUGACAAUUAAGGAAUAACUUAAAAACAUCUCCAUCACUGAAACAACCUGACUAAGAUGCUGCCACUUUCACUUGCUGAACUAAUAACUGGCUAAACAUAGAAUCACUUGUUAAUUUUAGAAAGAUAUUUUUAGUUUUCAGUAGGUCUCCUGAAAAUUUUUAAAUGGUAACAACAUCAUCCACUUACUAGCAUAAAUAUACUGGCAUUACAAACACUUCAUGAUAAUCCUGUGGCUAAUUUUCUUCCACCUGAGCAACACCAACCUAGAUCGAUCCUGCAUGCCACCUUUCCUUAUCUCAGAUGGUAAAACAUGAGAGGUCUUGGGUUCAGUCUCUAUCGUGUGUGAAGUGUGCAUUUUGUCCAACGCUACAGUCCAUUCAGUGUGUCAACUCUUCCCAAAUGAUUGGACCAUCCACACAAAGCCAAACUGGUCCUGUACAGCAUUAAAUGUCGAUGAAUUCCUCCACAGAUAGUGGAACGUCGUCCGAAUGCUAAAGUAAAAACUAAAUCGCCUAGGACAUUGACGAUCAUCGAACUAGAUCGUGAGUAUAUUUUAGCAAUAAUUCCAGGAAUUUACCUUCUCCAUGCUCCAGUGGCAUAACCCCCAUCGCCCACCUCGUCCUUCUCGGGCAACAGAUGAGAAGCAGCUCGGGGAUUGACGGCACGACCUGAAUCAACCAUCAUACCUGCCGCCGCCUCGACUCUCCGGUGCUUCGAAGGACACUUCACCCCGAGUUUGUUAUCCUUGCCGCGCUUCAAGCUUUUGACCUGCCCCUCUCCAUCGGAAGUGGAAUGCACCGAAUUCUCUGCGCGAUUUCCCUCAUGCCAGCAGCAUACCAUCCAAUCGGGCCGAUGAUCGCCUGCAACACCGAAAUACUCCAUUCGGCAUAAAGAAACAGAAGAAAUGACGAAAUCCGGAGACCAUUCUACCGGAAAUGGGAAAGAAAGAUCCACCUUUUCCGCAAACAAACAAAAAUUCCACAAGAAUCAUACAUCCACAUCCAUCGUUGAUCAUAAGAUUAACAACUUGAUGUAGAAAAAAUAUCAGCGAAACCGUAGAUUAAGAGCGAUGAAUGAGGAAACCAACCUCGAUCGGAUCGUCGUCGAUGCAAACAAGAUUAGGGUCGUAUGGAUAUGGAGAAGAUUUGGGAGAGCGGGGGGUGGGGUGACGACGCAGGGAGCCCCUUCGGAGGAAUAAGGGGGUUCAGGUUGAGCGUUUCCUUUUCCCACCCGUUUUGGGGGUCUACCCGUUUUAGACGCCUUCCCGUUGAUAAGAGACGGAGGCGGCCCCACCGGAGGGGGGGGCCCAAUCCAGCGCCCUCGCUGCACCCGACCAACUCAUUAAGGCAGGUGAGAUGAGACGCGAACGAUGGACGGAAAGAUGCGGUGGGUAAUUUGCUGUCCUUUUGAUCCGGGUCAUUUUGUUAUUUUCUUUAUUUUUAUUUCUCUUAAAAAAAGCGAUUUUUUUUUUAACGAAAGAGAAAGAAGAUAACGUAAUUUAAAAUUUUCGAAUCAACAAAUAUUAACUAUGAUUAAUAUCAACUAAUUGAAACUAGAAUAGACAUACUAAACAUAAAAACAUUUUUAUAAAUAUUUAUAAAGAGUAUUACAAUUUAUUCCAAUUCUGUAUAUCUUCUGUAAUUGGUUAUGCUUAUGUAAUUAAUUCAUGUAGGAAUUUAAUGGAUGUCAUUAAGCUAGCAGCCCUCCCCCACAAGCUUACAAAGAACAUCUGCUAGAACUGUACAACAGAAGAAAUGACAACAGUAAAUGGAUGGUGGAAACACUUGAAUAGAGACAGAAUUGAGUAUUAGCGAAAAAUGCAAAUCAUAAACAUAAAAGCAAGAAGAAAUGACCACUUAACACGGGGAAAGCAUCAUCUCCAGUCUUUACUGAUGUCUAUUUAUAUUGGGAAGACAAUAGAUUUUACCUCUUGACAGAGAGUGGCAGAACACGAGGGCCAUAGCCACAGGCAGAAUUGCGAAGAAAUUAAGCAACUCAAUCUCGGAAACUUGAGAGAGACUAAUUUCCAGAGUAAAACUCACAUGGAAAGCUUUAAUUCUAAUGCCUACAGCAGCAUGGAUGAUUUGGUACUAUUACACAUAUGCUUCAUGUUACCUGAAAGCUAUUUUCCGGAGUAGACACGUAUUUAAAACAUCACCACUGAAGCCUCCAGCAGCAUCAGUGAAUUUGAUGCCCCUAAAGAUGAUGCUUCAUGUUACCUCAGUAUAUUAAUAGUAAACUUCAGAUGAUGCACAGUUUAUGAAAGGAAUGUUAGGAAGAAAUCACUACAAUGAAAUAUACGUGAAAUUGGUCAAUACAAGCAUCUAUCUCAUCAAAAACAUUAUCUUGAUAAAUUCAAAACCAACAAAACUUUCUUCAGCUUAUUUAUUGUUAACAAUGAAAUAUACACAAACCCAUAACAGCUUCUCACUUUUGAAGACAUUUCCACCUGCUUUUCUCCUUCUGGUUCAUAAUUGCAUUUAUGCUGUCCUAGUGUGCCAGAUUCAUGAUUCUCUCAUCAUCACCCAGAGUAUUUGCGUCAAGCUCCAUUUCGACUCCCAUUACAAUACAUGCUAUAAUACUCACGGAGAAGUGAGAGGCCGAAAGAGCCAUGGUGUUUGGAAAAUCUGCCAACUCAAGUGAACUUUGGCAAAUAUUGUAAAGUUCUCACAUAAAUUCAAACACACAAAUUACCUCUUCCAGCCAAUCACAACAGAAUUACUGUUGAUUCAACAAGAUCCAGACACCUUUUAUUUCUAUUAUCUGCUAAACUUUCUCUAACACUCUUAACUAAUGUAAAUGAUUAUACACUUCAAUUACCCUGCCAAGAGGCAGAGAACACUCCCUCUUCGAAUCCUCUAAAUGAUACUCAUUCUCUAUAUUAGGUUAAUGGGAAGAUCCAUGAUAAUGACUGAAAAUCUAAACAUAACAAUCUUCAAAUGCUCUGUAAAAAUUUAACCAUCGAUAGGCAACAUGCUUCUACUGAAAAUGAACCUAAAUGAAUGAACAAAAGAUAUAUGAUGUGACAUUUCCUAUAAAAUCAGACAUUCAAAAACAUAUUUUUGGUAUAUAGAACAGUAUUGAAGCUUUCAUCCAUUUUCUUUUACUUCUUAACAGAAGAAAUUAUAAGCUUGAAGAAAAUUAUUAUGCAAGCACAAAGCAAACUGAAGAAACAGACAACAAAAAAUUUCACAAAAAUGAUCACCAGUAGUAUCAUAAGUGAAGCUAAAGGAUGACACUGAAAAUGAAAAAAGAGGAAAGAUCAAACCCAACAAAAAACCAAAAUGCCAUGAAGUGUAUUCCCAAAUGGUAAUCCACUUCAUAUGUUGCUCGGAUACAUGAAAACCCUAACCCGUCCACCCUGCAAUCCGAAAUCAGAACGAAGUCAAGGAAAACACAACCUUUAGCAAGGGUUAGACCUAAUAGAGGCAAAAAACCAAAGCAUCGAUAUGAAUCUCACCAUGGAUUUUGGCGGGAGAUUGGACUUGAACUUCGCGCGGACGACGCCGCUGUUGCCGUGAGGGCGAGCAACCUUACCCCAGAUGCACCGGUACUGGGUCCCCUUGUUCUUCGUCUUGGCCUUGUAGAUGUACGCCAUUCUCUUGCCACAGUACCACGCGACCUCCUCCUUCGUGUUCACCCCCUCGAUCUGGACCAGCGAGGUGUUCUCGUACUGGUUCGACUUCGACCUAAUUCAUCACAUCGAAAUCCGAUUAGAACAGAACGUUAAAUACGAAGAUGCAGAUGGCGAAUCCGAACUCGACUUGCCUCUUGUAUCCGAGUAUCGUGCCCCGGACAUACAACCUGCGAUCGAGAUCAAGGAUGACAGGAACAGAAUAAGCACUUGAAGUAGAAGAAGAAGAAGAAAAUGAAGAGGAAGAUGUUUGAUUCGCACCUGACGCGCUCGCCUUGUCGGCCCUUCACCAUUUUCGCAGACGAGACGGAGAAACCCUAGUCGGCGUCGUUUCUGCACAAGCGCGGUCUGUAUUCAUAGCUACGGAUUGGACGGUCUAGAUCGCGUGAUUGAAUCGCGGACGGUUCAGAUCGCGUACCCCUGUUUGGCCUCGAACGAAUCGUUGAAUCACCCGUUGAAACUUUCUGGGUGAUGUGGGAUCUGGACCUGAACCACAUAUGGACCCUGACAAUUAUCAGGGGUGAUUCAGCUCACCACGUAUUCUCUAUGGCAAACAUGCCAAGCACGUGCCAGCACCAAUUACACGUUAGUAGAACCUUCACCUUCCCCACUUUUCUUGUCGUCUUCAAAUGUGAUGACACACUUAAUGUUCAUAGGGAGCCGGUAAUGUUCAUGUCAGAUGAGCGUUGAAUCCUACACAACCAAGUCAAGAGAGACUCCUAAUAAAUGUCAAUGACAAGUUAAAUUGAAAAGUCAAUAUCCCUACAUCAUACCUAUAGGCUCUUUUUUAUAGUGGUUAACUUGGAACUGUUACACUCAUUUAUUGGUAAUAAUAGAGGGUGUGAAAUUUAGCUGAAACCAUAACCACCCAGUGCCGAACUUGGGAUUGGGUAAUUGUCUCCACGUGGUACUCAUGGAAUGGACAAAUUCGAUCGUUUUGGGUCCAAGUGGCAGCAGGCUACUGGCUCGCCAGCCAUACAGAAUUAAUGUCCUUUGCACCGACCGUUAUGGCCAGCUGGUCAGUCACGUGUCCCUAAUAUGUCGGCCGGACAAGGCUGACACAUCGGCUGGAGGAAUUCUGCCAUAUCAAAAACAAAGAUGAAAUUUUCAAGGCCAUACAAGUAUGAGACAGCCAUUAGGCUGCUGUUAUGCUGUAAGCCAUGGUCAACAGAUCCAAGCUGUUCUGAUACUUUCAGAGAUCAAUUUUGCAUCUUUUAUUUGAACAAUGGAGAGAACUUAACACUGUUUCUAAGCCACAAUACAGCUUGUGAAAGACAAGAACAGAAACAAAUACAACUCCAAAACGCAUAAAUACGACGUCGUUCAGCUAGAUAAUUAACACUACUUACUUUACUGCACAACAAUAUCUCAAACUUGGAUUCAACCAGAAGAUACAGUCGGCCGGACUCACUAGCUGGAUACUUAACUAGUUGGUUUUAGAACUGUCCUGUUACAUCCUGGAGUGAAGCGUAUCUAUGCAACUGCAACACCGUUCUUCGUGGCAUUAGUUUCAUCUCUCAUUAGGUACUUGUCGACAUGAGAGGCUGCUUGUCUGCCCUCGCUGAUGGCCCAAACGACCAGUGACUGGCCGCGCCUACAAUCGCCAGCGGCAAAUACUCCUUCCACAUUGGUUGAGAAGCAUCCGAAAUCUGCUUUGAAGUUUGAACGGUUGUCUCUUUCCACACCCAGUUGAUCAGCAAUUGUCUGCAAGCAUAGUAAGUCUUAAUCUGACUGAUUAUAACUACAAGAUUAUAUCUGACAAAUUUGGUAUGUAGGAAAAGUGAAACAACAUUCAGCGGUUGGUAAACAAAAACAAGCUGGUUGUAUUCUGAUGUUGUCGAAUAUUGCAUAAACAAUGAGGCUUACUACAAAUAAAAGGCCACCUAAAUCCAGAUCAUCACCAUUAAAACAGCAUGUCAAAAUUACAGGCACAAGAACCAGAUCUUAUGAAAACUGUGUAGAAUAUAAACACAAAUGUUACUUGAAUCCAUCUAGUAUGUCAUACUAAAUAUCUAGCUAAAACUUGGUUGCUCCAUCAGAUCAGCACUCGAUUGGUUGGAAAUAUCCUAUUACAUCUCAACUAACAAAGAACAGGUCUCUUUGGACACCUAAUGGUGCCAAUGAACAUGAAAUUUUUUGCUUGUUGAGCCUCACAGAUUAGCUGAACACUAGGGCCACCAUGAUCAAGAAGGCUUGGCCAUUGAUGGAGAAUGUGAAUGUGAUCUGGAGGACAGGGAUCAUUCAUCUUUAUAUUGUAGCUUUAGAAAACAUUAAUGGUCUUGUUUCAAAAAACCCUUGGAACUGUCAACUCGACAUGUCUAAUGCUUAACAAUUAAUUAGAUCUUCGGGGAGGAUGAGAACAAACCAAAAAGAGAACAAUUAAUUAAAGUUUUUAGUACUCUUUUCUUCAACUACACAAACAGAACCAGUUUUCUGUAGUUUUUCCUAUGUCUGUUCCUUUCAUUCCUCUUUAAGUGAACUCUCAUCUAGUAUUUCUUCUAAAAGUUACCAAUAUUAUCUUCAUAACUGAGCAGUCAUUACCAUUCUAAAUUAUCCAAUGUAAUGCCACACGGAAUACUGAAUUAAGUGACAGAUAACAUUAGAAAACUUACCGAUUCUGGGCCAAGGAAACCCAUAGCCAAUAGGACUAGAUCAGCCUCAAAUAUCUUUUCAGAACCUUCGACUUCCUUGAACUGUAAUCUUCCUCCACUAUCUUUUUCCCAACACACUUGUACCACCUCAAGGCCUUUCACAACUCCAUUUUCAUCUCCCACAAAUCUCUUUGUCAAAACCUGAUAUGAUCUCGGGUCUUUUCCAAACUUGGCGGUUGCUUCUUGGUGACCAUAAUCUACUCGGAAGAUCCUAGGCCACUGCAAAAGACAAAAGCUAAUUCAGAAUAAAUGUCACUUCUAGUCAAAUAGAAGAGGGAUAGAACAAUUACUAUGAUCCCAUAAAGAAAAAGAUACAUCUAUAUUAUUAAAAAAAAAAUAUUUAACCUGGGGCCAUGGGUUGCCAGGUGCUCUUUUUCGGGGAGGUAUAGGAAGGAGUUCCAAGUUUACAAUAUUGGUACAACCAUGUCGGAUGGAGGUCCCAAUACAAUCUGUUCCUGUAUCUCCUCCGCCUACCACAACCACUUUCUUAUCCUUGGCAGAUAUGUAUUUACCAUCAUCAAGAUUGCUAUCAAGCAAGCUUUUGGUGUUUGCAUGAAGAAAUUCCAUGGCAAAAUGAAUACCAGAGAGCUCCCUUCCAGGAACUGUCAGAUCCCUGCACAAUAAGUAUUCUCAGUGCAUCAGCAUUCCUUUGCAGAUGUCAUACUCUCGUUAUGGCCUUUAUAAUCAAAUGCUUUUUACAGCAGAGAUUCCAAUGCUAACUAAUUUUGAAUAGAAUUUAUUAUUCAGGAUUAAAAAGCUACAGACAGGAAAUAUUAUAAGAAAAAUAGAACAUUGUAUGCAUAAAAUAUAGCAAGUCAUAUACAGCACUCAAGCUGACGUCAACGAGGUCAUUCUGACUCUGGCCCGAUGGAUAAUCAACAUGAACACAUAAUACACGUCUGAAAGAAUUCCUGGUAAAUGAACAAAAUUGGAACUUUCUGGUUCCUAUGUGGAGAAUCUGAAAUAUAGCAGGGCAAUUUUCACUCGUAUAAGGAGGUUGCUUGUCACAUCAACAUAUUCUGAAGUCCAUUUGCAUGUUCAUUUGUAGAAAUAUUCCACAAAGUUUCCACAAAGCAAAAAUGUAAAAUUCAUAAAAAUGUAAAAUUCUUAAACAACAUCAAUCAGUUACCUAGGUUUUGUAGCUCCACAAGCCAAAACUAUUGCAUCGUUUUCGGCACGAAGAUGGUCAAGGGAGUACAAUGGAUCUACUCCAACAUUGGCAUUGACCACAAACUUAACACCUUCCUCUUUCAUUAGGUUUACACGACGUUGAACAAUGUAAAACUUGUCUGCCUUCAUGUUGGGAACUCCAUACAUCAUUAAUCCCCCCAUACGGUCAGCACGCUCAUAAACAGUUACCAGGUGACCCAUUUUGUUUAGCUGAUCAGCUGCGGCUAGACCAGCUGGGCCACUACCAACUAUGGCGACCUUCUUCCUGUAUCAGUGACAAGCAUUCACAUUUUCUUACAUUUCAUCAUGAAACAAAAAAUCAUUAAUUGAUAAUUAAAAUCACAUUAUAUCCACGAUAAUUCUACACUUUAAUUGAAGAUCCAUGAUAUUAUAAGCGUAAAAUGAUUUGGUAGCACAGUUGAAUUUUUUUCUAGUUAGAAAAGCCAAUACAAGUUUAAACCAGUUGGGACAGUACAAAAUAAAUGAUUGAGUAGUUUACCUCACCUCUAAAAUGACUAGCCAUAAAAUUUACAAAGAGAAUUUGGCGACAAGCAUGGGUAAACAAAUAAACCCAUGGAUGGAAACUAGUUACCUUUGCAAACUACAGGCAGUUUGCAGUGAGAGCACGGUUCAUGCUUACUAUGAAGAAACUAGAUGGCUAAAUGGCACUGGUGUAGAAGCUGCUGGUAUUUCUACUGAGUUUCACAUCCGAUAAUUUUUUUAGUUUCACACAGGAGUAACAGAAGAUGUAUAUAUUUUUUUCAUACAUUAAGAAACUCUUCUGGAAUAUUCCAUUUAUGGUCAGGCACUGUUAUCAUAAAUCAUGGAGUAUCCUGAUAUCAUGAUGCUAAAACCAUAAAUUUCUAAAUUAAAAUUUUCGAACGAAUCUUAUUAAUGAUAUUGGGAAAAGGCAAUUUGAUUAUUUUGGUUACUGCAUAGUGCAUACAACAUUAAGUAGUCUGCCAAAUUGUCCGUUGAAGAAAAGAGGACUUUAAAAUUCAUUCUCCAUUGGAAAAAAAAAAAUCAUUCUCCACAUAAUUAUUCUGAGAAUAUUAUACCUCCUAAGUAUUAACUAAGCACACAAAUGCAACCAUUUGAAUCCCCCCUCUCUAAGGAAGGAAAGGAAACACAAAGCAUAAAGACAAAAACAUCAAAGAAUUGAAAAGACAGAAAAACUGAUAACUGAUGUGUGAGAAAUGGCUUGAUUAAAUCAUAAUUUAUUAGUCAAAAGAAAAUGUUUUUUCCUCCAAAUGGAACACAAAUCAAACCAUGAGACAAGUGUAGUAGCAUUCUGUGACUUUAUUUAGAAGUAGAGCUUACCAAAAGAAGUUGAAGAAAAGAAUGGGAUUAAAUGGCUAACAACCUAAAUGCUACAGAAAACAUGACAGGAUGCAAAGUGAUCUUAUGAUAAUUGGAUAGCACAAGAAAAGAAUCAUUACCCAGUUCUCCGUUGUGGAGGUCGAGGUUUCACCCAUCCUUCCUCAAAACCUUUGUCAAUGAUGGCACAUUCUAUACUCUUAAUAGACACAGGGUUCUCAAUGAUACCCAGAACACAAGAUCCUUCACAUGGAGCAGGGCAAACUCGACCAGUAAAUUCUGGGAAGUUGUUUGUUUCUAGGAGUCGAUCUAAAGCUUCACGCCACCUAUUUUGGUGGACAAGUUCAUUGAAUUCAGGUAUCUUAUUUCCAAGAGGGCACCCAGAUUGAUCCUGCAGGUUGGGAGAAAAUUUAGAAGGACAACUUAAAUAAUGAUGCUCGAAGUGAAUAAUUUUUUCCUAAAGCAUUAAGUUUAGAGAUCCCUAUCAUAUCUAAAGAAAACCUCAAGUAUUUCUAGAAAAUAAACUUUUGUAUAUAAGGUUGUAGUGAUGCCAGACAUGAAUUAUAUUGAAAAUUUAACAGCUGGAAGUAUGACUACCAUAAAUUGAACCAAAGAUUAUAUUAUAUUCAUGUGAUUAGUUUUGAAAAGUGACCAUGAUUCCAUUGUAAAAAGUGCAAACAAAAGAAGAUAAAAAGAGAGCCCAGGACUGUUAACAUAUAUCCUAAAAUAAACUUUGUCAAGUGCCAUUUGAUAUAACAAAACAUGAUUUAAGAUACCUGAUGACAGAAAGGGGUUCCACAAUCCAUGCAACGGGCAGAUUGGGUUUUUGUAAGUGGCCCAGGCUUCAACUCCACAGCAACUUCCUUCCAAUCUUUAAUUCGAUUAUUUGGAUCUCUAUAAGAUAUGCCGUGACGCUCAUAUGCAAGAAAACCACGAUGCUUAAUAGCAUUAUCAACCUGUGUUGGCCUAUUCGUUGUCUCCUGACCAACGUUUUGUCCAUCCAAAAAUCAGUUUAACAACUUAUUCAGUGACAAAAGGAACCUUACAAACACUACAGCUCUCAGAUAAAACUAGUAUUAAUCAGCUACAUAUAGGAAACUGCAAUAUCAGACAAUUUUGCCAAAUAGAAGGGACAGUUUUUUAAUUCUGAUAUAAGAGAGAAGAUUAAUUAUCCUACAUCAUGGGAAAAGGAUGAACUCAAAUUAAUCUUAAUAAAUCAUUCAAAUAAGGUUUACCUUCUUAUCAGAACGUUCAGUUGCCAACUUAGAUACUGCAGAAACAUCCUUCAUCAGCUCUUUUUUGUCUUUUUUCUUGGCUUCUUUAGAAGCUUGCUCUGCCUUUAAAUUCUGAAGUACCCCCUUAUAAUCUCGAGGAAAUACCUUUACAAACUUGCACAGUAGAUUGUUAAAAUUGGACAGGAUUUCCUUCGCUAACUGACUUUUUGUAUGGCGCUGAUGUUGCUGUAUCAUCAUUCUUAGUGUUGUAAUGUCCUCUUCAUCCUCAACAUUUUCAAGAUCAACUAGCUCAAGGUUGCAUCGAGCUUCAAACUUCCCAUCCACAUCAAGGACAUAAGCAAUUCCACCACUCAUUCCAGCUGCAAAGUUCCUCCCAGUUUUCCCAAGUAUAACAACAAUACCACCAGUCAUAUACUCGCAUCCAUGAUCACCAACACCUUCUACAACUGCUGUAGCACCCGAGUUACGUACGCAGAACCUCUCCGCUGCCAUUCCAUUAAAAUAUGCCUCCCCUUUUAUAGCUCCAUACAAAGCAACAUUACCAAUAACUAUGUUUUCCUUCGGAUCAAACUUACUUUCUCUUGGAGGAUAAACUACAAUCUUGCCACCAGAUAACCCUUUCCCAACAUAGUCAUUGCUGUCUCCUUCAAGCUCAAGUGUGAUACCAGGGCAAAGAAAUGCCCCAAGACUCUGACCAGCACUUCCAUUUAGCCUAAUGUGGAUUGUAUCAGGAGGUAAUCCUUUCAUAUGGUAGAGUUUAGUGACUUCAUGGCUAAGCAUGGUGCCAGCAGUACGAUUUACAUUAUAAAUUGGGGUCUCAAUAAAUACAGGCAAACCUUUGUCCAGAGCAGCUUUUGAUAGAGUAAUCAGUUUUUGAUCUAAUACCAAGUCCAGACCAUGAUCCUGUUUCUGAAUGCAAUACUGAGAAGCACCUGGCCUAAUUUCAGCUGCCGGUUUAAGCAGUAAUGAGAGAUUGAUAUUUUUCAAUUUUUCAUUGCUCAAAAUGACUUCUUUAUCAACCUCUAACAUGUCCACACGGCCAAUCAUCUCAUUAACGGUUUGAAAGCCCAGCUGGGCCAUGAUCUCACGGACUUCUUCUGCCAACAUGAAGAAAAAAUUUAUAACAUGCUCAGGUUGCCCUGCGAAUUUUUGACGAAGAACAGGAUCUUGAGUGGCUAUGCCAACGGGGCAAGUGUUCUUAUGGCACUUCCGCAUCAUAAUGCAGCCAAGUGUUAUAAGAGGUGCAGUACUGAAACCAAACUCUUCUGCACCAAGUAGAGCAGCUAUGGCAACAUCCCGUCCAGUCUUAAGCUGACCAUCAGUUUGCAAGACUGCUCGCCCACGAAGGUCAUUUGCAACAAGAGUUUGAUGUGUCUCAGCCAACCCAAGCUCCCAAGGAAGCCCUGCAUUUUUAAUGCCAGUCCAACGAGAAGCUCCAGUACCACCAUCAUGGCCAGAUAUCAAUACAUGGUCUGCGUGCCCUUUUACAACCCCACUAGCAAUUACCCCAACGCCAGCCUCAGAAACUAGCUUAACGCUAAUUCGAGCUCCUGGAUUCGAAUUCUGCGUGAGAGAAGAGAGACUUACUAUCAAGAUGUAAAAGUACAGACAUAAAGCAAAUACCAUAAUUAUGUUAUCAUGCUUGUGAUGGCUCCUUAAAUGAUAUCAAUAACAGAGAAAUGGGACCACGCUAAAAGGAAGAAAAGGGAGGGGUACCUCUGACAAUUUUUUAUGGAGCAGUAACUUCCAUUAAUCAGUGACAAAGACAUACCAAAUGAUUCACUUAAUUACCUUAAGAUCAAAAAUUAAUUGGGCAAGGUCCUCAAUUGAGUAUAUAUCAUGGUGGGGUGGAGGACUAAUAAGCCCUACACCAGCUGUAGAAUUUCUUGUUACUGCAAUAUCACCAAUGACCUUAUGUCCAGGAAGUUCACCUCCUUCUCCUGGUUUAGCACCCUUGCAACAGAAGCAAACCAAAGAAAAUCAAAAGAGGUAUAUAGCAACAGGUUAAGUUAUAGCAACAUAAAUCACACUUAAUGUGAAAGGUAUGCAUCAUUUAUAGAUACAAACACAAUUAGGUACUCUAUCAUGGUUAUUGAUUUGUGAAAAGGAGAAACUAUUUUUCUAUUAGAAAGAGAGGACCACUAAGGUGGCAGAUGUGUUUAUUAAGGAGUUCAAAUUAAAGGAAAAGUUAUAAGCACAACAAAUUUGUAGCAAUUACCUGUGCCAUCUUUAUCUGAAGCUCAUCAGCAUUGGUAAGAUAGUAUAUUGACACACCAAAUCUUCCACUUGCCACUUGCUUAAUUGCACUCCUCUUUGGAUUCAUUGAACCAUCUGAAAGAGGCUCCAUACGUGAAGGUUGUUCACCUCCCUCACCUUCAUGAAAGUUACACACAAAAUAAGAAUAAAAUUAACACUACUCUAAUACUAAAAUCAUUGUCACUCAAAGAUUAACCAUGUAUAAUCUAGGAAGAUGAAGCGGACAAACCAAGUUCACUCAAGAUCAGGUCAAGUCAAGAAAACACAAUUGCAAUAUGAAUAUAGAAAAAAUCAUCAUGUAAACCACUAUCUGGCACAUGACAAUUACAUACAUAUUGGUAAAAUAUUGAUUAUAUAUAGAUAUUAUACACAGAAAAUUAAGUCAAUUGAUGAUUCCAAGAUUAAAAUAUUGCAACAACAUGAUUUUUUCAAAAGAAAAAAAAAACAGAAAGGUCACAAGACUUGAACGUCAAAGGGUAGAACUUAAUGAGCUACUAUGACAGGAAGAUUGGUUACCCUUAAACUUUAAAUUUGACACUAAAUCAUUAUCUAUUCUCUACGUCGAUGCUAGUUAUCAAUCAAGGUAGCAUCAAGCACGCAGAAAAAAAUGGUUACUUGAUUCAUCGAGUGAAUCAUGGACUGGCAAAACAGAUAAGGAUGGAAAGGCUCCUAAUCAUAUAUAAAAUUAUUCUAGACCAAUGUUCCAUGCAACCUACCCAUAAAGUUUGCAUAUGACUAAGAUAUUUAAAAUAAAAAAGGACAUUAGAAGCUGAAAGAAGAUUCUGGAGUUGUAAAGUAAGCUCAUACCAGUGUUAGAUUUGCCUCCAAGUUUGUUCAUUGCAAUAGCUAGAGUUGUAUGUGCUUCUAAAGAUAUUGAACCAUAACUCAUUGCACCAGUACAGAAACGCUUCACAAUUUCCCUAGCAGGUUCCACUUCAUCCAAGGAAAUUUUUCCAGUGACAUCUUUAAACUUCAGCAUACCACGCAAGUUGCAGCCCUUAUUCAGCUGCUGUAUCAGUUUAGAAUAUUCUUUGUAUGCAGCCACACUGUUAGAUCGGGCUGCCUCUUGCAACUUUGCAAUUGCAAGGGGAUCAUUAAGGUGCAAUUCACCCCCUUUCCUCCAGUGGUAAUCCCCAGGAUUAGGAAGUGCUACUGCUUCUGCACUACCUGGAGGUAAAGCUCUCAUUGGAAAUGCUAAUUCAUGAAGGCAAAGAGCAUCUCCAGCAAGACUUUCAAAUGUUGCACCCUCAACUCUGCUUGGUGUUCGUUUGAAGCACUUCUCGAUCACCUCAGAUGAAAUACCUACAGCUUCAAAAAUUUGUGCACCUUUGUAUGAUGCAAGAGUGGAUAUCCCCAUUUUGGCUAUGACUUUCAUCAUUCCAUAAUUGCUUGCUUUAAAAUACUUGUUGACAAGAUCCUCUCUGGAGUGAAACUCACCAUCUUCUUUUGGAGGGAUCUUUCCAUCAAUUUGCAGUCGCCAAAUUGCUUCUAUAGCCAAAUAUGGGCAUAUGGCAUCUGCACCAAAUCCAACUAGGGUACAAAAGUGAUGCACUUCACGAGGCUCUGCAGAUUCCACAAUCAAUCCAAUGUGUGUCCUCUCUAGUGUUGAGACUAGAUGUUGAUGAACAGCCCCAACUGCUAACAGAGAACUAACAGCAACAUGCUCUGAUGAAAAACCUAAUAAAAAUUUAAGAAGAAAGAUUGACUGGUUAGCAUCAACAGAAUGCAUGUCAGCAUAAGAAAACCAACAAAUAUCAUGUGAGUUGAAGACUAGAUACUACAAAAGCAAAGAAAUAGAAAUAAAAUAGUUUUCUGAAUGACAAAGCAUGUAAGUAUCAACAAAGCAUUCUUAGAAACAAGCAUGAUACUGAGAAAUAAGAGCUAAGGAUCAUAAGAGAAGAAAAACCAAGAGAACUAAUUCUAACACAAUUUUAAUCAAUAAACUAUCUUGGAAGGAAAAGUUAUGACUUCAGAAACAUCAAUCAAUUCUCACCUCUGUCAGACAAGACAAUUGUUGUAUAACCAUCACCAAUAGCCUCGCGAACUUCAGAACAAAUCCUAUCCAAAGUCUGCUCUAGACCUUUUCGGCCAUGCUUUUUUGGAUAUGUGAUGUCAAGAACUUUGCUGCGCCAACCUCUAUAGUCCAUUUUUUUUAUAGCUUCCAUUUCUUCUAUGGAAAGAAGAGGCCCCUUCAAAGAAAGGCGAUUGCACUGUUUUUCUGUGGUUUCCGUGAGGUCACCUUCUGGACCGAUCAUACAUUCCAUAGAAGUUACAAUUUGCUCCCUUAUUGGAUCAAUUGGAGGGUUUGUGACUUGCGCAAACAUCUGCUUAAAGUACUCAAAUGUCAGUUUCUCUCUACCUGACAUCACAGCCAAGGGAGUAUCAUUUCCCAUUGAGCCAAGAGCUUCACUGGCAUCUUUUGCCAUAGGCAGCAUCAGCAUCUCCAAAGUUUCUACUGUGUAACUGCAGGCACAAAUUUCAAAAUGACUACUUUUGUUCAUGUACAUUGUAACAAUAACAUGGGAGAGUUAAGUUGUAACUUACCCAAAGGCCUUAAGUGGUGCCAAAAGACCACUAAUUCCUGUGUUCUCAAUUUUCUCAUCACCCUGGAACUAAAUAUAUCAGAAAUUCAACCAAGGUCUAUUUACUCAGUGAAACAAAACAAGCAGUAUCAAACGUACCAGAACUGCUCCGAAAAUGCAUGGAGGAACCAUGUCACUUUUGGAAACAGAAUUGACAAUGUCUUCAAGACAAAUCUUCUGUCUCUUAAGCCACUUUCCAUAUGGUCUAGCUUGUGAGUACUGUCUCUUCAGUGCCUCAUCAUCAACAACAAUGCCAUGUUCAAAAUCCACCAGCAGCAUCAUUCCUGGGUUUAGCCUUCCUUUCCUGGCCACUUCGUCCGGAGGGAUAUCUACAACGCCUACUUCACUGGCCAUAAUAACAAGGCCACUAUGUGUAAUAUAAAACCGACCAGGUCUCAACCCAUUGCGAUCAAGUGUUGCUCCAAGAUAGCGACCAUCAGUAACUGCACUUGAAUUUAAAAAAAAACAUAUUAGUUUAAAUCACCAUGUCACCUGGAGUUUUGCACCAAGAAUAGUAUGGGUUCUCACAUGAAAUGAGAGCAGGUCCAUCCCAGGGCUCCAUGAGAGCUGAGAAAUAUUCAUACAAAGCCUUCCUUUCAGAAUCCAUGUUUUUAUCAUUCUGCCAUGCCUCAGGUAUCAUCAUCAUGACAGCUUCUGGCAUGCUCCUACCAGAACGAACCAACAGCUCAAGAACACCAUCAAAUGCCCCUACAAUUUACAUAAAUAUUUCAACGUCAAGCACUCAUAAAUGCGUACAGAAAAAUGCACAUUCAUGUACCUGUAUGUUACACGCAUGACCUGUAUGUCAAAUGAUUAGAUUAAAGCAAGAUAUCAAGUGAGAAAUAUCUACCUGAAUCGGAUGAGCUAGCAUCAACAAUUGGUAAAAUUUGCUUCAUUCCAUCUUCCGAUAAGCCUAAUUCCUUGCACUUUAAGAGACCCUCCCGUGCCCUCAUCCUGUUAGGAAAGAAGAAAAGAAAGAUGUCAACCAAACCAAACGGUGACUAGCAUAUAUAAUUAGCUUAUAACAAAGAAAAAAUCCACCAUCUUCUUAUCAUACCAGUUUAUGUUUCCUCGUAAAGUGUUGAUUUCUCCAUUGUGACCCACUACACGCAUUGGUUGUGCACGGUCCCAGCUGGGAAAUGUGUUUGUGGAGAAUCGAGAAUGCACCUGCACAUGAACAUUGUUAUUUGAUCCUAAAAUUGCAAUUUUUAGACUUGCAUUCUGAGGUUUAAUAGUUCAGUGUGAAAUAAAGGGGCACCAGAAUAGCCAAUAGGAUCGGUCUAAGUACAGUCCCAAUGAAAAAUUACACAGAGAGCCUAAGCAAUCUUCACCUGUAAUCAUUUCUUUUCCACUUCAAAAUAGGAUCUCAUACAAUAGAUUGUAGGAUUUAAUGCAUCAGAGUUCUGCAACAAGGUUUCCUAGGUUAUCAACUACAAAGAUUUCACCAUACCACCCAAAGCAUCGACUACAUAUUUCAUAUAGUAAACUGUUGUGGUCAAGAGUUUUUGCAAAAGUAUAUAUUUACCAGGGCCAUGUAACUCGUAAACUUUUUGUCACCAAGAUCUGCAUAAUAGUAGUUUUUCAGCUGAACAGGCUUUAGCUGACCUUUGUAAACAAUAGUCCUGCCAAAAUCAGACAAAACACAACACUUUUAGAAGAUCCAGGACUUCUAUCCAUUAGUAAAGGAAACAAAACUGCCAUCACAUCUACACAGAAACAAGAUACUUAAUAACCCAUUCUUCCCUAAUCAUAUCUUCUAACUCAAAACAACAAAAAUUUCCUCUUCUUUAUGCAAGGGCAAAAGGGGGUUAAAAUAUCACCUCGAAGACAAUGAGCAUAUAUAGAAUUCCUUCGCUGCACCACGCUUCAGAUUCAAAGCAGCUCGAACAGAAACCAUUGAGAAUCUCCUUAAUAUAUACAUCUGCAUAUACCCAAGAUAAAAAUCAAACAGAACCUUUAGAAGUUAGAAGUUUCUAUCAAGUUUUAAUGAGUUUCUCUGUGUUCAAGAAAAAAAAAAAUCAACGAAGGACCUGUUGCUCAAAAUCAGCAUUGGAUUGUGCACUUGGAGUAAGAAAAACUUGCUCAAUGAUUGGCUCUGUCCGUCGAGCAGACUCACCAAGCUCCGUAUUAUUUGUUGGUACCGGACGCCAGCCAAGAAUAACAUGCCCCAAGGAUUCUGCAACCUAAAGUAGCAUAAAGUACCAGACAGUUCUUCAGAGUACUCUGAAUUGCUCUAGGAUGUAUUAAGAAUCACAAGAAAAGAAAAACUCCCAAAUAUGGCAGAAAUUUUUGAAAAGAAAAAAAAAAUAUAAAGGUAUACUAUAGCAUAAGUGAAAAUAGCUCAUCAAGAACAGCAUCAUAACAAAAGUUUGAGAUUAUCUAGACAAAAGAGAUUACAAAUGAAUUUCUUGGUUGAGAUCAGACCUGAUCACUUCAAAAAGGAUAAAAAAAAAAUACCUUUCAAAAAAGAAACAUUCACUUUGUUAAAAGGAAUUUUAGUGUAAGAAACAGAAGCUAGACUUCCUCAAAUUUAAUCAUGUCUUUCAGCACAUGUAGCAGGACCCUAAUUUCAAACAAACAUUGUAGCACAAGAUGUAAAUAUCUUAUCAUAUUCUUUUAAAAAAUGCAUAAUGUUAAAAACAUGCAAAUUGUUCUUUGAAAGUUGCAAAAAUAAAUUAUACAACACAUCCAAGAUAAUAUUUUUCAUAGAAAAUAAAUGUAAAACACAACUAUCAACUUACUCAACAGACACGCCUGUAUACACUGAACAAUGAACAAAGAGAAUCUGCAGUUCCUUUUAAAAGAGAAAUAUAAAAUCUCCAGAAGUUUAGCUACAGAUCCUGGUAGAUCUCAAGUGUAAUUAUUCAUAAUGGAAAAUUACCUCCACGAAUGCAGCUUUGCUUUUCUCCCUGCGGCUAUCAUCAGUUGGCAUGAAGAACAUGCCAACAGCAUACUUACUGGGUGGUGGCAGUUCAAACCCCAAAUCUUUGGUUACCUGAAAGAGAAAAAAAAUAUGUAGAAAAUACCAAAAAUUCAUAGUUAAUAAUGCCCUAAGAAGAACAAUCACCAAUUGACAACACCACAAAUGAACACGCCAAUAAAAGAUAUGACAAACGCUUAGAACAGGGGAAAAAUAUUUCUUACAAGAACAAAGGCCCCUUAAAAAUUCAAAAUGCGUGCCUCAUUGAAAACAAAUAAUACACAUGCCUCGUUGAGGAACUCGUGCGGAAGAGCUACAAGGAUGCCAGCCCCAUCGCCAGUGUUAGCCUCGCAGCCACAAGCACCACGGUGCGCCAUCCUCUCCAGCAUCUGCAGUGCAUUGUCAACCUGCAAAUUCUCCAUAUGUUCAGCAAUGCUCUUGGAAUGCAACGAUUUCAAGGUCAAGAACAUACUCUUGAUUACUCUUGAUCAGGGGAAACAAAAGCUUACUGUUUUAUGGCUAUAUUCGCCGGAUAGCUCAGCAAUAAAUCCGACACCACAAGAGUCUUUCUCGAAGGAGGGAUCAUAAAGACCCAUGGGCUUCUCUGGCAACUCAGACAUGGACGUUGAUGGGGAUCGAGAGGUGGCAACGACGUUCCGCUUCGGCAUCAAACAACGUGUGAGGUCGUCGGUGCGCCGUGGAUGGUGCCUUUGUAUACCAAGAAAACGGCUCUCCGAGGAGAUAGUAUGAGAUCGUCGCAAGGCAGAGAACCACACGGCCCUGCUUCCACGGCGGUCGUUCCUCUUGUAGUGCGCAACGCAAGAAGGCGCCAACGUCCCUGCGCCAAGCUUUAAAGCCGAGCACGGGUCAGCGGAGGCCAUAGGCGAAAGACCACUCAUUCUUUGAGGUUUUGGAACAAAGUUUAGAUCUUUACGAGCUUGCUGAAACUCUCAACCAGGUUUCAGGUAAAAGGAAGUAGAUUUAUGAAGAAUCGAACAAAGAAACGCCGGAGAAAGAGUCGAUCAAAGAGCCGUUCGGGACGACGCGUUCUUCGUCGGACGGGUUCGCUGUGUAGAACAGGAAAAAACCGAGACCGUGAGCAUCCACAAGAUGACGCAUGUCAAAAGUGGCAAGCAAAAGUAUCGUGCAGAACGAGCACCUGAGAUUGAAACAGAGACACUGGCGGUUUCUAAUGGAUAAAUAACAACAUCAUUAACUAUUCUAACAAUCUAAACCCGCCGAUCUCUUCUUACCCAUAUCAAAAACAAGAUUUUUCCCCUGCUUUUUACCUCUAUAUCGAUAAAAGCUAGGAAGAAGCAAAAGAUCUUCGAUUCCCGGCAACUGCCAAACCCAAGCUAGAGAUUCCAAAAGAUCCUCCACCCAGAGAAAAACGCCGCACUCCGCCGCUUCUCUCGCUGUUUCUCUCUCCUAUCGCUAUUGUUUCGUGCUUCCCUCCGCCGAUAGAGAGACGGAUUUAUAGAGGAGUUGGCUGCGGGGCCGGCCAUACUCCCUCUCCCUCUGCCCUUUAAUUUUCGAAGCUUGGGGAUCCGCUCCAGCCAUGCUUUUAUCUGAAUCCGUACAAUCCAUGAUCCCUAUGUGCCCGCCGCAGUUCGCCCGCCGUUGGAUAAGACUCGGCGAGAGCGGGUGGGGCCCGCGCGAAGGGGAACGUGGUGGCGUGGACGAUUCUAACGCCGCCACGUCGGUAUCCACGACGUGGUUUACGACUUCGGACGCGAAACGGUUCGCCUCCGAGUCUCCGCGGGCGGCCCUACCAAGAACCAAAAUCCCAAAUAAUUAAUCUCCGUGAUCCACCACGCUCUCCUGGAGACACCCACCAAACGCAAGCGGCUAUCAUGGAUGACAUGGCCCCACAUCGACGGUCAGGAUCGUUUGGGUAUCUUGGUCGGUAUCUUUUACGGUGCCGAAAAAACAUAUUGUUAAAUAUUACCUCUGGGAUUAUGUGGUUUAUCCACAUAAUUAUAAUAAUUAAACCCCAAAUCCAUCGAAUCAUCAACCGAAGUGAUGAUACGAGUACGGCUAUAAGAAUCACAAAGAUGUCUAUCCAAUUAAUCUCUCUCUCUCUCUCUCUCUCUCUCGUUUGUGGUUUUAGAAUGAAUAAAAAUAUCAUGAAAUUAAAUAAAGCUAUUGAAUCCUCUUUGUCCUCCUAAUUAAACUUAUGAGGAAAAUCCCCGAUUUGCUUCUUGUGGGUUGACCAUUGCUACCAUCGAAGACAAUAACAUCCUCCUUAAUUUAAUAUUAGUACUCUUUUUUACAAUUUAAUUAUAUUUGAUCAAGAAUUACUCCCUACCUUCGUCUUCCAAUCCACCUUCUUUCUAUAAAUCUUGGUGCGGAGAGAUGAAUCGAGAUAGAAGAAAGAAUAAGAGUAAUGUAAUGUUCCAUCAUGACACGUUGACUUCCGUAUAUUGAUAUCUUUGAUGUUGUUAUCGAGGUUGACUUUUCUAUUCGUAGCAACAACGAGGACAUAUUGCACAAAUAGAGUCAAUUAUAAUUAUUAUUAUUGUUGUUGUUAUUAUUAAUUUUAUUAUUAUUAUUGUGGGAGGCCACAUGUUUUCUAAAGCCAAUAGCUUUGGAUGGCCAACAGUAAUUUUUUUAAGAUAUAAAAAUAUUUUUUAAAAGAUAAAAUAUAUAUAUAUCGGAUAAGAUUUUUGAUAAGAGAAUCUGAUAAAAAUACAUCAAAUCAGAUUUUUAACCUUAACCAGUGUUUGUGAAAAUUAUAAAUCCACUUAACACAAGAUAUAAAAAUAUUAAUUCUUUGUUACUAUUUGAAAGUUAUAGAUACUGUUAGUACUCUUAAUAGUAUUUUUUUAAAAGAUAACGAUCAUUGUCAUUAUGUCUAAAUACUUGAGUUGGUUGAUAAGACGUAGUACAUGUCUUUAUAGAUCGAUAUAACAUAGUGUGUUGAUACGUCCAUAUGUAUCAAGACAAAAGAAACUUAAAAAUCUAAAAAUUAAUAAAUUAUUAUCCGAUCAAUCUUGUCAAAAUAGAUCUUAUAUUGAGCAUACCGUACGAGUAUCCUAGUCCACAUCUCCGUAGAAUAUCAUGCUAAUAAACCUUGGUUUGCUAUAUAUUUAACUUUUGUUUUUGAUAUGAUUUCAGCUCAUUAUUAAGCUCAUGAUAGAUGGCAUAAUCAUUUAAUUUGUAAUUUUUAACUUACCUUUCUUAUUAAAAUUUAAUAUUUAAUCGUCAUUGUCCUUUUAGUUUAGUGAGAGAUUGGAGUGCCCAAGUAUUAUUAUUCUUUACAACUCGAAGAUAUAUUAUAUUUAAAAAAAAUCUUGUGGAGAUGGUAUCCAAGUUACUAUCAUCCAAAUAAUUAUUAAAUUGAAAAAACCUUUAAGAUAGUGAUUAAGAAAUUUCAAUGGUGACGGCUGAGGAUAGAUUAGUCACUUGACAUUUUCACUAUGUUAAUUCCUAUCUAUUUCAUAUUAGUGGAAUCAAUGAUAUUAAAUUAUAUAUAAAUCUUACCUUUUACCAUUCACUUAUAAGCCUAUGGGGUCACAAGCCUAUAGACUAUCAUUCAUUUGUAAGCCUAUGGGGUCACAAGCCUAUAGACUAUCAUUCAUUUGUAAGCCUACGGGAUCAAGAGCCUACUCCUCAAUCAAUGUGGGUUGCAUCGGACCCAAAGAUUUCUAUUGUUCACACUCUCGUGAGACUUAAUUUGCAAUCAGAGAGAUUGGGUCGAGAAAUCCUUCCAACGCUGCUAACUGCUUGUGUAGGGUUCCUAAAGAAACCAAAGCAUACCUUAACUCAUCUCCAAGACUUCGAGAAGACUAUGACUCACCUUGGGCCAAUUCGAGAGCAAUCUGGGAUACUCAAUCGUCACCUCAGGAUCAUUUUGGUCGAAUCUUUUUUGACUCCAACGAUCUCACAUAGUCGUCACGUGAGCUAUCAAGACGAGCUUGCACUUUCGGGCUAGAACCAAGUCAUGCCGAGUCACGGUCAAUGGUAUUAAGACAAUAACACCACUUAAUCUUUAUUGUUUUUUUUCAAGUUAUUUUUCAUCAAAUCCAUUUCUCUUAAAAAAUUCACCAAGUCAAUAAAGCAUGAGAUCCCUAUGUACUUUAAUAAUGCUAGGAAUUGAGUUGCAUGCAUUGUUUUAUCUCCUUAUAAAGAAUGGUUUUUUUAGGGUACCUUUGCACCAUUGGAUCUAGCAAAUCCAUAAAGUGAGAAGGAAAACAAGAUUCAGUGUUCAAGAGUACAGAUCCUUUAUGAGCUUGUAGCUUUUGACCUCAGGAUGCUUGAGAUGGGGACAUCCCAGCUGAUUCCAUCAAACCUUGCUGAAAACCAUCUUUGGACACAACACCAACAGGCUUUGUUAGAUGAUGUUGACAUAGGUAGGAGUUCCUUGCACACCUUCCUAUUGCUGUAUCUGAAUUCUUUAGCUCUUGUCUGAUCUCAAUGCAGAUGACAGUCUUUCCUUCCUGCAACAGCUUCUGCACAAUUCAUAUUUAUAUGAGGUUUCCAAUAGCCACUCUUUUACUUCUGCAAGAGCUUCUAAACUCUAACUAUCAAUACAAGUUAAUAUUUGUAUGAGCUUUUCCAUGAUCAGACUUCUACUUCUGCAUGAGCUUCUAAACCUUUAAAUGUCUACUGUAAAAUGAUCUCUAAAUACCAUCUCUAGAAAGUUGUAGGAUUUCAUAGCUGUAUUAGGUUUUCCAUGGCCAGCCUUUUGCUUCUGCAGCAGCUCCCAAACAUCUAAAUAUCAACUCAUAGGGUGCCAUGAAAAUUCCAUAUCUUUAUGAUCCUAACAAACACAAAUUGUUCUCAAUCAUUUACUUCUCCAGGUAACAUUUCUUAUAAUUCAUCAAUCAGAUUCUAAGUGGUUGGUCUUCAUCAUCAUGGAAAAAGUUUUCUGUUUGGAUUCCUGUAAAAAGUUAAAAGUUAUUGGUUGAUACAGUUCUCUUUAUCUCCUUAAAAAUCAUAUUUUGUUUCUUUUCCUUUCAUUUUGAAUGGAUUCCUUCUAAAUUCUUUGGAUGCAGCCAUGUUCAGAAGUAUUACAGUAUUUGCACUUUCUGACAGAACAUGAAACUUUGCACUUUGAAAAAGUUAUACAAAAACUGCCCAUUUUAUCACACAUAACUGGAGAAGAAUAAUAUCACAGAAAUCAUCCUGCAUUGAUUGUCACAUGAGGAAGGAAAAUCAAUUUCUGACAUGAUCUCUCACUUGUGUGUGUGUGUGUGUGAGAGAGAGAGAGAGAGAGAGAAUCCUUUCUUUUCUACCAAGACUCAGAUCAUCAGGUUGGCAUAUCAAACUCAAGGUUCCAAUUUCUGUGUGCUGGAAACUUCCUAUGCAAUUCCUGUGCAUUGCGUAACACAUUUUGACUUCCUUUUUAGUAGCAGAAACCAUUGUUGUAAGACCAUCUUCUUAUUUAAUGUACACAACUUGCUGUUUGAAGCAUAUAUCUAACCAUCAACAACACCUCCUAAAUCAGGUUUCACUGCUUUCAAGAAAGCAGCAAUCAAUACAUAUCAGCUGAAAGAGUUGUUUAGAUCAUACCAUACAUGUAAACACCAGUAGAUGAAUAUAAUUUAGUUCAAAGAGUACUCUUCACCUGAAGGAAUUCCCCACUGUGAAGCAUGUUCAGGUAAAACUGUGCACGAAAAGCUUGCAAGAAUGAAAGCUCCUUAAUGCUCUCUGUUAUCUACAAACUUACAGCCUCCCACUAAAUGUAGAUUUCAAGCAAGUUAUAUAAAUAUAAUGUCCGGUGUAAAAUGCAGGGUAUAAUCUUAUACAACUACUCAACACUUUUGAUUCUUUGCUUUUAAUGUAUAGAAAGUCAAUUCAGGUCUUAAAUGCAUUAACGUGAUGGCUGUUCUUACCUAUGGCAGCAUGAACUUGCUAGUGAGAAAAGAGGACAUUUGCACUUGAUAAUGAAAGCAUAUGCAAAACUGAUUUGUAGCCAAGUCUAGCAAGCAAGCUACAGCUUCAUAUGGGUGGUCAGUGGACAUGAAACUUAUCUGAGAAGCAUGGAGGAGUUUGACUUCCCUUAAAUAAAGGCAUGAAUGAUCCAUUUCUUGGAAUAGAUAAUACAAGGUAUGGGCAUAGACAAAUAAAGAGCUAAUAUCUUACAUGCUACUUUCCAAGACAAAUAUCAGUCAGCCUGACAACCACACAUUCCCCUAUCUUGUUUCAGUAUAGCAGCAGAAUCAAUGAGUUUUUCUCUUCUUUUCUGACAGGAAAUUAACAAGCUUCCAGUGAUCAACUUUAGGAGAGAGGCUAUUGGGUGGGAUUCUUUGAUAUAAGUAGCUGCAUAGAAGAUUUGCAGAUUCAUUCUCUUGUACCAAAAUUGAUGAUAAUUCUCCACUCUGUUUCAUCUGGAAAAAUAAAUCAUGCAAUAAUUGUAAGAGACCAAUCCAGUGAUCAAGAACUCUUGAUCUUCUCUCUUUGUUGUAACACCAGCAUCAGCUCAGCCAUUCCUACAAGAAGCCAUGGAAAAUAGCUUGAGGUUUAGUCCAUAGGAAAUAAAACUCCUUAUAAGUAAUUAUCUUUUUGGUUACAUGAUUGCCCUUGAAGAUAUUUGUUCAAGCCAUAUUUCAUUUCCUAUUUCCUGCUAGACUUUAUUCCAUGAUCUAUAUGACCCAUAAGAAGUACCUCUUUAAUAGAGAUCCACUUGCAACUCUGAAGAUUCAUGAAAGCAAAUGUUGCUUUCAUCCACCAUGCAUUUUUCUAAUAUAACAAUAAUAUAUACCUGAGAUGGAUUCUGCAUUCUGAAUGUAGAAGGAUAUUCUUACUUUGUUAUGAUCAAAUUGUUUUGACUUGGCACAUACAGUUGAACUUUUCAAACACAAUUUGGCAACACAGAAUGCAAACAAAUGUAGAUAGACAUGGAAUCUUUCAUCUUUGUCAAGUUGUGGAUUGUAAGAUCCAAGUCUUUCCUCAACCAACAUGACAUCCAUGAUCUUUGAAUAACAUGAAAUGCGUGAGGUAAUUGCCAUCUUCCCAUACUCCUCUUAUUCCUGAGCCGAACACAAACCACCAUUCUCUUGCAUCGGAAAACUCCAAAGUCAAGCCUCAGAUUCAUGACAAAACAACAAACAUGAAUCUAAUAUAAGUGUCUAGAACUUAUCUUUCUACAAUGAUAUCUAGUGCUGAGACCAAUGCCAACAGAAAAAAAAUGGAAGACAAUUCAAGGCUAACAAACAUAAAGCCUUCUUUUAUGUCUCAUCACGCUGUCGAUUAGCCUCAUCGAGGAGGCAUGUAAUAUUUAAUCUGAGGGAAUGUCUUGGGAUCUCAGUUAAGGAUUAAUUAGCUGCAAUUGGCCUUUAGUCAACCUGCAUCAAUCUUUAAGAGGGUGAAGACUUCAAUAUGAUUCUGCCGAAACAUUCAUACUUUAUGAAUCCAGAUUGUGUUGUUCUGCCUCAGCCAUCAGAUGUGCCAAGCAGAAUUGGAGAGAUGAGCUCAAUCUCUUAUAAAAAAUGUAAAAUUGACAGAAAACAGACUUAUUUAGUUGAUUUUUGCAUCAGUUUGACCAUCUUUGUGCUUAAAUAUGGGUUUGGAAAUCCACACAAGGAUCCAUUGCAACUGCUACAAAAUGUAUCAUAUUUUGACAGUCGAAGCAAAUUUGAGUUCCUUUGGGUAACAAAUUCUUCCUAUGAGUUAUAUCGGUGAGUCUCUUUCGAUAUCUAUAUCAAGCAUCAAAUAUAUGAUUUCAAUUGAUGGCGUAGAGGUCUAUAUCUUUUGGCAUACCUUCAAAAAGAAGUGCAUUCUCAGGUAAGGAUAUUUCUUUUUAGUCUAAAGCUAAUUAGUUCUUGGGCUUCUUCUAGAGUUAUUAGGCUUUGUUUAACCCAAAGCUUUAGAUCUCAGGAGAAAUAGUUGCAGCUGCAUCUACUCAUCAUCUCCACAACUGCAAUUAGAGCACUCUCUCAGCUUAGGAGAAGUACUACCACAAUGCAAGAUGCAGCAGCAUAUCUAUAUUAUAGCUGCAUGGUAGUAAUCUGUGCGCAGGUCCUAAGAAUUCAGAAUUGCUUCUCAUCUGUGAGAACACCAAUGAAUGUUUCUAAAGAUGUGCUCAUAAUCAUCAGAAAAUAAACAUUUUCACUACAGAAUCACAGUUUACUAAAAGUCAUCUCCUUUUCUGGCUCUGGAAUCCAAUCAAAAUCUCAUGGAUGAUGAGUUGACUUUGGUGUAGAACUACAUAAAGGUUCGAUUUAAGAUAGCAUACCCAAGUGGUCAUUGAGGUGAUUGGAGAGCCCAUCAACUCCUUCCCUUCUCAAAUGAUCAUUCCUUUUGCCUUCAUGCUAUAAACAAAUGGUCCUCUCUGUCUCUCUCUCCAUCUCUCUUUCAUCCUCAUUGUUUCUGUUGGCUAGUUGAGAACCCCAAGAAUCCAUCCAAAAUAAAAGAAAUGAAGGGAAAGAUAUUUAAUGCACUGAUCAUUGCAUAAAGUGCACUGGAAGCAACAAAUUGGGAAGAGAUCUGACACAAGUGUUCUGGUCUGCAUCAAUACAAAUAGUAUCAGUGCAGCUGCUCUUAUACAGGCUGAAACCUAGAAGAACUACAUGUGGGUUGGGCUGGUUAACCUGGAACAAGCUCCAUUAGCUACUGCAGGAAGAUGGUGAGGGUUCAUAGGUUGCUGAACCUUGUAUCUGUAACAGAGUAAAUGGAGAAUUCUAUGUGCACUAGUCUUUGCUGCUUCAUCUUCAUGAUCAAGAUUGUUCUUUUGUGCCUUUAUUUUGUUGUGAUACUCUCAUGCAUAAGAUUUCAGCUAGCUUACUACACUUUCCAUGAUUGCUAUAAAUUUCUUUUUUAGUGAGAAUUCAAGAAUAUUUGUUCUGACACCUCCAUAACCAGCAAAGUUGAGCACAUCUCACCAGGUAAUAUGUGACAAGAAAGGAUUAUUUUAUUGAUUGAAUCAUUGAAUCAUGAAAGAAAAACAAUCUAAUAGGAAAAAGAUUAUUUUGUUUGAUCUGAUCAUGAAAGAAAACAUUCAUUUUUUUUUUUGUCCGCACUUACUUUGGAAAGCCAAUGGUAGAUUAUGAUUUAUGAUGAUAAUUCUUCUAUGGCAAAAUUAAAUCCACGGUCUCUUACAAAUUUGAUAGAAUCAGAUGGCAAAUGUUGAGUCACUCAAGAAAUUGCCAUCAUGCUCACUUCAUGAUAUUUAAGAGCUAUCUUGUAUUAGCUAUUUGAUUAGUACAUAGAACCACAAAUUUAAGAGAUAUUAAGAUUUUUUUUUAUAGAAAUGAAAAGUUAUAUUAAUUCAUUACUGGAUUAUGACACCAUUAAACCUCUUUGACACCAAAAAUACCUUUCUUAUUUGAUACAUUUGCACCUUCUACAUUGGCAACUACAUGAUAGAUCGUUAGUAAUAUAAUUUUUUUUUAUUAUAAAGAUAAAAAAAUUCAUCAUAUUUGUUACUCUCUCAUCACUUUCUUUCACUAUAUUAUACAAAUUAUUUUUAUAAUAUUUUUAGAUUUUUUUCUUUAAAAAGCCUCAUUUUUUAAUUUUCUCAUUUAAUUUUUUUUUUCAAAUAUCCUAAAUGCCCCUCGUCAUCGUCAUCUCCUCUUUCAUGUUAGCAUUGUCGAUCAUUACUUCUAGCCCAUUGCCCCUUUAUAUUCCCACCUCACACUUUUCUGUGCCCUCACCCUCGACCUUUUUCGUCUUCAUGUUGCCCUCUAUGCUCUUAUCAUCUAAUUAGACUCACUUACUCUCGUUCUUUUUUCUGUGUUCAUAUCAUUUGACAUGUCAUAUUCCAUAGAGAAGUUUUUUCAUCGAUAUCUUCCUUCCAAAGCAUGUCGUUGAGAAUGCAGGUGGAGAAAAACGACAGAGGAGAUAAGGUCAAGGAAGAGAACACUAUUAUGAGGAUGAAAGAAAGAUAUUAGAGAAGAAAUAAGAGAAAUAUAUGACAAAGUGAAGGGAAAAUUAAGAUAUUAAAGAAAAUGUGACAACGAUUAGGAAUUUAAGAUAUUAAAGAAAAAAAAUACUAAAUGGGAAAAUUAAAAACUAUGAUACCUUUAGGAAAAAUUUUAAAAAAGAUUUUUUUUCAAAUAAAUCGUCCAAUAUUCUUUAUAUUUUAAUAUGAUAUAAAAAUACUAAUUUAUUUUGAAUAUAUUUAUUAACCACGCUCCAGCUACAAAGGAAUAAAAUUAUCGCAUCGUGUCGUCAAGAUUAGUGCACGUACACUCGGUCUCUCUUCUUCCUCCGCUUUGAAAUCCUAAGAUUCUUACUGUACUCGCCUACUCCGAAGGGCACGGUAAGUUCACAGGCAGGUGUUCGCGGGACCCGUUCUGUUUCUCCAAUCACUUUACAGGUAGGCCUGCGGGUCUCAAAACAUGGUGCUAGUUAAUUAUCCUGCGACGGUUGUUUACCUCGAGUGGAAAAGGGUCCUCUUUCGACCUACUGGAGAGUCCUCUUAAAUGUCCGAAAUCCCCACUUCACCCCUAAUUCGUUGUUGUUACCACCCGGAAGCGACUCGAAGGCCGCACGAGCGCAGAGGGCAGUUUUGUCCAUUUAAUUCAAGUUAUCCGUGAGAGCCCCGUUGCCACCCUCCUUCCUUCGACUUCCCCGGUCGCUCCUCGCUCCACCGCCGCCUCCUCCUUCUCUUCCCCCUCCUCCUCCUACUCUUCCUUGUAUUCUCCUUCUUAUUUCCCCCAUCGAUACACUCCCCUUCCUUGGAGCGGAUUGGCGAUUUCUUCUUAUUCGAUCUUGCCGAGACAUUCGAUCGGUAGCCCCGCCCGACUUGGGAUUCCUCGGAGAUUGAUCGGUCCUCGGAGUGAUCUAGCGGAAUGCGCUUUUUUUGAAGGAGUUUGUUUGCUCGUCGGCGGGUUCCGAUCGCUUGAGCGGAAAAUAAUUGGAAUUAGGGUUUCGACGGGGAAGAUGCCGCGGAGCUCACGGCAUAGAUCUCACCGGUUGCACAAGCACUCGAGAGAUCUGUCCGAUUCCGAGGAGGACGGGAGUCCGCGGGAGAGGAGGAUCAGGGAGGAGGAACCGACCGCGAGCUCUGGUGCUAGGGUUUCCAGAGAUCCGGAGCCGGAGAAGCGGAGAUCCUCGCACGAACAUGCCGGGAAAGAGCUGGUGGUCACUAGCAAUGGGGAUGCCUCUGGGGAGCAUGGGAAGAAGCGUAAAGAAAAGGCAGAGGAGGUGGCAGUUGCUGAUCGAUGGAAUGGCGGUGAGGAGUGUGACCACAAGAGGUCGAAGUGUGAGGAAUUUGGGCCCGUGGAGUUGGAUAAGAGUUCAAGGUCUAAGCUUUUGACUGCUGAUUCCAAGGUCAGGUCUAGCAGAAGGCAUGAUGGUUCAAAUGAAAGAGAUGAGAAUUCUGGUGGGAAGAAUGAUUCGGCCAAGCACAAGUCUGAAAGAGGUGCAGAUCGGAGGGAGAGCAGUAGUCAGUAUAAGGAUGGAAGGGCUAGGAACAGGAUAGAGAAGGACACCAUCAAGGACAGGGAGGUCCAAGAUUCCAGGCAUGACAAGUAUGAUGAUAAGCAUAGUAGAAAAAAUGGUCCUAAGUCUGGUGGCAGCACAGAAGAACUCACUUCAAAGAAGUAUACAACAAAUAAUGGUAAGGUAACCAUAACAUGUUAGUACUUGAGCUUUCUUAUUAGGCUAUUCCUUAUGGCAUCAAUGAAAUUGGCUUAUCCAUGAAAAACAUGUUGUUUCACAGCUGCGACCAAAAGAUGGUAUUGUUUAAACUGUGUCAAGCUUAGUUCUGCAUAAAAUGGUUGAGCAAUUAGAAAAGUUUUAUGCAUCAAUUCUUGCUUGGCAACAUGACUGUGGUCUGAGUAGCUUGGGUCAUUGAUGGAUGAGAAAAAAUGGUUACAGCAAUAGAUCAUGUUUCUUGAGCUUCUGCAACCAUAAAUGCUUUUUACUAUAAGAGCAUUUAUGGCUUUUUACCAUAAAAGCUUGUUUGUGGUAAUUUCUGAAGAAAAUUUCAAAUGUUUCUAUGCCAACUUCUACUAUAAGAGGACAGAAGAAAUUUGACCAGAGCAAAAUGAGGAUCCCAAUAAGAACUUGUUGGAAUGAUAGAGUUUACUAGGGGUACAUCCAGGUUAUAGUGGAGGAUACAGAAGAAGAAAGACGGAAAGGCAAAUAUCACAUGUCAUGAUAUGAUCAUAUUCUUGGGAGAUUUUAUAUGACUGGUAAGAAGGGGUAUCUUUGAUUUUGUGGGUGGGUUUCUUGUUUAGAUUUGAGUCAUCUGAAUGGUCUAUUUUUAGGGUUUUUUAUUUGUUCCACAUUAUAGGCGAACUGGAGGAGGAAGUGUCAUAAAAAUAUGAAAACAAUUGGUGGUCUAUCAUAACAAUAUGAUAAUAUGUUAAAAAUUAGAGCCUGCACAGUCUAGAGUCGAAUUGGCCAUGGGAAAAUAAUUGUUUGUCUAUCAUAAGAAUAUGAAACUUUGAUUCUAGAAAAGUAUCUUAGAAUACAGAAAAAGUAGUUUCCUAAGAUUUAGGUGGGUGGAUGUCAAGUAUUAGGUUGGUGGAACCGUGGAAGUUUCUUUACUUCUGGUUUGGAAAUUAUCUUUGCCUGACUUUCGGUUUUGGACAGAGAGACAAUUCACAUAAUCUGUAAACAUCAGGAAUUGAUUCCAAAAUGGGUUGGGAGGACAAUGUGGAGUUUGUAAUAUUACGAGUUUGGAGUUGAAAUGUUUUGGUUUGAAUGGUGAGAUGCAUUAUCUAUUAUCUUGAUUGGUAGGUUUUUUGUUUUCAAGAAGUUUUAAUGAUAAACUGUUGUGUACAUUGUGGCAUUUUUGCACUUUAUACUGGUACAAAAGCCUUGAGAAUCACAUUAAUGAGCUUAUUUAAGACUAUGCAUUGGAGCUAAUAUGUAAACAAAGUAUAUUAGUUUAUUUUAUUGGGAAGGACAAAUUCUAGGGAAAACUACCUCGAUUAGUGGUGUUUCAACAUUGUAAUCCUACAAUGCUUUUCCAACAUUAAUGAACUAGUUUGGAACUUAGUAUUUCGUUUAUGAACUACCACAUUUUGGUUGUCUUUAUUCUUCCACUACUUGCUCGAUAUGCAAUAUGUAACAAACUAAGGUAUUUCAUCUUUGAAGAUUUUUGGAUUGGCUUAUCGGCAUGGGGAAGGCGUACAAGUGUUUGAGGGCUGUUGGAUGGUUUUAAACAAAGCUUAAUCUCCAUGGUUUCACAUUUCUGACUAGUUUCAGACUUCUAUUUCAUCAUUGUUGGCUAGAUAGAAAAUUUUCUUGGCGGUGUGUCACAUGGAAUUGAAAUGAUUUGCAUGAUUGCAUAGUGAAGUUGGUCAUGAGAUGUGUUAUGUAGUUGCAAUGGACAACAUUCCGGAGUAUACAGUGAAUAGUGAAGUUCUUAUAUAUUUGUACUUUUUGUUGCAAGUUAUGCCAUCUCAUUUAGACCCUUAUAAGUACAUAGAUGAUUAUUUAUCUCAUUCUAGCGAUGUUCAGGAUAAUUCUGUAGAACUAGCCAAAACCCCUUCCUAAAAGGUACCUCUUUAGCACCUGUAUGUAGGCCGGGACGACAGGGGGAAGUGCAAGUGGUUAAUUGUCAACCAAAUAGGCUUUGGUAUUACCGUUUAUAAUACUUUGGUUUGUGGCCUGUAAUGCUGGUGGAUGAUACGUCCAAUCCUUUUAAGAGAUUUAAAGACAACAACUUUUAGAUUGGUUGCUCUCUUUGAUCAUAUGGAGGUUGAAAGGCUGUAUUUUUCGUAAAGUUUGAAUCAUGUCAUCAAGUAGACUAAAGUUGAAGUUUAAUCAUUUACUUAUUGGAUAGUCAUGCAAAUCCAUACAGUUUUCAGGUUUUCGUUCAUUUAAAGUUCCAAAUCUUAGUUCAUCUAAAUCUUUAUAACUUUUUAGAGUACAUUCUGGACAUUCUGAUUUUGUUUAUCAUGUGUCAUAUUUUUACUAUUUUAUCAUAUGUACCAUUUGUUUGUUAUACUAUUUGUGUAUCGUAUGCUUGCUUUACUGGUGGUUUCUACUAUGUUUUGCUGAAUUCAUUAAUUUGUUUAUUUUUAAUCUUUUACCCAUAUGGUGACAGAAAGGCAAGAACAAUAUAUCUUUCGCAGUGCUGAGACAGAGGAGCCUGAGAAACACCUAGGGAGAAGAGAUGACUUUGAAGAAAGAGAGAAAUGGUUGGAUGAUAGUGGACAUGCGGAUGAUAGGAGAUUGUAUUCUAUGGAUGAUCGUAGUAAAAAUAGAAGCUAUAAAGAUGAAAGGCAUGAAGAUGCUAAGUACAGAGGCAAAUACAGGGAUGACGAUGACAGGGAUCAGAAGCAUCGUGAUGACAAGUACCAUGAUGAAUGUCCAGAUAAAGACCACACCAGCAAUAGAUCUGACAAAUGGAACCUUAGAGAUGAAAACAAACCUCUGGAGAGUCAUUAUAAAAGAAUUAAACUUCAGGAUACUGAUCAUGAUGCGACUUCCUAUGUUGAUGGCCAUGAAACCAAGCUCAAAGAUAACAGGGGAAGAAAUAGAUAUUCUGAUGAAAAGGAUCACAGUGACCUAGAACCCAGAGGUGCAAAGGAACAACGUGAAGUUUUUCAGAAAAAUGCAUCGAUUACCAGUCAAACUGGUUCACAUUCUGAUAAACCUAGGUCAGAGAUUCAGCAACCAGAGAAGACUAAUUCAAGUCCAAGAAAUCACCGACUGAAAAGCUCCAUUAGCUCAAGCACAUGUGCUGCUAAAGAUCUUAACAGGUGCUUUUUGUUUCCUGAUCUCUACAUUGCCACUUCAGUUAUUCUUUUGAAACAUAGUAACCAUGGACAAUUGGCUCUGUCAUUGCACAACCUUUUCUGGAUAGUUUAUUUAAAUAAUAAUUGGUGAAACUAACAUAAAUAGUCAGUAUAACAUAUCAUAAAUUUUUAACCUUUAGAAUUUGUCAUGCAAAGUCAUUUGUAACUAUGUAGCACACGAGGGAUUUGGAGUUAUGCAUUUGAAAAUAAAGAUUGUCAAUAUGUUUGAGCUGUACUUGUCUAAGUUGUAGGUACUAUCAGCGAGAUGUUUUGUUUUUCAAGUUCUUGUUUCAUUAAAAUAAAAAAAAAAGAGAUCAACUUCAUGGUACUAUCUCACAGUUAAUCUUAUUUCGAACUUGUCUAGACAAGCUAAUACCUCUGGAGAUACAUGCAGCUACCAUAUUGUAAUAGUCAAGCAUAUAUCUUUUCUAUAAUGUUUUUUCUUGCAUUUUAUCUUUUCUAUUUGGGAAUAGAUACAUGUAGUUGACAUCUAAUAGUUCGGACAUUACAGCGUAUUCUUGAUGUUUAUCUGCUCCUUAUAAUAGCUAUGAUCAGGUGAUAUAUGGUAAUCUGGUGGUUGCUAUCCUGAUUACGAGUUUCCUGGUGGUUAAUGAUUAAUAGUUAAUGUGCCUGUACCUGCUGAGUCAGACCUUGGCCUACACUUUUUCCAACCUGAACCAAGCAUGAAACAUUAGUUCAAGAGCAGCCUCUGCCUGCUUUUUGCAUGAUUUACCAUAGAAAAUAAGGCUCAGUUCCUGGCAGGACUUGGGCUUAUCCUACUUGGGCCUUUUGGGCUUAAGGGCAUAUGAGGGCAAUAAAGCCAGACUAGCCUGGUGUGUUCUCCUUUAGAUUUCCAUGAAAAUCUCUAGUAUCCUGUGUUAAUGAUCUGGCUUUGUUUUCAGGAAUAUCUCAAAGAUUGCAGAAUUUGCACAUAGUGAGUCAGCUCUUGAAGAUAGACUUUACCCUAAUGCAGCUUCUAAAGGAGAUAGUUCCAUUUCUUCUGGACUUCGUGACAAAAUUUCUGUUACUAGAUCAGGGAAGCAAACCCUAAAGGAUGACAUCCAUUCUGGUGAACUUUUUGCAGAAGCUGCUGCUUCUUCAAAGUGCAAUAGGACUCCGAGAUCAGAUGCCCAUACGUCACCAAAUCAGUUGAAGGGAAGAUCUUCUUCAGCUAUUAUUAAUCGUCGGUUUUCAGAAAGAUCUCCUUUGAAGUAUGAGAGAUUUGCCAGGCAAUGCGUUGAUAUUGAAAUUGGGCAGAGGAGUAGUAGCUCCAAAGCUGGAGACAGAGGAGAGUCGGCUUUGGAAAAGCCAAUCAUAAAUGACAUAUCUCCUGCUGAUGUCUGUGUUAGGGAGUCAACCCUUGGUUCAUCAUCUAUUAAUCGAAGUGAUUAUGUUUCUGACUGUUCAUUUAACCACCUUCCCUCUCCAUUGCCUGUGAGGUCUGGGGUUGACUAUCCAGCAGUCUUGGACCCAUAUCAAGAUGAUGAGAGAGCUCGGAGUACCGACCGCAAAUCUUCUAAUCGUUAUAAAAGGAUGGAUGAUCUUGGAUUCAUAAGAGGGCAUGGAAACGCAUGGAAGGGUGCCCCAACUUGGCCCUUUCCAGUUACAAAUGGUUUUGUUCCAUUACAACAUGGUCCACCUCCUGUAUUUCAUCCAGCCAUGUCUCCGUUCCCAGCUCCACCUUUAUUUGGUGUUCGACCACCUAUUGAUUUGACCCAUGGUGGGGUUUCUUAUCACAUGCAUGAUGAGGCUGUGAGGUAUUCUGGUCAUUGCCAGCCAUUUGGUUGGCACAAUCCAGUCGAUCAAUUAUCCCAUCCUCACAUGCAAAUGUGGGAUGGAAGCAGCGACAUGUUUAAGGAUGAAUCCCAGACCUAUGGGAGGCCAGAAUGGGAUGAAAAUAGUCAGCUAAAGAGCAGUAGAGGUUGGGAAAUGGGUUCUGAUAGGUGGAACAAAGAAAGGGAAUUGUUGAGACAUUCUCUUACUGAUGAACUAGCCCAAUCAAAAUGUUUGCCUACUGGAAGCACUGGAGCAAAACAAUCAAGUGAUACACUGCCUGUCAAGAGUGCUGUUCCGUCUCCCCAAAAGGAUGUAAUUGAGAAGACACAUGAGCCCUCAAAUGUGCCAGGAGAUAAAAUAUCCAACUGUUUCGUCAAUUACUUUUCAAGAAUAGAUAUCUCGCCAGCUCUUGCAGGUUCAGAAUUGUACAAAAGGUGCAAAUCCCAAUUGAGAACGUUACAUGUUAAUGAUGCAUGCAAUUGGACUACUUACAGAAGCAUCCAGGUAUUGAAUAUCUACAUACUAAGAAAAAGGAAAAUAAAAUUGAUUAUUUGGUUUUUUUUAUUAGCUUAUUACUGUUGAUCUGCAUUCUGUUUCAGACUAACAAAGAAGGCAGCAUAGUGAAAAUGAAGAGCGCAAGUUCUAUCUUGAACUCUUUCUUUCCAUCUGCAAAAGAUAUUGUCUUCAAGGUAUAGCUGCUUUAAUGAAAUUUCCCGCUUUAUUUAUUCGAAGAUAUGUAUGGAUAGCUAUGGACAAAAUAAAUAAUGCUUAAGAUUAUCUUCUCCACUAGCUUCUUUUGAGAAGAGAUACUCCUUGAAUUUUUGUUCUCUUUUCUUAAGUACCAACUUUGGCUUGGGUGCACAUUGUGUAUAUGUAUGGUGCUGGUUAUGAGAUUAUAUAUUCAUACUAAUACCCAAAGUUUGCUAUCCAGGAUUCCAGAUUUAAAUUCAGAGAGUCUCAAAUCUAUCAGUAUUGAGAUAUCUAAGUAUUCAAGUAUAUAUCCAAGUCUUACACAGCUAUAUUUAUAUGAGGAAAGAUGUUGCCUGAUUGAUUGUUCUAUGUAUAAAAGAUAUGUUAGCCUUUUCCUACUCUUCCUUUUCUUCUCUAUAUAUAAAUAAUUUUUUUAUCCAGGAAAUAUGAUUGAUCUCUAAUAUUUUGACUUGACUAAGUUUUGGUGCAUCAUAUCCAUUUCAUGUAAACUUUUCAUCCUCCAGCUUAAGUCCCAUCCAAGACCAUAUACACGGUACAACAUCUGUUUGGUAGGUCUAUUUAUUCAAUAAUAGGUGUUGCCUGAUUGAUUAUUCUCUAUACAUAAGUGAUGCACCUGUCCUUUCAUGUUCUUUUUUAUCUUUUCUACAAGUUUUCUUUAUCCAACAAAUAUGAUUGAUAUGUAAUACUGUGACUUGGUUAAGUUGCAUCAUGUCCAAUUCAUGCAAACUUGGCAUCCUUGUCCACCUUAAGUCCAAUCCAAAACUGUAUCUAUGGUACGUCCAGUUUGUACGAGACUCUUGGUAUCUGCGUUUAACAGAUUUGCUUACAUAUUUAGGAAUUUUCUAAUAUCCUUAUUUUAUUAAUAAAGUGGAUAUGAGGAAGGUUUUUAUCCAAUAUCUGUUCUCAUCCUUCCUUAUUCAAGAUACGUAAUCAACAGUUUUUGGAAGUGCAUUCAAGCAUUUGAUAGUAACAACUAUCUUAAUCAACAUAUCCCAUGUGAAAUAACUAAAAAGAGUAUUAGUAUCAAGUCAGAAGUUAAUAAUAUUGUCCUGUGUUCAUGUACCAUAUUUGAACAUUUGGACUUCGUUUUAGCACAUAGCCAUGGCUGUAUUCGACCCAUUUUAAGCCCUAUAAGAAUUUAGUUCUUUCCAAAUACUUGUACUUUAGGCUAUACAAGAGUCUGCGUGACCCAGAUUAUUAAUUAACUCUGAUGGAAAUUGUUGUGGCUGAAAAUUGAUCAGUUCUAUUGUUCUCGUGGUUACAGAGGGCUAUGUUCUUGUAUCAGCAGCAAAAUGGAAAGGCAUACAGGAAACAUCAUGUACCGGCACCUGUAUAUUCUGAAGAAAAGGAGUCUCCACAAGCUUCUGCUAACCGGAAAGUACUGGGUGGUGCUAACUGUGCUUCCUUGGAGAAAACUGAUGCUGACUCCACUGAUCACAUCAAAGCAGGAGACAUCACUGUCGUACAGGACUCUGAUUGUCCUGGUGAUGCCAAGGAUCAAAAAUCUGAUUUCCCUUGUGGUCCUACUGUUCAUGGUAAUAGUACUCAAGGUUGUGAGGUUAUAGCAGAAGAGUGCAGGAUGAAUGUAAGUCGGAUACAUAAUGUUCCUGAAAAUACACACUGAACAAUAUUUUAUCUCUUUGCUAAUGCCAUUUUCAAGUUCAUGUUUAUUUGAUUGGUUGCUUGCCAUAUAUGCACCUGUUAUGUUCCAUUUGUAGUUCUAUAGAGAUGAGAGUCCACAACCAAAAACUGGGUUUUAUAUAUGCUUCUAUCUUCUUUUCCUUGUAUGUUUUGGAUUGACUUAGCCAAAACGUGAGCCUGCUGAAGCAGUAUCAGGUACUUCCAUCUUGGCAACUCGUCUGAUGACUAACAGUCUUUGUCUGUCGGAAACAUAUCAUGCUCUUUAAGCUUCUUAUUUGAUUCAUUCACUAUGGAUUAGGGAGGGGAGUCUGGAGGAUGUCUUUGCAGGGCAUAUGCACAUUAUCUUUGGCAAAGAAAUGGUAUGUAUACAUUUAAUCUUUGUGAGCUUUCAAUUUUAAUCAUAUUGACCAAUCUGUUAUCCUUUUUCUUAUUACUCCACACUUGGGUUCUAAUAUUGCAGAUCACUCGAGGUGGGUGGAUUCGUUGUUAAUGAAAGCAUCCAUUCAUUAACCUUUGACGGCAGCAAUUGGUAACUUCUGCUACAUCUCUUUCCUUUUUCAAAUUAGAAGAAUUCAAAAAGGUGGUAAAUACAUGAGGUGUUGCAUUCUGCAAAAUAAAUUGAUAGGUUGCGGGGCUAUGGAAUAUGAUUCUAGCUGCACCGAUCUCAAGGUAGUCUUUUAUUCUUAUAUUAUUUUUAAGAAAAUGGUAGAUGCUGAGACUUGAGAUUUUUAAGAAAAUAUUUUCUUGUCAAAAGGUCAUCUGCAUGUUAAGUUCAACUAGCAUAUAUAAUCCCUGCGUCUGCGUGUAGCGAGGGACAUUUAGUGGGGCUAGUUAUUUCGUAGCGGAUAGUUUCAUCAAAACAUCGGAUGAUUUCCCAACAUGAAACAUCGUCCAAACUCUAUCAAACCUUACGGUUGGCAUCGUGCAUUAACGAUGUUCCCCACUUAGUGUUCGAUAAACAGGGUUGAUCGGACGUCCAACUCGGUGUCGGACGAGUAUAUAAGCAUGUAUUGGGUGUUAUAUAGCAGGGGGUUCAAACGAGCGGCCCUUUUAUAGGAGAUAAUUUUAUCGAAAUACUAGAUAAUAAUAGACCAUUCUUUCAUAGUGGAUAGAAAAUAUGUAGUUAUUUUCUAGUGGAGGUAAUAUCUGGACAAUACGUGAAAAGUCAUUCAAACCGUCAAAUGUCAUACCUAACGUCAUAUGUUGACAAUACGCCACACUUUUAAAGCCUUCACGCAGAGAGUUGUGAUGUUUGAAUGUCCACAUGUCAUUUUCUCUAUAUUAUUCACCCUCCGUUGCAUUUCGAUACAUAUAGGAUAUUAAUGAUACAAUUUAAUGAUGUAGAGUGGGCAUCCUGUGAUAUCGAAGUUAACUAACUAGAUCAUGAAAUUGAUACUUUUUUACUGCAUUUAUCCAUGUCACAAAAAAAUCAAACACUUCAUGGCUGGCUGCAUCAUGAAUUUGUAACAUUUGUGGUCUAAUUUGAUUGUAUCAUAGAGUCCAAAUACUUCAUUUGUGGUCUAACUAGGCAUUAACAUGGGUUCGAAUGUGGAGUCGAAUACAAUCAUACAUUGCUUGUCAAGGAACCGAAUCGGCAAACAUUGAAUUGUUUUGACAGUCGUAGUUGAAAGAACAAAUGGGAAAGAAAACCCACGAGUUGUCACCGGUUUAACUUCUGUAGCUACUCAAAACUAUCACACCACCCAUUAGAACUCUGGGUAAUGCAAUGCAAGAAGCACCGAAUGUUGCAAGUAUCGCCACAAUGAAUGUUGGUUGUUUGCCCUAACAUCAGCCAUCGGACAAGGAGCAAAGCAAACAGACUAAUCACGAACAACAUUUUUCGAAAAGAAAUGCUGCAUUACUUGAAUGAAACCGUGGCUGCUACUUACUGUAUGCACUAAUUUGAUUUACAAAGAAUGUAAGGCCUGUUAUUCGAAUUCACCUUUAACAUCAAACUUAUUAGGGGGGAAAAAAAAAAAGGAAAAGGUGGGGGCGAAUUGAAUACAAGCUAAAAGAUUUGACUCUGAUGGGAGGAAGAAAGAGACACUAUUCUUCCAAAAAAAUGGGUAUAAAAAUUCCAUACCUAGUUCAUGAACUUUCGGCAGUUUGGAGCUUCGCAGAGACAAGGGACUUUGCAUUCGUCACUUUCGUCAGGGUCAAAUAAAUAGUCAUAUCUGCAAGCCAACAGACGACAGAGGAUACAUAUAAGCAGCAUAAUUAAUCGAAUAGGAAACUUGCCAGCACGACCACACAAGCCCAAGCCACUAAGCAACACAUUCAAGUAGUCCUUUGGUCUUAAACAAGAAUUUUAAAUGACAAUAUUCUCAGAAAUUUUGAUGUAAAGACAGAGUGAUGCACCCUAUGCACAGCAAGAGUGCCGACUUGAAUUUUAUCAUCGACAACAUCAAAUUUAGUUCAAAAGGAAUCAAAUGCUAGAAAACGAUUUACUAUCCAUGGAACAGCUUGCGUGUAAGAGCAAGAAAACAUGUCUAAGAAAUUGAAAGCCUGAUGCUACAUCAUCAAGAACAUAUACCCGGGAAGCUUUGCAUUUCCAGAUUCUCUCCAAAAAGAUGAAUAGAAUAUAUAUAUAAGAUGUUUUAGUUUAGCCACAGCUCUCUUUUACAGGGUUCACUGUUUGAGAAAUAAAAUGUUUUCUUCGGAUACAACUCUGACUAUAAUUCAAGAAGAAGGGCUUCACAAGAGAAACCAUUUAAGUAAAAAAUAUGUAAAUUAUAAAGCAUCAAUUGUUUUCCACUACAACUAGUCCCCUAUUUAGGUUCUCAAAGUUGGUACCUGGGAGGCAACGACCAUUUCGUCAUAUGUUUCUAUGUAAGAGAUAAGGCAUAUCCAUUCCUGAAAUUUUCCAUUAGCUCCAUAUACACGUCUACAUGUUCCGCUUGGGUGGUAAUUAAGUACUUGAGCAACAUAAAUGCUUUGCCAAGAUCAUAGAUGGAGCGAGAAAUUGGCAAGAGAAACAAAAUUCAGCAAACCGAUAUGAAAACUUUUGCAGAUAGGUAAAGGAAUUUACGUUAGUUCUUCACCAGCAGAGACAUUUGUCUUAGCUAUCAAAACAAUCCGGCUCUCAUCAUCACCAACACUCAUGAUCCUAGCAUAGCAAUUGGGCAUGCACUGCAUCAAAUAAUGAUAAUUAUUUUUGGAGUAUUACAGCAAACAGCUCUGCUAAAUUUCAGAAGCCAAAGUUCUAUUAAACGUAAUGACUCACUGAAUGGUUUAUCAAACGUGCUAUGUUUCCUUUAUCAGUAGCAUCGACCACUACUUCUUCGCUGAUCUUAAAAAGCUGCAAGACAAGAACAUUACAGGCAGUGAAUUAAACUAUAAUAUUGGAGCAAUAUAAUAAUCAUAAUGUCAAUGUAAUUUGACAAGUAAGCCCACUCCCAAUGCUACCCAUCUGGUAAAGGUGCCCAACACUGUAGGCCCCCAUUAUGAAGGAUUGUUGGCUCAUUUCUUAACUAUCCUAAAAGGAUCUGCCCAAAUAAGACUGGAGGUCAUUGAAAGAUAACCAACAAAGAGAACAAAUAAUAGGAUCUUUUAUUCGUGUAAACAUUAUUAUUGAAAGUUGACAAAUUUUUGCAAAAAGAAUUUCCACAUUAUGUAUGCAAAUUCCUUCAUGAUUAUCAGGUAUAAAUGAUUAAAGACUCCACAUAGUCGGUUAUUUGUUAUAGGCCUGUUUCAAAGAAAAAUCCAAGUGAAUAUCUCUAUGGAGGACCCAAUUCCAGAUUCUGAUCUGAUAGGUUUCUGUUAACCGAAAUGGGAAAUCAACAAAACAAUGACACAUGAACUCAAUUAUGAAUAUGGGGUUUAUAUGUAAAAGUCAAAGUUUAUAUUAGAAAAAUUAAGGAUAAUUUUCAUCUUUUAUUGGAUUAAAGUGAAAAACUACUGGAGGGGGGUAAAACAAUACAAGAAUAGUAAAUGACUUAUCUACUUAUCAAAGUGGAACCUUUUGACCAAUUAAAAAAACGAUAAGAAAAUGAGCACAAUCCAUGCAGAAAAAUAUAUAAAGUUGCUUAACAGUAUAAGUGAAUUGAUUUGUAUAUCAAUCAUACAUAAACAAAAAGCUAUCAUCACAACAAAUGGUUGAACAUCGGUGCCAUAUGCUAGAUGAAUAAUCAUGUUAAGGAUCAAAUGCCAAGCAAAAUGACUUUUUGAAUCUAGUACUGACGUGUACGCCUUUAUUUUUUAUUUGUAAUGCAGUAGCCCCCAAACUAUAAAGUCCAAGGCACCCUUAUUAGUACUAUAAACUACUAGACUCGACUACUUUUUCAAUUUAUUUAAAAUCAAUUGAGAAAAUAAGUAAAAAGUAUAUUUCUUGUCUGAGGCUUCAAUUUCUAGCAUCAGCCAAGGGCAAUCAUGUGUAGAGAAUAAAACAAAGGGUACAGGAAGAUGACUCACAUAGCAACCCUUCCCUUCCAAUCGAUAGCGUGCUUCCCUUAGGUCUGCAACACUACGUCUGACCUGCUCACCACGGUACUCAAUAACCUGACAAUACGUUAAUAACUGUUAGAUUCAUCAUCAAAUCAUCCUUUGGUCUUAUGCUCUAUAUAACUCAUUCAAUUCUCAUUGCUCAAGUAACCAAAUAGCUUCACCAACUUGCAGUUGCCAACAAAACAUAAUACAAGGCACAUGCAAAUUCUACAUGUGCAUAUAUGCAUCCGUGCAAUGCCUGAAUGUGUAUUGUGCAUGUAUUCAUAUGCUCAAACCAAGGGAAGCACUAACAAAAAAAGGAUUGCAUUGCCAUUUAUUGUGCCCAUGUUGGAGAACAUUAGCAUUCAUGGGCUUCCAUUCUUUACUCUUAAAUAUGGGCACAGAACGUGCCAGCACAUAUGUGAUGUACUCUUAAAUAUGGGCACAGUAUGCGCCAGCACAUGUGAUGUACUAGUACCAUGCUGGCUUAAAAUGAUAAGGUAUGUAUUCAGCAAUCAUACAGUACAUGUCUGUACUUGUAUAUCAUGAGAGUAUGCAAACACUAACAUUAAACGUCUCUAUGAGCAUGGAUCAAGAAUUGCAAGGCAUAGUUCAACUUCUAAUCUUCAACAUGAUACACUAAUCUGCCCUUGGACCGGUCAUCUUUUAAACUGACGUCAAAAUUCUCAUCAUUCUACAUCCUAAUAAGUGCAUAAUACAGAACAGCUGAAUGUUCUAGAAAUGCAGCUCCCAGGCAACAAAUAUAUCACACAUCUUAAACAAAGAGACACUGGUUUCUUUCGAUCCAUGAUUAGCAUUUGAUGUAAACAAUUAUGUCCAUUGCACUUUGAGAUAUGAGAGGCCAAAAUACCAUGAAGUAGUUGCAUAAUUAAUCUAACUAACCAGCCACGCAAAUUAACAUUAGGCAUACACAAUUAAAAGAAAAAAAGAUGAAUAAGCUUCUACUUCUUACAGAAAGAUCAAAUUCUUCAGGAAUAGUAUGGUAGAGUAUGUCAGCUUACCAUUUCUCCUUCUUGAAUGUUCCUACGAGCAAAGAGACCCCAUCCAUGUAUUCCAGAUCUACCAAAACAAACUCUACUUUUUUCUGUUGACUGAAAACACAAGCAUACAGAGAAUUAAUGAGUGUGUCAUGACAGGAACAAAUGUACAAAGGCAGCGGGUGGUAUCACAAAUACCUGCAAGUGGUAAAGCCGCUCCCUGAAUGUAGAGAACAGCUCCAGAUCUUUCUCUUCCUGUGUAGGGCAAACAUGAUGACCAAUUGUGAAUUCCAUUUGAUCUUUAAAAUGUAACUGUAGUCCAGGAUGGAAAUAAAGAUGUACAGCAUAAGAACAAGCGAAUUACCUUAGGUGCAUUUAAACAUUGAACCACAUCCAGAGAAUGAUGAGAAGGGCCCAUAACUCGGUGCGCUAUGGCCUCUUCGUCUUUCGUCUAAAUAGCAGAAAAUAUAAUUACAAAUUGAUAAAUAUACCUACAUGCAACUUGGGUGUUGAUCAAUUUUAAAAAUAUAAUUGGUAGCAAGGUGGAGAUAAUAUUAAUUACUAAAUUAAGAGGAGAUACCUGAAGGGUAAAGAACACGAUAAUGAUGGUUCUUCCCCAAGAACGAGUGCAACAGCAAACAGAAAAUAUGAAAUUACAAUAGCCAAAAUUUCAUAUCAGACAAUGAACAUAUGAUUAGCAUGAUUUCAAUUCUAAUUGAACAUAGUCAAACCAUGUUCAAUGAUUUUUCCCUUAAUUUUAUCUGUGAUUGUUAAUACCUUCUAGAUUUUCUAUAUCAUUAUCUUUAUCAUCAAGAACAAUCAGAUUUGUCAUGAAGCAAAAUAUUAAUGCAGAUAGCAGUAAACAUAGUUGAUAGUACACAAAAUGUCCUGCAUGAACUUUACAUAAGUGCUAUCCCUUCGGUGGGUGCACAUUAGUUUCUUGUGAUGACAAAUAAUAUAAUCAUUCAAGAUUGAAGCAGGCAAAACAGCUAAAUUCCCAUAGAUGUAGCUUUUGUUAUGCAGGAUGAGUUGUUAUAUAGUAUGUCAAGCAUUAAAUAAAUAAAUCUAGAGCUACACAUGAAAUUUUGAACAUACCUUAAUUUCUAUAUUUCUAUACAUUAGACACCUUGCAGCAGAUGGAGUUUCAGAAUUCUGAACAAGGAUGUCUGAGCCAUGGAGAAUGCCUUUCCUAAUUAGUCUUGUACCGGUCUGUUUUUUGUUAUUCUGAAUCAUCUUUUUGGAAGAAAAUACUCCUUGAGGAGUAUGUAUAAUUAAGACAGUAUCUGGAUUUGGAGCCCUGUAAAAGCACACCACACAGUAGAAUAAAGGCAGUGUAUUUUGAUAAUUAAGAAUUAUACUGCUGUAGCUAAGAUAAAGUCAAGAUAAAUGUAGUGAACUAUGAGAUAUAAAGAAAUGAUUGCCCUUUUAUUAACAUAAAGUGGUGGAGUGCAUUAAGGUAUACAUACAUAAAUAACCUUUAAGCACUGUAAGUAAUGCUUUAUAACACUGCUUGAAAUAGUUAACAUGGCAGGAAGGCAUUGGCAAAAUCUUACCAGUGAUGAGCACAGUAUGAUACCUUCUUCGUUAUCUGCUUCCCAUUUUUUUCCAAACAGCGUAACUGCAACUCAUCGAUGGAAUUAUUAAAAUUAAAUAAUUGUUUAUGCACAAACUUAAACACAUGACAUUAAUUCAUGACAAAAUAUAUAUUAAAAACAAAACUACUGGAUGAUGGAAGAGUGAAAGGGCCUUUGGAGUCACUGGUAUUUAUUAUCUCAUUUAUACUAAUAUAACAAUGUUUCUGAAAAAAAGACAAACAUGCUCAAAGAAAAUAAUUUCCUAGUUGAAAUUUGUAGCUGAAAAUAAUAAAAGUAUUCAGCUAAAAGGUCCAAUAAGUGUUGAAUUUAAGUUAAAAACCAAGGUCUAUAGAAGUGUACCAAAAAAUUGGCAAUAAGAAUUUCUUGAACACAAUGAAUUUAACAAAUUUUUAUGAUGGGUAUGACGAAUCUCUUGACACACACAUGCAUGAAUAUAUUCAUGAGUUGUUGCACAAACAAUAAAUAUAUGUUUUAUAUUCCAACAGCUUCACGUAGCAGAUGAGGCUAAGCACCAGGAUUCUAGUGCAUUCACCAUCUUCAUAAAGAGGGAUAGAAUUAAAUUGUAAUUUUCAAAAUUAAAAAGUAGAACUGAUAUUAAAUGGUCUUAUAAAAAUUUAGAUUUUAUCAAUGUAAGUGUUCCAACUAUAUGACCGGACCUAUUAAUCAAUUCAUCAAUUUGCCGAAUAUGAAAUAUCAUCAUUUUCGGUAACCUACCUCCAUGCGAUAUCCUGCUCUUGAUGCACACAUAGCAUGGUAAUAGGUAGAACACUUGUAGCAUUGCGUGCAAGAACCAUGCAUUUGACGGCAUAUAGCACAAACCUAGAGGUGCACACAUAAAGAAGUUAGCGGUCGAGUCAAUAUUUCAUGCAUAAAGUAGAAUGUGAAGAAAAUAAAGGAAUGUUUGCACAUAAAUGUUAUAUGAAUAAAUAUUUUUCUCACUAUUAUAAUGGAAUUAUAUCUUAACCUUCACAAAAGACUCUGAUGGUAUGUCCAAUAUGCCAACAGCAGGCUCCAUUGUUUCAUGGCUUGCAAAAGAGACUUGAGGCUGAAACCAGGCACAAGUAACAUGGACCCAUAGCAUCUCAUCAUCAGUUGGCUUGAGAGCACCCCCUAAGGGAAAAAAGUGAUACAUGAAACCCAAACUGUUCAUAUGUAAGGAAUGUGAGAGUACAAGGUUUCAAAUACCCCUUAGAUUGAUAUGUAUCGGCUGGUAUCUAUUGGUCUGAUCAGGAUUGAUAUUGGACCAUUAUACCUUAGUCACAAUUAAUACUCGUUUUACCAUCUGAUGCAUCGAUGCCAUAUUGGCCCGACAAAGUAUCAAAGCCAGUAUCAGACCAAGAUUUUAAAUCUUAAAGAACCAUCAAAAUAUGGUAGAAAAGUAAAAUCCAAAAAUAAUUAUCCAAGUUGCAAUUCUAUGUUUCCUAAAAAUAAUAAUUACUUGAAGGAGAUAUGAGAAUAAGCCUCGUGCAGUAAAGCAAUCCUUUUAAAAUGUUUAUAUAGUAUUUCUUAUUUGGAAAAAAGAAUCUUAUGAGGUCAUUUUCUUAGCAUCAAAAGACAUUAUGGAUACAUUACAUAUGUGAUAUGAUAAACUAUCAAACAGUUUAGUAUUCCAAAUACCUUUUACAGGACAGAGGCAGCACUCUUGCUUUUGUUGAGGUGUUUCACAUGCUCGGCAGAUCCAGGAGGUGAAAUCUUGUUUUCCUCUCAUUCCAUAGCAUUCCUGGUGGACUGCUAUUUGGCAUCUAAUAUUUGCAGUAUGUUAUUUAUUUAGUAAUUCAUAAUAGCCAACCAACAUGUGAACCUAUCCCUGCAUUCCAAAAGAGUAUUUCAAAGAAGUCAAAGUCACUGAAAUAUACCUGUUACAGAUAAUGAUUUUGUUAUAAUCCCAAUCUUCAACCCAUCUGCAGAUUGCACACCGUUCGGUUGUCCACUUAACAUACACCGGGUCAUAUGCUUCUAUGAAAAUGAAACCAGAACUCAAUGUUUAGUGGAAUUAGUUGAAAUGCAGAGGCAUGUUAGCUACAAAACCAAUGCAAGGUAGCAUAUUAAAGAAGUAAAUGAUACAAAGAAAAAGGAUGCACCUUGUAGGAAAGCAAGUAGCUUUUGUUUCCUUAAUUUUGCAGAUGGCCGUUUAGUGUGGUUUGUGGAAACCAUACUAGAAUGAUAACGCUCUAACUGCAAGUUAACAAACAUAUAUGUUUUACUAAACACGUUUACCACAUUGUUGGAUACAGAAAACUCAUUCUGCUCCUACUAGUACCAAACCAACAAGAAAAGGGCUUAAAGGACUUGGCUGAUCCAAAAAUGAAACCAAAUCCACUAGAGAUACACAAUAUAACAAAACAAAAAUAGGACAUUUUUAAAGCUUAAAAAAAUAUCAUCUGAUACCACUACAGUCAUUAGUCUAUAGUUAAUGAUAAAACUUGUAAAAUUAAGUAAAGAAAUGUUAAACAAGAAGCUGAAAUGCUCUAUAAAACAAUUUUACACUAUCACAUUAAAACUGAAAAAGCUUUUUGAAGUACAGACCCAUUUUCCCAGUGCCAUAUUUGUACUUCUGACUUUAAUGCUUGACCUCCAGUUUUUCGUUUUUGAUCCAGUAUGUCGCUCCCAUUCAGUAAGCAUAAACUUCUUCUCCUUGCAUGAUGUACAAUGACAAGAAAUUCUAUCCAAAGAUGCAAAAGAAAAAAAUCUAAAUCAAUAUACUUCAGAAGAAUGAUAAAAAUAAGAGCAAAAAGAACCUUAAAAUAAUCCUAAAAUAAUGGAGAGGUUAUGAUUGUAUAGUGCCUCAAUGUAGUAUCAAACAAAGAGAAUAGGUUGAAAAAGUUUAAUAUUGUAUUCGCCUCAGUCUGAAAAUUGAGAUAAUAAACAUGGUAGGUGAUUGUGAUGGUCAAGAAUCAUAACAAAUGGAGUCAUAUAGGUUCUGCCUGUCCUAUGUUUGAAAAGCCACUGCUGGUCAAGAAAACAUCAAGGCCCCACCAAAGAAUAUAUUCCCACAUAUAUUAUGAGGGGAUAACAUGAGGGAGGCAAACAUAACUUUGUAGAUAGAGAAUUAUCCAUUGAUCUUGUUUGCAGGAUAAAAGAGUCUUCCAGAGUAAGAAACACAAGGGCAAUAAACUCAUUUGGGAGACCUCUAGAAACCACAACCUCAAGUUACUGGAUUCUAAGAACUGAUUGUAAAAAUUUAUCACUUGUUGCCCAAAAAGACCCAUUUGCUUUGAUGCCACUACCAGGGAGAUCAAGAACUUCAGGAAUACUAUACAGGAGCCUAAUACACACAUAGUGGACAUUAGUGGAACACAAAAACUCAAGCUAUUAGGUUCUUAUAUGACCAUGCAUACAUGUAGAUGAACCCACAUGUAAACAUCAAUAGUUCCUGGCAUCCUGCAUCUGCUUAACCUUUUUUCACGAAGGUUGAAUUCUGUACCAUAGGUCUUCUAAUGCCCUUUACACAGAACCAUCCAACUCUCUUCAUAUGCUUCAUCCCUUUUCUGAAUUGAAGACACUUUUCGUUUCCUUUUCAGACAAAGGGAUAAAAAGUCUGAAAGUACUUUUUUGCUUUAAGUUAUUAUGUGUUUUUUUUCCAGACAUAGAUAUUCUGAAUCACUAUGAUUUGGCACCAUGGAGUCAAGUUUUAUUUUCUAUACUAGUAUCCAGAUAUAAUUAUCCAGCAGAUGUGGUGCCAUAUCAUAAACAGCAGGUCUUACCUAUAAGAUAGCUGAUCAGUUUAUUAGCCUGCCAGUGAACUUUUAAUCUAGACAGGUUCUACUUGGCCCCAGUUUUCUUUAUCCUAAAUAUCAAGUAUUUUGUCAAAGAUAUAUUAUAUUCCGAUUUUAGGCUUUUCCAUCUUAGUUGCGUCCUGGUCACCUUGGUUGCCUCACACUGGGAGUUGGAGAAUACAAAAUAUGAGGGGGCACAGAAAAGGAGGGGGAUGCUUAAAAGAAGGCUGUAUAUGAGGUAAGUAAUUCAAAGUUUCAUGGUCAUUUUUCAUCGAUGAGUCUUCUUUCUUUCUUUAUCUGCAUGUUUUGCAAACACCUUUUAUGACAGCAUGAUUAGAUACUUUGUUAUAAAGUCAAAACUGGGUGGCAACUCUAUUCUUGUUAGCACAACAUUGAGGCACUUCAGAAUAUGUUGACAUUUUCAAGUUCUCUUUGUAAUCAUGAUAAGGCAAGCCUUGUCACACCAUUUUGAUGUGGGUAGCCAGGAUUCACGUCAAUGGAAACCAUCUCUUUACUUGUGAGGUAUAAACUUGCACACAUUGACUUUCUCAAAUACUGUAUCAGCAAGAACCUCAUGAAUUGAACCCAUAUAUAUUGGGCCUUCAAUUUUGUAGAGAUUUUCAAAUACCAAAAUAUCAAAUUACGCCCAUGUUGAUACUUCACCACAUCACAUGACUGCAUGAACUAGCUACAACUUUUAUAAAGAGAUAACUACUAAUUAUUUUACAUUCAACAUGGCAAAAUUCAAUACUGCCCGUUCUAAAAGAGUAAAGGUAGCUGUCAUUCAGUGAUAUAAAACUUGAACUUCUUUUUCAAUAAUCACAAAUUACUAUCCCAUUUGCUACUCUCUGCAAGAUGGUUAUUGCCAAGCAAAAACAACAGGGAUCUUAAUGAAUUAAGUUAGGAACAAAAGAUGGUUCUUGCUAAGUAAAAACAACAGGGAUCUUAACGAAUUAAGUUAGGAACAAAAAAUCAAUUUCUAGAGAAGAAAUUCAUCUUACCCUGCAAAGAGGAGGUCCCUUUUUAGUUAAGAAUGGUUCUUUAUGAUAAAAAAAUUUGAAGAACUGAUAAGCAAAAUUUGCACCUCAUAAAAUAAUUGCAGGCUAAGUGGAUCAGAAUUUCUCAGCAAAAGCCCAUGGUCACUAACUCAGUAUCAUAUACAAAGUUCAAGAUCACUUGCAAAAAUCUGGCCAUAAAUGGACAUUACCCUACUCUGUUUAUCAGCAAACUCAAUUGUGAUAACGCAUUGUUCUGCUGUCUUCGCUGACACAGUUUGAUUUAACCAGUCCCACCACCACAACGAAAAAAAAAAGAAGAACACGGCAUACUAUAUACAUAUUUACAUAAAUGAAUAAUUGCUUUUACAGUUCAUCUUACUCAAUGCAACAUGCAGAUUUUCAACAGGCACCACAAUUAUCAUUCAGAAUAUAUCAAGUAAAAUUAUUAUUUGAAUAAAAAAAUUGUUUGAAUAUAUCAGGUUUUGUAUUAACCAAACUCAGAGGCAUAUCCUUACACAUGUUGCUCCGGCAAGUAUAUUCCCUCCAUGCCAAAACACCAAACUGCAACCUUAUCAAACGCUAGUUUGGUAUCUCGCCCACAAUCAGGGACAUAUCUGUUUAAGCUUAAACUGUGUUAGCCUCCGAACUAAACAUGAGAAAAUCACACAUGCAUUUGUCAGGUAUAGGCAGGCACUAAAGAAACAACAUAUACCUAAUUUGUGAGUGAUUCUUCUCUGUAUCUGAUGACUCAAAAUUAAACUUCGACUUGCACUCUGAACAAAAAUAAUCAAUGCUCUGCUGAUUGUUAGACAAUUUAAUAUCUGUCAGUGGAACAUCAUUUUCACAUGAAUUUGACAAAUAGUAGCAAAUCAUGAAUUUGUAAUGCAAACAAUAAUUGAGGGCAAACCUGAAGUUUCUUAUAGGUUUUGUCACAUCCUGCAUGGACCCAAUAUCGACAUGCAUAACAACGAACCUGAUGAUAUUAAUCAUAACAUUCAGAAUCAUCAAAACUAGGCUCUGUUGGACGCAUUAAAUUGUGAAGUGUUUUCAUUCAUGUCAAAUAACCUCGUACCCAUUUCUCGUCAUCUUUAUGAUGACAACUCUUCAUGCAUAUUCCACGAUAUUGUUUUGAUUUAAAAGGCUGUAACAAAAAAUGUGCAUCAACAGGAUCAUUAAAAGGGUUACAGAAGGAUUGGUUGGUCUAAUCAAAAACAUCAUGAUUAAGUAGCCAGAAAUCAGGGUUAGAAAAACCGGUCACACCGGCAUGUGCCAACAAGUAUUUACUGGACUGACCUGGUUUUGGCACACAGAUCGGACAACAUUAUUUGUUAGACAAAAUUAUUUAUCAGCCUGACCUGGUCCUGACACAAGGACCCUGCAAUUUUACCCAGUCCGGUUGAAACAGAACUUUUUUUGCUGUUUUAAUUUUUUUUAUGUAGACAACUGAAAACAACCAUUGGUUGUCAAUAUAUAGCAAAAAAAAUCUGUUGAUUGCACCAUUGCAACCCUCUGCCUCCUCCCUCACCUUCUUUUGCUUGGUCGCAACAGGUGUGAUGUAUAAUUGUAUGUACAAUGCCCCUUACACAGUAGUAAGACAACUUGGUAGUCAGAUGGCUUAGAACAUCCAAUUUUGCAUUCAGGUAAUUGAAUUUGAAUAGUAAAUAAUUAUUCAAUGUGUUCCUAGAUACCACCAAUGAAAUUCAAAAAGCAUGACAUUUAUAUUUUGAACAAAAGGAGACCAGUGUAUGCCACAAAAAAAAAAAAAAACAUAGAUGUACUGGAUAUAUUUUUACAAGUCUCUAAUUUUUUUGCUAUGAAGAUCUUUUUUUCCUUAAUAUUUAAUGCCUUUAGUAUAACAGUUAAUAAACAACAUAUUCAUGCUCUCUAUGAUCCAACCUAUAUAAUGCAAGGCCCACAUAUCAUGCAUCAAAGAACAUAACUAAUCAAUUGCUAUUUAAAUCCAUGUUGGACAUUUCCAAGGUUCUUGAUGUAAAGGAAAGAACAUUCAUCACACAGCAGGAAAGGCAUAGCUAGCAUGAGCUUGGACAUAGUUAACAGAGUAAUGGACAAGAGGAGAGAGAGAAGAUCAGGAUUAGGGAGCAAAAAUAUCAAAUGAAAGUGAAGAAAGAAAUUAAAGGGAUGUCUUUUAGUAAUUAAUAGAAAUCUAGCACCCUCUUUUCCAAUUUUCUAUCUCAUCUCUCUCUUGCUCUCUUCUAUGCUAAACAAGGUUAAUACGAGAUAUGAAGAAUUGCUUCUUAAAUUCUAAAUCACUUCCUUCUUUAUAUAUUCUUUGCAUCCAUGCUUGAAAAUCAGCAUUAUAUAGUAGAAUUCCAUAUUUUACCCCAAUAUAAGAACAUCUGGUGUUGUACCUUAAAAUUCAAGAUUUUAGUCACCCUGAAUUCAAGAUUACAUUAAUCAAUGGCAGGAAAAAAUCUGUAUAGCUGAACCCAAAUAAUUGGAAAAUUAUGGGGUGCAACUCUGAUUCCAAACCUGAGUGGUUUUUGUCAAUGGUGCAAAUAAAAAAAUUCUCCUCUCCACUAAUCAUAAUUUUUCUUUUCCAGCUUCUUUUUGUUCUAGGUUCUGCUUUCCACUACCAACUUCCAAGCUCAUCCUCACCCUCCAUUUUCUACUAGUAGCACUUCUAGGUGAGUGCCCUAAACCCAUUCCACGAGACCUGAUAAAAGCCUUUAAAAGUCCAGAUGUUGAGAUUCUAAACUUAAUUAUAAGGGUAGCGGCUAGUUUUCUUUGGGGUAUAUUCAAAUAAGAAGCAUUCUAGUAGAGAAUCUUUGUCAUCGUUGUCCAUCUAUCUGUAUAAUAAGCUCUUUUUCACAAUUUAGGUUCAUAUGAAUAAUUCCCAUAGCAUGAUAUCCAAGAAAAAUGAUUUUAUCAGUUUAACAGUUUAAAUAUGUCCACACUCCAUAAACACUUCAGCAUCUAAAGAUGUUCAUUUUUCCCGUAAAUAGACCAAGCAGUACUAAGUUGUGUACCUAUGUAGUCUGAAUCAGAUACAUGCUAAUAAUGUCAAUAGACUUCCAGAGAGGUAUUUUAAUUGGUGAAUGAUGUCUUGUUUGUAACAGAAGCAAGAAGAGUGCUGCUAGCUGUUUCUGUACAUCUUAAGUUUAAUGAUGUUUUAUUUAAAGCAAAAAAUCCUGCUACGGAUCCUGUAAUGUAAUUCUCGGUUUCUCAUUUGCUGACAGCAUCAUACAAUAAUGUGAGGAAGAUUAAUUUACCGCAAAGAAAAAGUAACCAGAAACCAGUUUUAGGUACUGUUUUUUCUUCUCUAUCCUCCUUGACAAAAUCAUCUGGGGCAUCUACAACAUAAUGAAAAGGACAAUAAUUGUAGGGCCUUUACUUGCCUUGUUCUCUGAUUGGCACUCCUCAUCAUGGUUUGAACCAGUUGCCUCCUUGAUCCCAGAAACAUAAGCAGGUUCCCCACUUGUACUCAUCCCAUCAACCUGCACCCCUGUGAAACCAUGUUCAGCUAAGAAGGCCUCCUCUAUGGCUAUUCUCAGAUUGUUUGGCUUGCAGCCAUGCAACCCUGUCUGCCCCUGAAAUCUGCAAUGGAGAUCAAAAUUUUAUAAAGAAUACAUCAAAUUAUCCUCUCAUAUCCCGAAUCGGAAUACUGACCUGUCUACAUAGUCAAUAAAGGGAAAAACCCUUCCCUGCUUCACCCACGCGUACUCCUGCUAAAAUCCAGUGACACGGGUAAUCAGACAGAAUAAAAUCAAAUAAGAAAAAGAUACAAGUAGAAUAAUCUACCCUCUCGUUUCCACUUCCAGAGUAUCCAAAGAACAUCACACAGAUGGCACCAGGGAUGUAGGCGUCUGUAAUUUGUCGCACAGCUUGCUGCAUUGUAUCGAUUACCAUUGCAGGCCAAGCUGGACAAUUCUUCCCCGGCCUCGCCCAAACAAUAUCGCCACAAGCAAACUCCUCCAGUCGAUGGUAAUCCUUCCCUUGUUCUAACGUUUUCUUCUGCAACUUUUCUUUCUUUGCCGGAUAACGGAAACGCGGAUUUGGCCGUCUCUCCUCCCUUGUCUCAAGACCCUCACAAAGAGAUGUCGAAGUACUCUGUGACAACGAGCACUUCUCCAAGCUGAUAUUUCUGCAUGCGCGGUAUCUUUCUUCUUCAUCAAACAAUGCAACUGAAACAGGGAAGAUGGAACUAUGGCUGGAACUCUUAUAGCUACGGUUCUCUUUUCGAGGUUCCAUUGGCUCAGCCUUGAUUUCCGAGUCCGUGUCCGGAGCUUUUGUCUUGGGCUUCUCCUUCUUCCAAGGGUCGAUGAGUACGGAAUCGUUAAACCUGGAGGGGAGCGUCUGCGCGCGGCCUCUCGAGGUCCGAACCACCGGCGGCCGCACUUCCGGCGGCGCCGCCUCACGGGUUCGUUCCCUCUCCCUUAUCCGCCGGUUCCGCGACACGGAGUCCAUCUCACCGGAGCAGCAGGAGACCUCGCUGCACCAAGAAGCAGCCACUGCAUCGGCGGCGACGGCGGCGGCGGCGUCCUCUCCACCCAGACACCGCCCGAACCCGAGGGCGACGUACGGGAACCCUCCGGCGGCGGCGACGUCCCCCAGCACCUCGAGAGGGAAUGACUCCCCCUCCCUCCGCCUCUUCCGGCGUUUCCCGCCGCCGUCGCCCUCGCCGUCACCGACGGUGACCUCGGCAUUGCACCGCUUCAGGGUCGGCAUUACCACCCUCUGGCUCCUCUUUAUGAUCAUCCCGUCGCCGCGACGGGAAACCCUAAUCCCACCGAAGCCAGAAUUCCGCGCCACCGAUCCAAGAACCCACCAAAUCGCCCUCCGAUCCCUAAAUUCCCCACGCGAUCCGCGGUAAUUGCGGCCAGGGUUCGAAGGAACGCGUCGGGGGCGACCACGAGAGAUCACGAGGGCGGACACGAACGCCACCCUUCGUUACUUGGAGUAGACUCCAAACACUACGGAACGGAUCGACAGAUCUCAAACAUAUCACCCUUUUUUUACCCUAUUACUUUCAAUUUUAUUCGUUUUUAAUUUCCCCUCUUCUUGGUGUUAAUUUUACGAUUUUGGUAUGGUUGGUGCAAAGCGAGAUGGAAUUCGUGUGGGUUGAUGGCUUCAAUUCGUGCACGGUCCAAUUUCGAUGUUGUUUGUGAUGGUGACGAUGAAGAUGGAGAAGAGGAUGGAAACCAUAAUUUCGAUGGCUUCCUUGAGAGGGAUUUGUGUCGAUGUGUGGUCAUGGUGGAUCGAGGAAGAGAGUCUGAAAAGAUCUCGGUCAUGAUCAUGGAAAAUUACAAUUUUUCUUCUUUUUCCUUUCUCUUCUCUUGAAGUUUAUCUUCAGGUAUAUUUGGGAAGAGAUGGCUUCAAUCCUCCUUGUAGUCGUCUUCCUGUUGCUUUGAAACAGAGGCAGUAGCAGAUGUUUAUGCUGUCUUUUCUUGUGUUCUAUGUGCUUCAUCUUUCCCAUUGCAGCUAUUACGAUCUCUUGUUUGGGUGCAGGGACACUGUAAUAGAUGAUGAUGGAGGAUGAGGAGGAGGAGGAGGAAGUAAUCAUGGUGAAUAGAUUCUCUCGAUGAGUCCAACCCAACAGUUGGUUACGAGACUUCGCCAUGAACCGGACUGUGUGAGCUUGGGUGCAUCCACCGGCCACCGCCCGAAGGUGAAGUCCGGUGAUGAUCGAGGAGAACACCAGGUGUUUGUUGAAUUAACCUAGCCUUCUCGAUCCCAAACAGCGAAGCCUCGUUCCGGAACAGCCUCCUUCUCGAUGGAGAUCAUGCGUGGAGAAUUACCAGGUUGCUUACUUGGGAGAUUGAGCUGUUCAAGGUCAUGAGCUCCAUGAUUGUAGCUCGUGGAGACUCGACUCUCAUUCUUUUCUGCAAGCUUUUUGGCUCCGAGCAAAAUGGCUUUUGCUGCUGCUGCUAGAGUUUGGUCAUGAACUGGAGGAGGAUGAGCAAUAGCAGGAAGACUACGAGGCGGCAAGUGGAGCUUGGCAACAGGCUGGUCUUCCAGUGAUGUAGGAUGUCAUCUCAGAACAACAAUGGAUCUGAUUCACUGCAAGAAACUGUUAUUCUCAUGUGAGAAUUUAUGUAGUUCAUGGGUUAAACUUGUUGCAGAAUCUGCAGCCCACAAAUGGCGAUCGUGUGCAAAAGAACUUGAACCCAUUAUUCACUCUCGAAAAGGAACGACACCAUCUCCAUGACAGGUAGGAGGAGAAGGAGAGGAGAAGAACAUGUCAUUAACAGUGAAGCACAUGUAGGUGUGUUUGUUCGUGAGCUGCGUGGCUACCCUGCAAGUCACCAUGAAUAAGGACUGUGGCAGUAGAAGGGUAAGGAGGAGGAGGAGGAUGAUGAUGAAGGGAAAGUGAUGAGGUCUGCAACUCGUUUUCUCGUCCACGACCGUGUGGCAAGUAUAGUCUUCGUCUUGUGUAUGGUUUGGAGUUCAUCCGACGACCAAGAAGAUGACCAUGCAUCGUGCAUGCAUGCAGCGAAGAGCAGGAAGAGAGCGUGAUAUAUCAGAGCGAGAUCAGUUGGGUAUCCGCCUUAAGAGAAGCCACCGGACACGGUGGAGGAUGGGGUGUGAGUGGCUGCUGCCGGGAAGAACACCUGAGCCUUCGCAGCGGUCGUCGGUCGACUCCCGGCGGUUCCGGCGAAGCUGAUAUUUCCCCCGUAACAUCCAAGCCAGGGAACACCACUUUCCUGCUCCCGCGAGGCUGGCGGGUCCCGCGCGCGAUCACUGUGCCGUGUGUCGACCGGGCGGACGCGGACGAGCUGGAUUUCUCGGAACCCAAAAUUGUAGCCUCAAAAUAUCUACCCUGCUCGAGCGACGCGACAUGGUGGCUCCCGCAAAACCUCUCCAAUCAAAUCAAGAGUGGCUCCCGCAAAACCUCUCGAAUCAAAUCAACAAUUUUUUUUUCCGUCAAUUUCGCAGUCUCAUCUACAUCUAAUUUCCGUGUUAGGUGAUAGGAAACAUCGUAACGGCCAAUCACCGUUUGACAUCUAUCACCACAAAAAUUGACGCGAAAUGAAAGACCUCUUAUUACCUUUGAUCUAUAUAUCCCUAUGGAACAUUAAAGAAGAAAGUUGGGAUGAUUAUAGGAUUGUCUCCUCCCUUCAUCAACCAUAAAAAUCAACUCUUAGAGCAAUGUCGAAGGUUUUAUUUUUUCGAAUACGAUGUCAGAAAACAUCGUAUUCGAAAAAAAAUCGAGGUCAGAAAACGUCUCCCGACAAAUCUUAGUGCAAGCGAUACUUCAAAAGUUCUGACUCCCACUUACUCAAGAACUAUCUCAGAGUUAUUUUAGAACUAUCUUAAAAUCACUUAAGAAUCAUCCUAUAAUCACAUCUAAUGUUCUUGCGAGUUCAAACAAUGUUUGAUUGGAUGGUCAUAAAUAUUACUGUUUAGAAUGAUGUGAUAAGAUUAAUGCACAUGACUUAUUUAAAAAUUAGCAAAUUUAAUCAAAAUAUUAUAAUUUUAUUAUUGGAUCAGUGGAGAUAUCAAAUCGAGUGACUAACAUAAUCAUGAAAGAAUUAAUGUCAUACAUAAAGAUAAUAAUCAAUAGCUUUGUUAAUACCGAGAUGGAUUUAUCGAGUCACGAAAACACCUGUGUUUUUAACGGUGACAUCUUACGAGCCUCGGUGGAAAAACGUUAAGCAUGUGAGGCUAUGCCUUCAACUAUGGACGGAUUAAAAUAAUUGGAACAAAUAAGCUUAGCUUGGAUAGCUUUGAUUAGUGUAUCUCACCUGAGAAGAUAAGCUAAAUUAAUCCUUCACUCCGUCACUUGCGAUUUGAUCUACUAGAUUAACAACAAAAGAGAGAAAUCAAAAUGAAAUAGUAGUAUUAAUAGUACCGUCCUCAACCAAAGGCAAUCAAUCAUGUGAGCAACAUAAUCUUCUUUUUGUUCAUGUCCAUGUUCACCUAAUCCAUGUAAGAUGAUCUGCUUGUGCGGCUACCAAAAUGGUAUCAAAUGAAAACCUGAUUAUGAUUCGAAUAAUUAAUACAUAAAGUUUUUUUUUCUUUAUGCUGAGUUUGAUAAAUAUCUUUGGAUAAUUCAUACUACUUUGAAUUUAUUUUUAUAAGUACAUCAUGUAUCUCAUGAUUUUUGUGAGAGAAAAAAAUAUUGAUAAAGAUUAUGACAUUCUCUAUUGCAUCUAUAAAGAAUUGAAUUAGGAUUAACUUAAAAAUAUUUAUAAUUAAUUUCACAUGAUGAAGAAUUUUAAUUUUCUUUAUAGAUUCGAGUAUACGAACAAUGUUAAUUUUGCAUCGACUUUCUGUUAUAUCGUAAUAUUCGAAUAUCGUACUUAAUAUUUAUAUUUUAAUUUGCUAUUAUUUGAUUCUAUGACGACCAUGCUAUGAACCACUACGGUGGGUACUCAAUUCAGCCACACUGCAAUUGUAAUGUGCACUCCCUCCAAGUCUAAUUUCUUAUUCAAAUACAGAGAGAGAGGGGACCGAAUCGACUCGAUCCCAACUCUCCUCUCUUCGCUCUAUUCUUCUCCGCCUCCGUCGCCAUCCAUCCGUUGCUUUCCCCCUUCCGCCCUCUCGGCUCCGUCGCUUUCUCCGCUGACUCCCUCCAUUACUAACCCGGUAAGUUUACAUCCCCUCUCUCUCCCCCCUCCCACUCUCCUUUACGCUGUUCGCUCUAUUUCUCUGGAGCCAUUCUUUCUUCUCUCCUCUUGUUUGACGAUGGGGAUUAGGGCUAGGGUUUUGGUCCUCGGUAACGAUGGCGGAAUCGGGGGUCCCCGGCUCGCCGGAGAGCGGUCACUCCGGCGACCACGGCGGCGGUGGCGGAGGAGGAGCGAGCGCCAGGGAGCAGGAUCGGUUCCUACCCAUCGCCAACAUCGGGCGGAUCAUGCGCAAGGCCAUCCCGGAAAACGGCAAGAUCGCUAAGGACGCCAAGGAGUCCGUGCAGGAGUGUGUCUCUGAGUUCAUCAGCUUCAUCACCAGCGAGUUAGCCCUGCCGAAACCUCCCUUCUCGCUUCCUUUCUUUAUCCCUUUUGCUUAUUCGUGGGGGGUUUCGGUGCAGAGCGAGCGACAAGUGCCAGCGGGAGAAGAGGAAGACCAUCAACGGCGACGAUCUGCUGUGGGCGAUGGGGACGCUCGGCUUCGAAGAGUACGUCGAGCCCCUUAAGCUCUACUUGCAGCUCUACAGGGAGGUGA
rnacentral:lncRNA from 1 species